GUUACCCAUCAACAACAACUACUCCUCUCCUCCUCAUCAUCCUCCUCCUCCACCAUCACCACCACCACCACCACCACCUUCUCUCCACCCUCAUCCUCCUCAUCAUCAUCAUCCCCAUCACCCACAACAACAACCAACAACAACACAAUAAUCCACAGCCAAGGUGAAUAUUAUUAUUAUUAUUACUUCUCCUGCUAUGGUGUGUAUUGGUGUCUCUAUGUAUAGAUAGAAUUCUGUGUGUAGUCUGGUCUUUGCUCUCCUCCCUCCCUCACCACUAGUCCCCCUUGUCCCCUCUGCUGAUGCUGGGAUGCCUUCCCCUCUGUGUCAUUCCUCAGAUGUCUGCUCACAUUGAUGCUGUGCCCUGGGAUGAGCUUUGCAUGCAUGCUAUUUAAAUGCACCCUGUGAAAAGCAGGUGUAAAAACAAGUGCACACAUCUCAUACAGUGUGGGAUAUAUUUUGCUUCUCUGUUCCCGUCUUUUUUUUUUUUUUCUUUCUAUCUUUCCCUCUCUCGUGUGUGAUUUUAUUUGAAUUUUUUUUGUCUCUUCCUUGUCUGCUUCGAUAUGUGUGUUUUCAUCCCAGUAGUCUGAUGUCUGGGGUGGGGGAUGAAGGAGAGGGGAGGGCUGGGGUGAAGAAUCACUGGGGCUUGUACUGGGUUAAUCACCCCUUCAGCUAAAUGCAUCUCUGUAUUUACUGAUCUUGUUGUGCAUGGACAAGGAAUUGAUGGGGAGGAAAUUGGAGAAUGGUUGUGGGGUUUGCAGGAAAAAAAAAAAAUACAUCUGUGUCUCCUGUGUCUGGCAUCCUCUGUUUGCAUUCCCUGUUAAUUUUAUUUCUGGGAGUAAUGUAGAAAAAUUAAGGUUGGAAUCAAUGUUAGGUGUAAUAUGCAAUAUGAUGAUGUACUACUGCUUUUCUCAUUUUUUUUUUAACAGUCAAGAUAAUAAUGGUAGAAAGUGCUUAACUGUGCUGUGAUCUUCUGGGUAAAGGGGGUUAGCAUUUUCUUUGUUGUAACCCCUGCAGAGUCAGUAAGGGCCUGAAAUGCAUUACCACCCAAGAGUUAACAGCAUCUUUCUUUGUGCUGCAUUCAGAAUUUACAUCCCUAGGACAUUAUUUACUGACUUUGCUUUCUCCUGCAAAGAGAAAGACCAAUCCUUGUGAGUUUUAAAGGUGCUAGUUUUGUGAUCCUUUAUUUAACCCCCCUUUGCAUUGUGUGGAACUAACAAGGAAUUGAUUAUCCAGGCAUUGUGUCCCCCUCUGAAUGAGAAGCUGCUGUUAGAAAUUCUGUCCUGUUAUUGCUUUACUUGAGAUGUUGCUCCAAUGUGUUACAAACCCCUGAUGCAUCCAUGAGAUUAGCAUCCUAUUCAGGCUGGGGGGCCUCAAACACUUGGCAGGUUGAGAGUGCCUACAAAGAGCUCCCACACUUGCCAAUCAGAGAUCAGUUUUGCUUGCUCCUGGAAUAGCGCCUUCCCAAAGCUGUUUUGUCCCAAGGCUCACAGUGGUGAAUUUUUUGUUUUCUUUACUGAAUACUGAAAUUGAAGACAGGUUGAUCAUAAAGAAUGUAUGAAUCUUGUGAACUUGAAAUGCUGAUCUGCUUUAUAUUUUUAGGUGCUGUGGAUGUAGCUUAGACAUGUCUGUACCUUUUUUUUGCAUUUUUUGUAUGAUUAUUUUUGUAUGUAAAUAUAGAAUCAUUGAUAUAUAUUUUGGUUAGUCCAUUAUGCUGCAUUUAAAAAAAAAUAAAAAAUGAUGCUCUAUUUAAUUGGUUAUCAUUUACACUCAUAUUUUAAAUAUUUUAAUGCCAACAUUUUUGGCAACAGUUCAGUGUUUAUUAUGAAUACCCAAGUUCGUAGAAAAGUGUAUGUCAGAUGUGUAUUCCUUAUUUCCCUAAUUGUGUUGAUGUGCAUCUACAUGUAUGCAUUAACUAAUAUCUGUGUGAUUUGUGUAUGUAUAUGCACACACAUACAACAAUCACACAUGCAUUGUUUUAACUAGUUUCAUCUGUAAGUUUAAGCCCACUGGAAAACAUUUUUUUUAACACCAACAUAAAAGUUAUUGAUUUUAUUUGAUAGUGCCACUGUUCUAGAAUGGAUCUGUAUUAGUUGCUCAAAGGACUGUCUGGGUUUUAUUUUGCCCUUCGUAUUAUUAAAUCUCUCUUGCCUUAUAUAUAAGGUUUUUUUUUAGUUUUUUUUUUUUUUAAAUGUUAUUUUCUUAAGCACUUUCAUACGUAGAUUACCGAAUUGAAUAAACUCCACUUCAUCCUCUGCUGUUUUUAUUCUGGCACUUAUAAAAUGUUUCCUGGAACAUGCACAAAGAGAUCUUCUGAAUUAUAGGGAGAGGGCAUACAAUUUAGAACUAGGGGUAUUGUGUGAGGAAAUGGUAGGGGUGUAUAACAACAAUGUUUGGAGGACAUUUUACUGGGUAAGAUGUAUGUGGACCAACCAUUUCAUGUUGCCUUGAUGGGCAGCAGUGCCAUUUAACUAAGGUAACAAAAAGCCUUUGUAAAACAAGUGCCAUGAGUACACAACACUGUGCCUCAGACUCCUAUUAACUGAUCAGAUGUCUCAUUAUUUUGGAGUGCACCAGAGAGGACAUAGCCCUUUGGCCUAGGCAGUUGUGUUUACUUAUAACAGCUGUGAUUUUUUUUAUGGCGUUUGAUGAGUCUGUCAUGGACCAUUUUACAAUAUUUGUGCCUAUGUAUGCCCAUGUCUAAUAUCAUAUUUAUGACACAGGUUUAAACUCAUAGAAGGCCCAAAAGAAAUGUAGAAAGUGAAAUACUGUGCUAAUUAAACUGAAAUGAAUCAUUGUUAUAAAAUUGAUUCUUCCCAGGGUCAGCCUUUUGGAGGUGUUAAGAUUUCCUAGUUAUUGAUUCUAGCUUUCCCAUGCUGACGCAGUGAUAUUGUAAAUAAUAUUAAAUUAUGACAAUGUAACGAAAACAGUAUUCAAUUUAAGUGAAUAGAAGCAGUGUGGUCAAAAGCAAUUUCUUUUGCACUCAAGGUUUAAUAGACCUGAAAUUUAUCUGAGCAUAAAUAUUAAUUUAAUUGAAAACACAUACAAUAAUACAUGCUAUGUUUUGGUAUUCUGUAGUAAAUGCAGUUUGAAGUGGAAAAUCAUAUAUACUCGAGUAUAAGUCGACCCGAAUAUAAGUCGAGACCCCUACUUUUACCCCCAAAAACUGGGAAAACGUAUUGACUCGAGUAUAAGACUAGGGUGGGAAAUGCAGCAGCUACUGGUAAAUUUCUAAAUAAAAUUAUAUCCCAAAAAAUUAUAUUAAUUGAAUAUGUAUUUACAGUGUGUGUAUAUAAUGAAUACAGUAUGUGUGUGUGUAUAUGAAUGCAGUGUGUGUGUAUGAGUGCAGUGUGUGUGUGUAUGAAUGCAGUGUGUGUGUGUAUGAGUGCAGUGUGUGUGUGUGUGAGUGCAGUGUGUGUGUGUGAGUGCAGUGUGUGUGUAUGAAAGCAGUGUGUGUGUGUGAUGCAGAGUGUGUUUGUGUAUGUGAUGCAGAGCCUUGGUGGAGGGUGGGCAUUUUUAUUAUUAUUUUUUAAUUAUUAUUAUUAUUUUAAUAUGUUUUUUGUUAUAUUAUUAAUAUUUUAUUUUUAUUUUAUUAUUAUUAUUUUUUUAAUAUUAUUAAUAUUUUUAUUUUAAUAUAAUUUAAUUAUUUAUUUAUUUUUGUCCCCCUCUCUGCUUGUUAGCUGGCCAGGGAGGGGGGGCUCUCAUUCCCUGGUGGUCCAGUGGCAUUGGCUGUGUAGGAGGGGGGCUGGCAGCGAGCUGUAACUUACUUUUCCUGCAGCUCAUGUCAGCUCUGACCCCGCGGCUCUCGCAAGACUUACAGUGGGAGCUGACCGGACCGGAGGAAAGAGAAAGGGAGCUGACAGGAGCUGCAGGAAAGGUAAGUUACAGCUCUCUGCCAGCCCCCUCAUUACAAGCCCAGCGGUCCUGGUCUGUAUUAUGGCAAUGUAAGUUGCCAUAAUACAGACCUUGACUUGAGUAUAAGUCGAGUGGGGGUUUUGCAGCACAAAAAAUUUGCUGAAAAACUCGACUUAUACUCGAGUAUAUACGGUAUUUAUUGUUGGAGAAAUAUUUUAUUUCCCUGUUUUUUGCACAUUUGGGAGUCUCUUCCGGUUGUCAACAGUGGAUACAGGGCAUUUAUUUAUUAAAACUUGUUUUGCCGCGAAGGGCACAUUUCUCUUGGGCCUCUUUGGACUUUAGUUUUUUUUUAUUGUUAUACAACUUUUUUAUCUGCAAUAUUUUUUAAAAUAAUAGUUAGGGCUAAAGUUAGUGCAAUGGCAACGAUUUCUUUAGACUUAGUUAAGCACAUAUGUCACAGUCUCUCUGAGACUACUAGAAGUUAUAUUACAGGGACAGGAAGUGGUUCUGUGGUCUGUACCCACUGGAGGUGAUGAAAACCAACUCCCACAACAGAACACUAGGGAUUCCGGGUAUAGCACUAGAUAAGCUAAAGGCGGAGUAAGGAGGGGUAGAGCACUCCACGCACGCUACAUACAGCCAGCACACACCACACACACAUAACAUACGGCCAGCACGCACCAUGCCGUAUGGCGAGCACAAAUCACACACAUUACAUACAAUCACUACACACAUUGCCAAUAGUCACCACAUUACAUAUACCAGCACACACACUCACGCAUGAUACCCAGCCACCACAUACACUAUAAGGUAGGGUAAAGGGCAAGACACUAAACUGCAAAUGUUUCAAAUUAAACCCAGAAGGCAAAAUAUUAUAGAAAUAGACUGUUGUGACUAUAGCUGAGUUGGAUUUUUUUUUGUUCAGAUCAGGCAUUUUUGCCUUAGUUUACCCAUUCAUAUUUAAUUUGGGAAAAUCUGAAUUUAGUGAAUAAAUCUGUCAAUGCCCAAGUCUGAGCAGGGUCCUCAAACGUUGCAACUGAAAUUGUUUUGUAUCAGGACAAGUAGAUUCCCAUGACAUGUUGUUUGAAAUGUUGCAUUCUGUUUAAUGAAAAAACCUGAGGUCCACUGCCCCUUCCAGACUGAGUGCCUUUCUCUUUUAGCUUCUGGAAUAAAAGAAAAAAUCAACAGCUAUCAAAAACUAUGUUGGUUUUGUUCGAUUCCAUUCAGGCUUUUUUUUUUUUUAGAUCCUUGAGGAUAGUACUCAAUUUAGGAGCUCUGUUAUGGUCUGCUCACACUUUAUAGAUUACCUUAUAAUUUGCCUGUCACGAUAGCCUUGGUUGGCUCUGAGCUUUAUUAGGAACCUGAAUAGCAAUGGUUUUUAUUGCAGUCCAGCUAGCUGUAGACUAAUUGUUCCUAUGUGGAUAGUUUCAAUUGCCAUAUUUUCUUGGUAGUUUCCACCAGAAGGGGUUUAUAAAACCAGAGAUGCUAUUUUUCUAACUGAUGUAAAAACAUUUGAUUACUUGGAAAAUCCCGGGUUCUUCUAUUGGAAACUCUAAGCAGCAUCCUAUGUUGUAUACUCUCGGCCCAAGUCUUGAUGCGGGUUAACUACAAAGGGCUACUUCAAAUGCAGCAGCAGCGGGUCUGUAUACUUCUCGUGUAUAAAGGUUUCCUCCUCCACCAAAUACAGGUUAUAUUUACAUAUAAAGGAUUCUUGUUCACCAAAUACAGGCUAUACUUACACUAUAAAGAAAACAAUGUCAGACAUAAUAAUACAUAUGGAGUUUACGGUAUUAUAUGUUGGGAAUAGUUUGAAGGUUUCUUCAAUCCAUUCCAUUGGACAAUUUCACCGGCACAAAGCGUGCGUAUGUACGAGGGAGAGAGGGAGGUGUGUUGGCAGAGGAGGGAGGGUUCAAUACAAAAAUAAAAAAAAUAAAACCAGCAUUGAUGCUAUAGGGAGGCAGGAGGGAUCAAAUGAAAGCAGGGAGGGAGAUGUCUGCUUCCCUUUGCAGGCACGCUGCCUGCAAAGGAGAACCUCAUUACGUAUGUCACCACCUUGCAGUGCGCACUGACCACAAUUGUAAUUUUUGCAUAGGAUUAACAUUAGGAGCCUUGGCCUGCCUAAGUCACAUGUCCUACGGGUGCAAAUAGCCACAGGCACAAAACUGAAGAUAUAUCUGCAUGUGUAGCAUUUCUAGCAGAAACUACUGCCACCAUGACCACUUCUAAAAGCAGAAGGGGUCAUGGUGAUUGGAGUAACCCUUACAUUGUAUAUGUGUGCCAGAGAAAAUUAAUUUGAAAAUGUUUUGAUAACUCUGUGGUUAAUGUCUGUAUGUAUUCACUUGAAUAGAAAUAUUUUUAGACACUGCCAGUGAUGGAUACCAGGAACUUGGAAUAUCAGGAUUUGGAGGCUCUCUGCUUCCCCAAUAUGAACUGAUAACAUUGGACUCUUCCUCUACAGGGAAUUAGCUUUACCAGGGUUAUGUACUAAAGUGAGAAUUCAAGAAGUAAAUUUCACAUUUAAAGCCAAACUAGCCAAACUGAAAACAUAGCUAACUAACAGAAUUAUUCCAGUUCAGCUGUUUUGAACUUAAACUUAAAAUUACUUUGAAUUCUCAAUUAAGUAAAUAAACCAUUACAUUUCAAAUUUAAGGGCAAAAUAACUAAACAGGAAAAAAAUCUCCAAGUCCACCUUACUUUGAGUUCGACUACUAUGGCCUUAAAUGUAAAAAUCACUUUAAAUUUACUUUGAAUUACUGAGAAUUCUCUCUUUAGUAAAUAAUCCUUUAAGUCUUGGCAUAAUAUAAUAAUAUUAAAUACCAGCUCACUGUGUGCAGCGCUUGUUGGUUUUGAGAUUCAGCAUGGUUACUUAAAGGAACACUAUAGUGUGAGGAAUACAAACAUGUAUUCCUUAUAUUAUAGUGCUGGUAUGGAUUUUAAGGUGACUGACCAAGCUGCUGUCACGCUGAAAAGGUGAUUUUAAACACCUUUUCUACCGCAGCUGGCCUUGCAUUGCUCUGCAUCCAUGGUGCCAGGACCCCCAGGUUUUAACCCUUCAGAUGUAAACAUAGCAGUUUUAGAGGAACUGCUAUGUUUAAAUUGCAGGGUUAAUCCAGCCUCUAGUGGCUAUCCUCCUGACAGCCGCUAAAGGUGCUUCGGCGGUGCUGGAUGCGAAAUUCGCAUCCUGCGUGCAGAACGUCCAUAGGAAAGCAUUGAGAAUUGGUUUCCUAUUGACUGUUUGAAUGUGUGCACAGCUCUUGCCGCGCAUGCUCAUUCCGCUCCACUCGGGAGCCGAUGUUGGAGUGGGAGAAGAGGUCACCAGCACCGAGGGAGCCUGGCGCUGGAUAAAGGUAAAUGGCUGAAGGGGUUCUGAGGGUGGGGGGGUCCUAAGGAUGCUAUAGUGUCAGGAAAACGAGUUUGGGGGAAAUUUAUCUUUUUCCAAGAUGUUUUAGUCUAUUCUCAAAUGUAUCCAUCCUGUGAGUAGGUUGUUUUAUCAUGCACAGUUGUACUUUUCUGAUACUUAUAUUCAUUUGCAGUUUUACCAGAAUAAAAAGGCCAUGAAAUGUAGAUUUUGUAGAGUUAUAUUAUAUAUAUAUUAUAUGCUGCAUGUACCGUUACAUUAUACCUUGGAAAACAAACACUGUCUUCUGUGAAAAAAACAAACAAACACAAAAAGCUUCACAAAAUAUGUUAUCUUGGAGCAGAUAAAUGGUCUAUUUUCAUAUGCUGCAUCUCUUCAGCUGAGCCAGGAGGCUAUGAAUUUCGCAGUCUAUUGCCAGGCCCCCAGGGAAGUUUAUUAAUCACUGGCAAGGAGAGGGUCUCACUUCUUUCCCCAUGAUGAUCCCACGGAGCUUACAAUUAUAUCUUGCCAACCUAAGUGCGAUUUCUCCCAGUGUGGCAGUGAACCCUCCUUUUAUCCCGAGGAUGAGAAAGUGGGAAGGCUUAGGCAAAAAUGACUGGAUUAUUUUUAUAGCAAUCUACAUAAACGCCAAAUAAGCAAGAUACGUGCUAAAAGCAACUUUUUUCUCUCUCUCAAAGGCUGAAUUUCUCAUAUUGAGAAGGGACACAUAAAUAGCUUUGAAUAGAGCAUUGAAUUUAAUGUAGAUUCACAUAUUCAUUUUCCCUAAUCUUUUCUGCUUAACCCAAAUCUGCAUGUAUACUCCUGUUAAUGUUCCUUUUCAAAGUUAAAACUUUUAUAUUGAAAAGAAACCCAGGAAGUUGUCUGGAGAGCAUUUGAAGGCAUUCCUGCCUGAUUGUACAUAACAAAAUGAACAUUUAGUUCAUAAUCUUAUUGCUUCAGUGUUGUUUUUAUUUUAUAGCAGGGAUAGGCAACCUUCGGCACCCCAGAAGUUGUGGACUAUAUCCCCCACAGUGCUCUUACACCCAUAAUGCUGGCAAAGCAUCAUGGGAGGUGUAGUCCAAAACAUCUGGAGUGCCGAAGGUUGCCUGUGCCUGCUCGAUAGAGAAACAUUUCUCUUUCCUGGUCCCAUUAUGUUCCUCUGCAUCUCUGCAGAUAGACUUUCAUGGACAGUCCCCUUCUCCCACACUUCACCUCACCUUUUUUACGUCAGUAUUUAUGUAUGCUUUCUAGUAGCCAGAUGAAGGAGAGGUCUGAGCACAUUGCAGGUAUUGUGAGCAGGAUGCAAAAUUUCAUUUUUAAAGAGUUACUCCAGCCACCAUGACCACUUCAGUGAUUUGAAGUAGUCAUGAUGGAAGAAGUCAGUAUGUGCGGGGUUUCAGCUUAAAAAACUGCACAUACUGAGAUAUUUGUAAUUGUUUGCUAAUUGCACCCUCAGCACACUUGACAUUGGCAGCUCAGAGCUCUAUUCCGGGCUGUCAGUGUCCAUUCUGUGCAUUAAAAAUGUCUGUUGUCAGUGCGUACUGCACACUGCCGACAAACAUGAUAAUCCUCCCCUUGCAGACAAAGCGUCUGCAAGGGGAAGAUUGCUAUCCCCUCCAAUACUCCAAUCCAUAUUGCGCUCCAUCUAACCUCCUUGUGUUGCAAAUUGUUGUUUUUUUGUUUUGUUUUUUUAAAAACCCUUCCUCCUCUCUACACCCUCUCCUUGCAGGUCUUGAGCGCUGCCAUUCGCUCUGAACCGGCUAAUUUCUACAAUCACAGGUUUAUCUAUGACAGGAAUAGGCGACCUUCGGCACUCCAGAUAAUGUGAACUACAUCCUCCAUAAUGAUCUUACACCCAUAAUGCUUUCAAAGCAUCAUGGGAGGUGUAGUUCAAAACAUCUGGAGUGCCGAAAGUUGCCUAUGCCUGCUCUAUGAGCUUCACCCAGUGAGUAAAAUUUUAAUUUUGCAGGUUUUACUGCAAAUCGAGGGGGGGACAUCUUCAACAUGGUGCCUAGUAGGGCAUUUUACACAGGAAAGAUCCCCCCCCCCUCAAAAGGGUUAGCAUAACCCUUCAAUUAUAUGCAAAUGUUUCAGACCCUCCUUUAAAUAUUGCUACUUACAGGACAAACAAAUAUAUGAAAAAUUCAAUUAUAUAAUUUUACAAAUAUUUCAUUUAGAUUUUAUACCUAAACAGCAGUCUAUGUAGGGAAUUUCCGUUUUAUCCUUGCUAACUAUGCAAACGAUAUUGAAAAUAAACUUUAUUUUUUUAAAUGUACAGGAAGGAACAUAAUAGUAAAGAAGUAUAGGUCAAGCAGCAUUAUUUGCUGGGGUUCAUUUCCCUUAAGUCUUAGAGAAUUAUGGUUUAAAAGCUUUUGGCAGAUGUCACCACACACUUUAAUUAUAUCUAAUUUAGCGUUCCUCUUUUUAUGUCAGCUGCACAGUUGAUCAAUCGAUACAAGAAGUAUAGUAAAUACACAGGGUCUGGUUAAUUGUUUCAGCUGCAGGUUGAACAACUCCCAGAGAAUUAUUUAUUAGAUAAAGUCCCACAAAAAAAACAAUCUUAUGUUGCAUCGAUAGCCAUUAUUUUCAGUUUUCUCUUGUCUGCUGCCAAGAGGCUAAAUUCACUAAUGUCUGUUAAGUGGGGUUGUCCAACAAUUCAGGGUUAACUGUCAUUUAUGUUAAUUGUUCCGAACAUGCUUUUGCAGUGCAAUAGCUGCAACAUAGGCUAAGGCCUACUGGAAACUUAGGCCAAAGCAAAAAAGGGAGACAACUAAAUUUUUUUUUUUUUUUUAAUUCUUUAUUUUUGCUGUGCAUAAGAUAACAAUGGAGCUUGUGAUGCCACAACAGCAAACACAGUUUCAAUAAUGUCAAAUAGAGUAAUACAGAAGCAUGGCAUUGACAUAAUAGCACUCUUUUUUAAAAGGUAAUAACAGGCUAAUCAGACAGGCAAAUAUGUAUUAGAUAUGACCACUGGACAGAUUGCUGGACUAGGCAAAUUAACCACUGUUUUAGCAUGUAAAAUGCAAGUUAGUGAACCACUGGGACUAGGCUAAGCAUUAUAAUGCUGCACCAGACAAAGUGAAACUAGGCAAGAUUAGGUAAACAUGUCAAAGAAAAAUAAAAAAAAGAGUACAGAGAAGGUGCCGUUCGCCAUUUUAAGAGGGGUCUAUAUCUCUAGUGGUGGGCUAAAAGCUGGGUUCAUCCAACCCCCAUAGGUGUCACAAGUAUGGCACUAUCAAGGAAGUCCUGCUUGGGACUGGCUGCAGACUGGUGUCGAAGGUGUAUUCUCCCCCACGUCCCAACCCACAUAAGGGCAAGCUUCACCAUUCCUCUGACUCUACGGUUUUUGCUUGCCAUGACCUUCCCCUCCUAGGGGUAGUUGACAGCUGUAGUGCUAGUUUGCUGCUGACAACGGUGGAUCUUCCGCACCCGAAAUCGCAUUGUAAGACCUCUGCCAAGUCUCUGGUUAUACUGGCGGGAGAAUGGUCCAGCAGAUGGCUGCUUCGUGCUUGGACGGGACUUUCCCGCCUUCCUGGUCUCACAUCUCGGCUCCCUCCUGAGACACGUUCCGAGCCUCCGGCUCACGUCUGUGUAGCUGUAUCCAGAAUUGCUGAAAUAUUUCUUCCAAUCGUAGCAGGCACUAAGCAGUAGAGCUGUGGAGGAUUUUUUUGGAGAGGCUCAGCUCCCAUGCGCUCGGAGGGAGUGCAUCCGCCAUCUUGUGUUGCAGAGUGUCGUCCUUGUAACGACAAGGAGUGAGUGCUGCUAAAACAUUCAAUGGUGAUCCAGUGGGAUAACAUCUGUUUUUAUCCAGUGAGCUUCUAUUUUUAGACAAUUCCCAACUCUCUUCCUACGAAGAAGGAGAUAGAUGAAGAUGAUAAUUGGAUUUAAUUAGAGAAAGGUGUCCAUGCCCCCUUGUUUAUUUGUAUGUUCUUACUCUUGCUCUAGCAAGAUUAUAGUCCCUAGUUUCCAAGCAUCUAGAACUGACCAAACAUUGACACCCCAUGCUGUUUUUGUGAGUCCCCUUUGAAUGGGACAGGUAUAUUUUAUUAGUAUAUUUACAGUUAACUGGUCUUAAUGUGUUAUUUACUGUAACAGUAAGGCCUUCUCCUGUGCAGUGGAAACCCCUAAACACUGGGAAAAGGCUAAUGGAGGUUUUUUAUUUAAUACAUUUUAUUAUAUAUUUAAGAUGGCUCACUGAACCAAUUCUGCAAAAAGGUAUUGGUCAUCUUUCCUGCCCCCCCUCCCAUAAAGGAAUGAAAAAGGUAUUUUACUUACCUCUUCUCCGUCAUGGCGAUGCUGUCUUGGAGGCCAGCCCUGCCUCCCUGGGUGAGAUAAUCUCAGCCAAUCAAAUGUUUUCCCUCAGGGUAGCAUUGGGAGGCUAGCGCUCAUGUGAUGCAAAGCACCUCUAUGUGCCACUUAUCUAAUUGAAUAGCAAAAUGUAAACAGUGCUGUUAAAGUGGAAACACCUUGGAUAGAAACAUACCUUUUCCAAGUAAGUUUUGUAAAUGAAUGGGGAGUCGCUGGUUGGCUGAGAGAGUCGGACAGCACUCCACGCUUCCUGUAAGUAAAAGCCACUGAGGAGGUGGGGGGGACCUGAGAACGACGCUAGAGGCAACUUCAGGGUUAAACUGCUCAAAAAUUAUUUAACCCCUUGAGGUAAGAGUGCGUUUUGGGGGACUCUGGGCACCAUAACAACUUAAUUUACAUUAACUUGUUUCGGUGCAUGGAAUGUUCCUUUAAAGAGAAAGAGGGUGACUAACUGCUCAGCAUCUGCCUGUUUAAUGAAGUUGUUUGACAUGGUCAGCUAUGGAUCUGUCAGUGGCUAUUUAUAAAAUACACUUUCUAUUCAGUAGAAGAUAUUCUCUUAGGAGAUUUUAAAACACAGGCAUCACCAAAUAAACUAUAGCUAAGACCUGAGUUGAUUUGAGCUCGAUUACACUAAGUUGAGGGCAUUAAAGACUUAUAUAUUUAUAGGAAACUCAGGUAGUCGUCUUGAGAGAAUUUUAAGUAAUUCCUCUCUAAUUGUGUAUAAUGAAGUGGACAUCCAGUUCAUGUUAUCAUUUUUUUAUAUGGCAUCAUUGGUUCCCAUUAUUAUAUUGAUCCUUUAAAUUGUGUCCAAGCUUUGUAAAGCACACCUGUCACCUUUUAAAGAUUUUAUAAUAAUUAACUCCAUGAUAAAAAGUAAUGCUAAAUCAUUACCAUUUAAACUUAUUGAAAUGAGCAAAUAUUGGUUAAUUAUAGAUGAAUACGAGAUUGAUUUACAUGUUCAUAUAAUGUUUAUCCAUUGCUUGAAGUUAUCUUCUUUACAUUGUAUCAAAUCCUCUUGAAACUAUGCUGCCAACAAAUGGCUAUUACACAUGCCAAAUUCAAAUCUCUGUUUUGAUAAUGGUCCAAACCCCAAAUUGGGCAUAAUUACCUUCAGCUCCAUUACUUUUGCGGUUAGAUUAGGUUUAUUAAUGUUAUAUAUUUUUAGCUUUCGGAGUAUUUUUUUGUUAAUGCAAUCGGUUUAGCAUGUUUACAAAGUACCUGUCUGAUUUGCAGUACCAGUUUAUGGUGGAAUUGGAGGUGUCCUUCUUCCUCCAUCCCCAUUAUACGCAAGUAUAUAUGUUGUACUUGAUAAACAGGCAUAUGCAUGCUUUUUAAUCUGCAUCAUAUAUUUCUGAUGAAAUGUGAAUGAAUUAAAUUCCAAGCACCAUAACCACUACAGCUCUUACAUUUUUUGUAUGUUUCUCACACACACACACACGCACAUAUAUAUAUAUAUUUUUUUUUUUUUACAUUUUCAGGUGUGUAUUUGAGGCACAUGCACUCCGAAAUAAAUAAAGAUUGCCCAGCUCAAACCUUUUUCUUUCAAUCUUAUUUUAGAAUGUAGAAUAUACUUUCCCCCUAGAAUGUACACCCUUAACACCCUCUGUGUGUCCAACUCAUCUUGUUUCAAAUGCUUGUCUGUUAGUUCACCUAUUACAGCACUGUGGAAUUUGUUGGCGCUUUACAAACGUGCCAAACAAAAUAAUGACUUUUCUGGCCCUACAAUGCCUUUAUCAAGAGUUUGAUAAAAACUUUGUUGUGCUGAAACGUCACCAUCUUGUUUGGCACCCUAAAAUAAAUUAUCAGAAGACAAAGGUUUCCGCUGGACAAUGCACCUUCAAAAGGACAAAGUCUCUCUACUUGUGUUAUAUUUCAGGCACAUGUAGUGUAGUAGCUGUUGUUUUAAAUUUAGUUUUCAUUUUGUUCAUUGGUUUAUUUAUUUGAAUAGAAUCUGAUUACAUACUUUCCUGUUUUUUUAACUUGCUGCUCUGUUAGUUAUCUAAAUAAUGUACCCCCUAAAGAUGACAAGUCUAUCUGAUUUUAUUAUAUUGGCAUUCAUAGUUGAAUAUUUCUUCUGCCAUAUAUACUGUAUUAAAAAGAAAAUAUUACUUCACAGGUACUUAAAUAUAAAAAAAAAAAUAAAUUCAGAAUCUGCAGAUCAUAUGUUUUUAUUUCACUUGUAAUAAGACAAAAAUAGUAAAGGCGCAUUAAGAAUAGAGUGCACUUGUAAACCAUAUGUUCGAAUGACAAUUUCUACAUUAAUUUCAGUGAGUUUCAGAUAUUAUAGGUGGAUAUGUGUGAAGGAAACCACAAUAGGGCAUUUUAUGAAUUUUUAUAUUUUGUAUGACUCUGAUUACAUUCUCUAUCAAUGAAGUUGGAAACCAUUGUAAUUACCUGAAGAUGUGUUGGCACCGACACAAAUUAAAAAAUGCUGCAAAAAACAUGCUUGAUAAUGUUUAAUGAAGCUAAAACUUUUAUGUAUAAUCCAUCACCUAAUUGAGGAAUCGUUUUGCAUUAAAGUGGCAAUGUCACUUCUGAGCUUUUCAUAACAUAAUUAUACUCAUCAUAAAAACUUAUGUGAUCUCCUUUGUGUCAUGUAAGUGCCGAUUUGUGACAAAGAACAGAGCCACAUCCUGCCAUUUUUCAUCAGCUAUUCCAUGCAACUGCUGAUUGGAGCAGACAUCUUCCUGCCUGUUGUGUAAUAGAUCCCUAUGUGCAAGAUGAUCUAUGGGGUAUACCUUUAUCUUGCAGGAGUUAAAAUCAACCCCAUUUGGUACUCACACAAGUGAGAGAAAGGAUUAAUAGUGAUCUAACUGUGCAAAAGGGGCUAAUGGGUGUUGGGCCAAAAAGGUGCUACUGGUUCCUGCUUACUCCAUACAAUUAUUCAUUUGUUUAGUUCUACAUUGUAACUUAAUAAUGUAUUCAUUCUUUGUUUUUUGCUUGUUAUGUAUGGAGAGACACCUUUAAAGAAAUGCUACAUCUUCUUGUGGUUCUCAGGGUUUUUGAGGGUUGUGCAAAAAAAGCUUUAUAUUUCAAAGCGUGAUCUUUGUGGGCAUGUUUUUGUUAUGUGUGAUUGUGUGUAUGGUUUAUUUUUGUUGAUUCCAAUGGUUUCCGUGAUGAUUGUCCCGAUUUUAGAACUUUGCCCCACUCCUCUGUUAGCAAAUCUUCGAUAUUUGUAACUUUAUGCCGCAUUGGAUAGAUAAUGCCAGUACAGAAUGCUGGUAACUAUUUUUAUACAUGCCACAAAAUUCUUAAACUACAAUUAUAUCACUUUUCUGUAUUGGUGCAGCUGGCUCACUCGUAGUUUUAUCUGGCAGUAAUCAUGUUAUACAUAAGCACAGACACUAAUUGUGUCACAAUUGCUACUUUUCUCAUGGAAACCCUUUUAUACAUUGCCCCAAAUGUCUCAACAGGGAGUUUUCUGCAAUGGAGAGCUGUGAGUUGAUUUGACUGCAUGCACUCCCAUUGAACUCUGCACCUGCUUGGAAACCUGCAAGGCUUCUAUAAAUCCUGCAUUGUUAAAGUUCCUUAGUCCUUGGAACAAUCUGUUUGUUCUAUGCAAAAUAUUUAAUGAGUACAACAUGGAUAUAACAUUUCUCAAGUCUAUGGUUUUUUUCUUGAGUGGCUAUCUAAAACUCCUUCAUUGGCUAAGCAUGAUGAGAUCUGCAGUCCACAGUAACAUGACAAAGGUUGCAGUUGACUGGGUAAGACCAUUGUAUUAAUGUGUUUUCUUUCUGGUUCUCCAAGGCACAUUGGCCUCGAUUUAAUAAGCUUUUCAACUGAUUCAAUACUGAGAAAAACUUUCCAAAUGAUUUAUCUACAAAAGUCACCAUUACGGUCUAUGGGAAUUGUUCUAGAUAAAUCAUUUAGAAAAUGUGUCGAACAGUAUUGAAUUAUUUGGCAAGCCUAUUAAAUCAAGAACAUUGUCUUCAACAAAACGGAAAUUCGGCAUUGCUGAUGCUUAAUUUGACAUUAUGUUGUAAGUUCUUGCUUUUUAAGUUUUUAUAUGUGCAAUUUUUUUAUCUGCCCUUAUAGACAAAGAUGAACAGACAGUCAAAUACUCUUUCUUUACAAAAGAGAUUGACAGUGGGAUACUGUAGAAAUCCCUUAUAUUGUGUAUUUGAGGUUAAAUAAUUUGACAUGUAUUAAACUGUUCACUCUAGCUGCAGUCUCAGUCAAUUGCCAUAAAAUCAUAUUGAAUUUGGUCUUUUCCAUUGGAGUUAUUUCCUAUAUGUACUGGAAAACCUCUGAAAGCGUACAGUAAUGUUAAAGAUACUCUUUAAAGUAUCCUCAAACUUCUCCCAUUGUUUCCACUUCUCUUCCUCUUUCAGAAUCUGUUCUUCCUUUUUGAUCUAUUUCUCUUAAAACAUAAGAAAAAGUAUGGACUACUUUGUCUUAUAUACUUUUCCUGCCUAAUGUCAAUUCUGUGCAUAAAAUUUGUCUGUCGACAGCGCUCGCUGCACACUGCCGAAAGAUGUAAAAGCGUCUUCCUUGCAGAAAGAGCCUGCUAGGGAGAAGCUCUUGUCUCCCCUUUCUCCCUCCCUCCUCCAAAUCCCAUCGACAAUUUUAUUUUAUUCUUCGUCCUCCUUAUCUACUACCCUCUCUCCCUCCCUUCAGUGGCUAAGAGCACGUGUAUGCUCCCUGAGAGUGUAAAAUAGUCAAAUCAAAUGUUUCUCCAUUAGAAGCCUUUGAUUGGACAUCAACACAGCUCCCGUGAUGUCAGACGGGGGUGCACCGAGCAGCACUGGGGAGCUUCACCAAGCGCUGGAUUAAGGUAAGCAAAGUUACCUCUUUGAGUCUUUUUCUAGGGGGAACUGAUAGAAUAAUACCAAUAUGUCAUUAUUCUAUCAUAAAUGAAAAAGGGUUGGAGAAACUCCAAAACACUGUAAUAAGCGAAGCUAAAAAAAGCUAUCUAUCUAUCUCACAACAUUUCAUAUGGCAGAGAACAAACACAUUUAUUCAGGGGUCGAGUCCUGGGAAAUCCCCCCCCCCCAAAUAAAAUUAUUAUAUGCUCGUAUGCAUAUAUAUAGCUGGGUGAAGGGUUGACAGUGUGUGGGGGUUGAAAGUGAUUGGAGAUGGUGAUAUUGUGUGGAGGGGUUGUGGGGGUGACAGUGUGUGUGUGAGGGGGAGGGUGACAGAGUGCAUGUAUGGGGGGAGUGACUGGGUGUGUGUGUGGAGAGGUGACAGAGUGUGUGAGGGGCGGUGACAGGGUUGUGGGGGGGCUGUGACGGUGUGUGGGGAGACAGGCUGGGGAAGGCUAUGAUAGGGUAGGGGGCCUGUGAGAGGUUGGGGGCUGUGAGAAGGUAGGGGGGCUGUGAGAAUGUAGAGGGGCUGUGAAAAGGUAGAUGGGCUGUGAGAAGGUAGGGGCUGUGAGAAGGUAGGGGCUGUGAGAGGGUUGGGGCAGUGAGGUGGGUACGGGGUCUCUAAGUGAGUAGUGGGUCUGUAUAUGGGUAGGGGGCUGCAUGGUGGGUAGGGGGGGCUGUGAGUGGAUAGGGGGACUGUGAGUGGGUAGGGGGGCUGUGAGUAGUUAGGGGCUCUGUAAGGUGGGUAGGGGUUCUGCAGGGUGAGUAGAGGGGCUGUAAGGUGGAUAGAGGGGCUGUGAGUGGGUAGGGGAACUGUGAGUGGGUAAGGGGGUUGUAAGGUGGGUAGGGGGGAUGUGAGUGGGUAGGGGGACUGUGAGUAGGUAGGGGUUCUGUACGGUGGGUAGGGGGGCUGUGAGUGAGUAGGGGGACUGUGAGUGGGUUGGGGUUCUGUAAGGUGGGUAUGGGGACUGUGAGUGGGUAGGGGGGCUCACUGACUCACUGACAGACACACACACACACACACUCACAGACACACACUGACAGCCAGCCACACACACACACACACACACACACACAUUAUUUUUCUAAAUUUAAUUUAAAUCCACCCAGCCUCCCUACCUUUGGGAGAGCUGGGUGGAUUUUUUAACUGGAGUCCGGCAUUUAUUGUAGCUACACAUUACUCUAUAUAGCUCCUAGAAAAGAUAGAAAAGAAGGAUAGAGAGAUUUGUGCCCAAAAUAGGGAUUGUCAUUCCUAAAUAGAGAUACUUGGGAGCAGGAAGGCAGGCGGGCGAUCAGCUGAGUUCCAGGUGGGAGUGAUGCCAGUGCUCCCUCGCCACCCGCCUGGAGUUCAACCGGCCGCCUCCCGCAAAGCUAACAAGGCAAAUGCCUUGUUUGCAUCGCGUGCAAACAAGUCCGUGAAGACUACUAACGAGAACGAUGCUCCUGCUGUGGAAAAAGUGCAGGAACACCUUUCCUACGCGUUCCUGUAGGACUCGAGUCCUGCAUUUAUUGUAGCUACACAUUACUGUAAAUACUGUGUGUGUGUAUGUAUGGUAUACAUAGGCGUGCGCAGCCUAUUGCAUUAGGGUGUGCACCCUAAAGCACAAACAUACGCCGCGUGUGUGUGUGUAUAUAUAUAUAUAUAUAUAUACACAUAUAUAUAUAUAUAUAUAUAUAUACAUAUAUAUAUUCACAGACACACACACUCACAGACACACUCACACACACUGACACACACAUACUCACACACUUACAGACACACACUGACACACACACACUCACUGACACAUACUCACACACUCACUGACACACACACUCACAGACACAUACUCACACACUCACACUGACACACACUCACAGACACAUACUCACACAUUCACACUGACACACACUCACAGACACACACUCACAUACUCACACAUUUACACACAAUCACAGACACACACUCACACACUCACAGACACACACUGACACACACACACUCACAGACACAUACUCACAUACUCACACACUCACUGACACACACAGACACACACACACACUCACAGACACACACACACACACUGACACAUACUCACUGACACACACUCACACAUACUCACACACACACUGACACACACACACACAAAUUAUUAUAUUUAAAAAAAAAAUUUUAAGUGUCCACCCAGCCUCCUACCUGGAGUGCUGGUGGACUUGUUCCUGGGGUCCAGUGGGGGCAGGCGCCUUUCUCCAGCUCAGCCGCGGCGAGGGAACUCUCUGCUCUCUGCUUCCUCUCCCCGCGCGGGCUGUCUGCUCGAGCUGGAAUAUGACGUCAUAUUCCGGCUCCCGGCAUCAGCGCGCGGCGAGAGGAAGCAGAGAGCUCCCUCGCCGCGGCUGAGCUGCAGGGUGGGGGGGAAUCAUCACCUCUUGCCCUCCCAUGACAGGGGCAAGAGGUGAAACAGGGGGCACUGAGUGCCUGCAGGAACAGCGUUCCUGCUCAAAAAAAGUGCAGGAACGCUGUUCCUGCAGGACUCAAACCAUAGGCGUGCGCACGGGGAUUAGGGUGUGCCCAGGCACACCCGGCACACCCCGUGCGCACGCCUAUGCCUAUAACAUGCAAAAAAAAGCAAAAAAGCACGUAAACACUAGGUAUUUUUAAACUCAGGACAAAAUUUUGAAUCUAUUUAGCAGUUUUUUUCAUUCGCUUUUGUAGAUGAGUAAAAGAUUUUUCAAGUAAAAGUCAAAAAACAUGUUUUUUUUUCAAUUUUUCAUCAUAUUUUUUUAUUUUUUUUAAAUUAAAAUACAUGAGAUUAUAUAAAUAAUGGUAUGUAAAGAAAGCCCCUUUUGUCCUGAAAAAAACAAUAUAUAAUUUGUAUGGGAACAGUAAAUGAGAAAGCGGAAAAUUACAGCCAAACACAAACACCACAAAAGUGUAAAAAUAUUCCUGGUCGCAAAUGUACAACAUCGCAAAAACAGUCCAGUCCUUAAGGGGUUAAAAUUACUUUGAAUUCUCAAUUUAGUAAAUAAACCAUUAUAUUUCAAAUUUAAGGGCAAAAUAACUAAACAGGAAAAAAAUCUCCAAGUCCGCCUUACUUUGAGUUCGACUACUAUGGCCUUAAAUGUAAAAAUCACUUUAAAUUUACUUUGAAUUACUGAGAAUUCUCUCUUUAGUAAAUAAUCCUUUAAAUCUUGACCUAAUAUAAUAAUAUUAAAUACCAGCUCACUGUGUGCAGCGCUUGUUGGUUUUGAGAUUCAGCAUGGUUACUUAAAGGAACACUAUAGUGUGAGGAAUACAAACAUGUAUUCCUUACAUUAUAGUGCUGGUAUGGAUUUUAAGGUGACUGACCAAGCUGCUGUCACGCUGAAUAGGUGAUUUUAAACACCUUUUCUACCGCAGCUGGCCUUGCAUUGCUCUGCAUCCAUGGCUGAGAUCACCAGUCUUGAUGAUCUCAGCCAAUCCAAUGCUUUCCCAUUGGAAAUAAAUGAGAGGCUAUUGUGCAUGCACAGCAAAAUGCUGCUCCAGACCAAUCGGCAUUCCCUGAAAUGCGUUUCAAUUGGGGAAGGUUCAGCGCCUCCAUGCAGAUUAUGGAGAACCUGAACGCUACUGCUGCACCGUCUGAGUGACUGCCACAAGAGAUAUUAUUAGGCACCAAUGUAAAUACUGCCUUUUCUCUGAAAAGGCAGUGUUUACAUUAAAAAGCCUGCAGGUACAGGCUAUAGACACCAGAACAACUUCAAUAGCUGUAGGGGUUCUGGUAACUAUAGUGACCUUUUAACAAUUCCUUGUAUCAGCUUUAUUAUACUCUGUAAUUCAGAUGUGUUCAUUUUCUUUUAUUCGUAGUAGGCUCCAGUAAGUGCUAAGCAUUUCAGUCAAAUACACACAACUAAUGGGUUAGAUAUUAAAGAGACACUAGUUACCCAGACCACUUCAGCUCAAUGAAGUGGUCUGGGUGCCAGGACCCCCAGGUUUUAACCCUUCAGAUGUAAACAUAGCAGUUUUAGAGGAACUGCUAUGUUUAAAUUGCAGGGUUAAUCCAGCCUCUAGUGGCUAUCCUCCUGACAGCCGCUAAAGGUGCUUCUGCGAUGCUGGAUGCGAAAUUCGCAUCCUGCGUGCAGAACGUCCAUAGGAAAGCAUUGAGAAUUGGUUUCCUAUUGACUGUUUGAAUGCGUGCACAGCCGCGCAUGCUCAUUCCGCUCCACUCAGGAGCCGAUGUCGGAGUGGGAGAAGAGGUCACCAGCGCCGAGGGAGCCCGGCGCUGGAUAAAGGUAAAUGGCUGAAGGGGUUCUGAGGGUGGGGGGUCCUAAGGAUACUAUAGUGUCAGGAAAACUCUUUCCUGACACGAUAGAAAUCCUUUAACCUUCUCAACUUCCUUUACUUCAGCACAAGUGUCUAAUUAUAUAUAUCUUUAGACACUCAUUUUUUUUUGUCUUAUUUAAUUUCUUUCUGUUUAUUCGUGUUGUUAGUAUAUAUAAAACAUAUUAAGUUUUGUGGAUUUCAAAAUAAAAGUGGACUACACCUUGGCCUAUUGAAGAUGGGGGAAAUGUAUCUUUUUCCAAGAUGUUUCAGUCUAUUCUCAAAUGUAUCCAUCCUGUGAGUAGGUUGUUUUAUCAUGCACAGUUGUACUUUUCUGAUACUUAUAUUCAUUUGCAGUUUUACCAGAAUAAAAAGGCCAUGAAAUGUAGAUUUUGUAGAGUUAUAUUAUAUAUAUAUUAUAUGCUGCAUGUACCGUUACAUUAUACCUUGGAAAACAAACACUGUCUUCUGUGAAAAAAACAAACAAACACAAAAAGCUUCACAAAAUAUGUUAUCUCGGAGCAGAUAGAUGGUCUAUUUUCAUAUGCUGCAUCUCUUCAGCUGAGCCAGGAGGCUAUGAAUUUCGCAGUCUAUUGCCAGGCCCCCAGGGAAGUUUAUUAAUCACUGGCAAGGAGAGGGUCUCACUUCUUUCCCCAUGAUGAUCCCACGGAGCUUACAAUUAUAUCUUGCCAACCUAAGUGCGAUUUCUCCCAGUGUGGCAGUGAACCCUCCUUUUAUCCCGAGGAUGAGAAAGUGGGAAGGCUUAGGCAAAAAUGACUGGAUUAUUUUUAUAGCAAUCUACAUAAACGCCAAAUAAGCAAGAUACGUGCUAAAAGCAACUUUUUUUUCUCUCUCAAAGGCUGAAUUUCUCAUAUUGAGAAGGGACACAUAAAUAGCUUUGAAUAGAGCAUUGAAUUUAAUGUAGAUUCACAUAUUCGUUUUCCCUAAUCUUUUCUGCUUAACCCAAAUCUGCAUGUAUACUCCUGUUAAUGUUCCUUUUCAAAGUUAAAACUUUUAUAUUGAAAGGAAACCCAGGAAGUUGUCUGGAGAGCAUUUGAAGGCAUUCCUGCCUGAUUGUACAUAACAAAAUGAACAUUUAGUUCAUAAUCUUAUUGCUUCAGUGUUGUUUUUAUUUUAUAGCAGGGAUAGGCAACCUUCGGCACCCCAGAAGUUGUGGACUAUAUCCCCCACAGUGCUCUUACACCCAUAAUGCUGGCAAAGCAUCAUGGGAGGUGUAGUCCAAAACAUCUGGAGUGCCGAAGGUUGCCUGUGCCUGCUCUAUAGAGAAACAUUUCUCUUUCAUGGUCCCAUUAUGUUCCUCAGCAUCUCUGCAGAUGGACUUUCAUGGACAGUCCCCUUCUCCCACACUUCACCUCACCUAUUUUACGUCAGUAUUUAUGUAUGCUUUCUAGUAGCCAGAUGAAGGAGAGGUCUGAGCACAUUGCAGGUAUUGUGAGCAGGAUGCAAUAGCCACUGAAUGUAGCAAAAUUUCAUUUUUAAAGAGUUACUCCAGCCACCAUGACCACUUCAGUGAUUUGAAGUAGUCAUGAUGGAAGAAGUCAGUAUGUGCAGGGUUUCAGCUUUAAAAACUGCACAUACUGAGAUAUUUGUAAUUAUUUGCUAAUUGCACCCUCAGCACACGUGACAUUGGCAGCUCAGAGCUCUAUUCCGGGCUGUCAGUGUCCAUUCUGUGCAUUAAAAAUGUCUGUUGUCAGUGCGUACUGCACACUGCCGACAAACAUGAUAAUCCUCCCCUUGCAGACAAAGCGUCUGCAAGGGGAAGAUUGCUAUCCCCUCCAAUACUCCAAUCCAUAUUGCGCUCCAUCUAACCUCCUUGUGUUGCAAAUUGUUGUUUUUUUGUUUUGUUUUUUUAAAAACCCUUCCUCCUCUCUACACCCUCUCCUUGCAGGUCUUGAGCGCUGCCAUUCGCUCUGAACCGGCUAAUUUCUACAAUCACAGGUUUAUCUAUGACAGGAAUAGGCGACCUUCGGCACUCCAGAUAAUGUGAACUACAUCCUCCAUAAUGAUCUUACACCCAUAAUGCUUUCAAAGCAUCAUGGGAGGUGUAGUUCAAAACAUCUGGAGUGCCGAAAGUUGCCUAUGCCUGCUCUAUGAGCUUCACCCAGUGAGUAAAAUUUUAAUUUUGCAGGUUUUACUGCAAAUCGAGGGGGGGACAUCUUCAACAUGGUGCCUAGUAGGGCAUUUUACACAGGAAAGAUCCCCCCCCCCUCAAAAGGGUUAGCAUAACCCUUCAAUUAUAUGCAAAUGUUUCAGACCCUCCUUUAAAUAUUGCUACUUACAGGACAAACAAAUAUAUGAAAAAUUCAAUUAUAUAAUUUUACAAAUAUUUCAUUUAGAUUUUAUACCUAAACAGCAGUCUAUGUAGGGAAUUUCCGUUUUAUCCUUGCUAACUAUGCAAACGAUAUUGAAAAUAAACUUUAUUUUUUUAAAUGUACAGGAAGGAACAUAAUAGUAAAGAAGUAUAGGUCAAGCAGCAUUAUUUGCUGGGGUUCAUUUCCCUUAAGUCUUAGAGAAUUAUGGUUUAAAAGCUUUUGGCAGAUGUCACCACACACUUUAAUUAUAUCUAAUUUAGCUUUCCUCUUUUUAUGUCAGCUGCACAGUUGAUCAAUCGAUACAAGAAGUAUAGUAAAUACACAGGGUCUGGUUAAUUGUUUCAGCUGCAGGUUGAACAACUCCCAGAGAUUUAUUUAUAAGAUAAAGUCCCACAAAAAAAACAAUCUUAUGUUGCAUCGAUAGCCAUUAUUUUCAGUUUUCUCUUGUUUGCUGCCAGGAGGCUAAAUUCACUAAUGUCUGUUAAGUGGGGUUGUCCAACAAUUCAGGGUUAACUGUCAUUUAUGUUAAUUGUUCCGAACAUGCUUUUGCAGUGCAAUAGCUGCAACAUAGGCUAAGGCCUACUGGAAACUUAGGCCAAAGCAAAAAAGGGAGACAACUAAAUUUUUUUUUUUUUUUAAUUCUUUAUUUUUGCUGUGCAUAAGAUAACAAUUGAGCUUGUGAUGCCACAACAGCAAACGCAGUUUCAAUAAUGUCAAAUAGAGUAAUACAGAAGCAUGGCAUUGACAUAAUAGCACUCUUUUUUAAAAGGUAAUAACAGGCUAAUCAGACAGGCAAAUAUGUAUUAGAUAUGACCACUGGACAGAUUGCUGGGACUAGGCAAAUUAACCACUGUUUUAGCAUGUAAAAUGCAAGUUAGUGAACCACUGGGACUAGGCUAAGCAUUAUAAUGCUGCACCAGACAAAGUGAAACUAGGCAAGAUUAGGUAAACAUGUCAAAGAAAAAUAAAAAAAAGAGUACAGAGAAGGUGCCGUUCGCCAUUUUAAGAGGGGUCUAUAUCUCUAGUGGUGGGCUAAAAGCUGGGUUCAUCCAACCCCCAUAGGUGUCACAAGUAUGGCACUAUCAAGGAAGUUCUGCUUGGGACUGGCUGCAGACUGGUGUCGAAGGUGUAUUCUCCCCCCCGUCCCAACCCACAUAAGGGCAAGCUUCACCAUUCCUCUGACUCUACGGUUUUCGCUUGCCAUGACCUUCCCCUCCUAGGGGUAGUUGACAGCUGUAGUGCUAGUUUGCUGCUGACAACGGUGGAUCUUCUGCACCCGAAAUCGCAUUGUAAGACCUCUGCCAAGUCUCUGGUUAUACUGGCGGGGGAAUGGUCCAGCAGAUGGCUGCUUCGUGCUUGGACGGGACUUUCCCGCCUUCCUGGUCUCACAUCUCGGCUCCCUCCUGAGACACGUUCCGAGCCUCCGGCUCACGUCUGUGUAGCUGUAUCCAGAAUUGCUGAAAUAUUUCUUCCAAUCGUAGCAGGCACUAAGCAGUAGAGCUGUGGAGGUUUUUUUUGGAGAGGCUCUGCUCCCAUGCGCUCGGAGGGAGUGCAUCCGCCAUCUUGUGUUGCAGAGUGUCGUCCUUGUAACGACAAGGAGUGAGUGCUGCUAAAACAUUCAAUGGUGAUCCAGUGGGGACGGGGAUAACAUCUGUUUUUAUCCAGUGAGCUUCUAUUUUUAGACAAUUCCCAACUCUCUUCCUACGAAGAAGGAGAUAGAUGAAGAUGAUAAUUGGAUUUAAUUAGAGAAAGAUGUCCAUGCCCCCUUGUUUAUUUCUAUGUUCUUACUCUUGCUCUAGCAAGAUUAUAGUCCCUGGUUUCCAAGCAUCUAGAACUGACCAAACAUUGACACCCCAUGCUGUUUUUGUGAGUCCCCUUUGAAUGGGACAGGUAUAUUUUAUUAGUACAUUUACAGUUAACUGGUCUUAAUGUGUUAUUUACUGUAACAGUAAGGCCUUCUCCUGUGCAGUGGAAACCCCUAAACACUGGGAAAAGGCUAAUGGAGGUUUUUUAUUUAAUACAUUUUAUUAUAUAUUUAAGAUGGCUCACUGAACCAAUUCUGCAAAAAGGUAUUGGUCAUCUUUCCUGCCCCCCCUCCCAUAAAGGAAUGAAAAAUGUAUUUUACUUACCUCUUCUCCGUCAUGGCGAUGCUGUCUUGGAGGCCAGCCCUGCCUCCCUGGGUGAGAUAAUCUCAGCCAAUCAAAUGUUUUCCCUCCAGGUAGCAUUGGGAGGCUAGCGCUCAUGUGAUGCAAAGCACCUCUAUGUGCCACUUAUCUAAUUGAAUAGCAAAAUGUAAACAGUGCUGUUAAAGUGGAAACACCUUGGAUAGAAACAUACCUUUUCCAAGUAAGUUUUGUAAAUGAAUGGGGAGUCGCUGGUUGGCUGAGAGAGUCGGCGGCACUCCACGCUUCCUGUAAGUAAAAGCCACUGAGGAAGUGGGGGGGACCUUAGAACGACGCUAGAGGCAACUUCAGGGUUAAACUGCUCAAAAAUGAUUUAACCCCUUGAGGUAAGAGUGCGUUUUGGGGAACUCUGGGCAUCAUAACAACUUAAUUUACAUUAACUUGUUUCGGUGCAUGGAAUGUUCCUUUAAAGAGAAAGAGGGUGACUAACUGCUCAGCAUCUGCCUGUUUAAUUAAGUUGUUUGACAUGGUCAGCUAUGGAUCUGUCAGUGGCUAUUUAUAAAAUACACUUUCUAUUCAGUAGAAGAUAUUCUCUUAGGAGAUUUUAAAACACAAGCAUCACCAAAUAAACUAUAGCUAAGACCUGAGUUGAUUUGAGCUCGAUUACACUAAGUUGAGGGCAUUAAAGACUUAUAUAUUUAUAGGAAACUCAGGUAGUCGUCUUGAGAGAAUUUUAAGUAAUUCCUCUCUAAUUGUGUAUAAUGAAGUGGACAUCCAGUUCAUGUUAUCAUUUUUUUAUAUGGCAUCAUUGGUUCCCAUUAUUAUAUUGAUCCUUUAAAUUGUGUCCAAGCUUUGUAAAGCACACCUGUCACCUUUUAAAGAUUUUAUAAUAAUUAACUCCAUGAUAAAAAGUAAUGCUAAAUCAUUACCAUUUAAACUUAUUGAAAUGAGCAAAUAUUGGUUAAUUAUAGAUGAAUACGAGAUUGAUUUACAUGUUCAUAUAAUGUUUAUCCAUUGCUUGAAGUUAUCUUCUUUACAUUGUAUCAAAUCCUCUUGAAACUAUGCUGCCAACAAAUGGCUAUUACACAUGCCAAAUUCAAAUCUCUGUUUUGAUAAUGGUCCAAACCCCAAAUUGGGCAUAAUUACCUUCAGCUCCAUUACUUUUGCGGUUAGAUUAGGUUUAUUAAUGUUAUAUAUUUUUAGCUUUCGGAGUAUUUUUUUGUUAAUGCAAUCGGUUUAGCAUGUUUACAAAGUACCUGUCUGAUUUGCAGUACCAGUUUAUGGUGGAAUUGGAGGUGUCCUUCUUCCUCCAUCCCCAUUAUACGCAAGUAUAUAUGUUGUACUUGAUAAACAGGCAUAUGCAUGCUUUUUAAUCUGCAUCAUAUAUUUCUGAUGAAAUGUGAAUGAAUUAAAUUCCAAGCACCAUAACCACUACAGCUCUUACAUUUUUUGUAUGUUUCUCACACACACACACACGCACAUAUAUAUAUAUAUUUUUUUUUUUUUACAUUUUCAGGUGUGUAUUUGAGGCACAUGCACUCCGAAAUAAAUAAAGAUUGCCCAGCUCAAACCUUUUUCUUUCAAUCUUAUUUUAGAAUGUAGAAUAUACUUUCCCCCUAGAAUGUACACCCUUAACACCCUCUGUGUGUCCAACUCAUCUUGUUUCAAAUGCUUGUCUGUUAGUUCACCUAUUACAGCACUGUGGAAUUUGUUGGCGCUUUACAAACGUGCCAAACAAAAUAAUGACUUUUCUGGCCCUACAAUGCCUUUAUCAAGAGUUUGAUAAAAACUUUGUUGUGCUGAAACGUCACCAUCUUGUUUGGCACCCUAAAAUAAAUUAUCAGAAGACAAAGGUUUCCGCUGGACAAUGCACCUUCAAAAGGACAAAGUCUCUCUACUUGUGUUAUAUUUCAGGCACAUGUAGUGUAGUAGCUGUUGUUUUAAAUUUAGUUUUCAUUUUGUUCAUUGGUUUAUUUAUUUGAAUAGAAUCUGAUUACAUACUUUCCUGUUUUUUUAACUUGCUGCUCUGUUAGUUAUCUAAAUAAUGUACCCCCUAAAGAUGACAAGUCUAUCUGAUUUUAUUAUAUUGGCAUUCAUAGUUGAAUAUUUCUUCUGCCAUAUAUACUGUAUUAAAAAGAAAAUAUUACUUCACAGGUACUUAAAUAUAAAAAAAAAAAUAAAUUCAGAAUCUGCAGAUCAUAUGUUUUUAUUUCACUUGUAAUAAGACAAAAAUAGUAAAGGCGCAUUAAGAAUAGAGUGCACUUGUAAACCAUAUGUUCGAAUGACAAUUUCUACAUUAAUUUCAGUGAGUUUCAGAUAUUAUAGGUGGAUAUGUGUGAAGGAAACCACAAUAGGGCAUUUUAUGAAUUUUUAUAUUUUGUAUGACUCUGAUUACAUUCUCUAUCAAUGAAGUUGGAAACCAUUGUAAUUACCUGAAGAUGUGUUGGCACCGACACAAAUUAAAAAAUGCUGCAAAAAACAUGCUUGAUAAUGUUUAAUGAAGCUAAAACUUUUAUGUAUAAUCCAUCACCUAAUUGAGGAAUCGUUUUGCAUUAAAGUGGCAAUGUCACUUCUGAGCUUUUCAUAACAUAAUUAUACUCAUCAUAAAAACUUAUGUGAUCUCCUUUGUGUCAUGUAAGUGCCGAUUUGUGACAAAGAACAGAGCCACAUCCUGCCAUUUUUCAUCAGCUAUUCCAUGCAACUGCUGAUUGGAGCAGACAUCUUCCUGCCUGUUGUGUAAUAGAUCCCUAUGUGCAAGAUGAUCUAUGGGGUAUACCUUUAUCUUGCAGGAGUUAAAAUCAACCCCAUUUGGUACUCACACAAGUGAGAGAAAGGAUUAAUAGUGAUCUAACUGUGCAAAAGGGGCUAAUGGGUGUUGGGCCAAAAAGGUGCUACUGGUUCCUGCUUACUCCAUACAAUUAUUCAUUUGUUUAGUUCUACAUUGUAACUUAAUAAUGUAUUCAUUCUUUGUUUUUUGCUUGUUAUGUAUGGAGAGACACCUUUAAAGAAAUGCUACAUCUUCUUGUGGUUCUCAGGGUUUUUGAGGGUUGUGCAAAAAAAGCUUUAUAUUUCAAAGCGUGAUCUUUGUGGGCAUGUUUUUGUUAUGUGUGAUUGUGUGUAUGGUUUAUUUUUGUUGAUUCCAAUGGUUUCCGUGAUGAUUGUCCCGAUUUUAGAACUUUGCCCCACUCCUCUGUUAGCAAAUCUUCGAUAUUUGUAACUUUAUGCCGCAUUGGAUAGAUAAUGCCAGUACAGAAUGCUGGUAACUAUUUUUAUACAUGCCACAAAAUUCUUAAACUACAAUUAUAUCACUUUUCUGUAUUGGUGCAGCUGGCUCACUCGUAGUUUUAUCUGGCAGUAAUCAUGUUAUACAUAAGCACAGACACUAAUUGUGUCACAAUUGCUACUUUUCUCAUGGAAACCCUUUUAUACAUUGCCCCAAAUGUCUCAACAGGGAGUUUUCUGCAAUGGAGAGCUGUGAGUUGAUUUGACUGCAUGCACUCCCAUUGAACUCUGCACCUGCUUGGAAACCUGCAAGGCUUCUAUAAAUCCUGCAUUGUUAAAGUUCCUUAGUCCUUGGAACAAUCUGUUUGUUCUAUGCAAAAUAUUUAAUGAGUACAACAUGGAUAUAACAUUUCUCAAGUCUAUGGUUUUUUUCUUGAGUGGCUAUCUAAAACUCCUUCAUUGGCUAAGCAUGAUGAGAUCUGCAGUCCACAGUAACAUGACAAAGGUUGCAGUUGACUGGGUAAGACCAUUGUAUUAAUGUGUUUUCUUUCUGGUUCUCCAAGGCACAUUGGCCUCGAUUUAAUAAGCUUUUCAACUGAUUCAAUACUGAGAAAAACUUUCCAAAUGAUUUAUCUACAAAAGUCACCAUUACGGUCUAUGGGAAUUGUUCUAGAUAAAUCAUUUAGAAAAUGUGUCGAACAGUAUUGAAUUAUUUGGCAAGCCUAUUAAAUCAAGAACAUUGUCUUCAACAAAACGGAAAUUCGGCAUUGCUGAUGCUUAAUUUGACAUUAUGUUGUAAGUUCUUGCUUUUUAAGUUUUUAUAUGUGCAAUUUUUUUAUCUGCCCUUAUAGACAAAGAUGAACAGACAGUCAAAUACUCUUUCUUUACAAAAGAGAUUGACAGUGGGAUACUGUAGAAAUCCCUUAUAUUGUGUAUUUGAGGUUAAAUAAUUUGACAUGUAUUAAACUGUUCACUCUAGCUGCAGUCUCAGUCAAUUGCCAUAAAAUCAUAUUGAAUUUGGUCUUUUCCAUUGGAGUUAUUUCCUAUAUGUACUGGAAAACCUCUGAAAGCGUACAGUAAUGUUAAAGAUACUCUUUAAAGUAUCCUCAAACUUCUCCCAUUGUUUCCACUUCUCUUCCUCUUUCAGAAUCUGUUCUUCCUUUUUGAUCUAUUUCUCUUAAAACAUAAGAAAAAGUAUGGACUACUUUGUCUUAUAUACUUUUCCUGCCUAAUGUCAAUUCUGUGCAUAAAAUUUGUCUGUCGACAGCGCUCGCUGCACACUGCCGAAAGAUGUAAAAGCGUCUUCCUUGCAGAAAGAGCCUGCUAGGGAGAAGCUCUUGUCUCCCCUUUCUCCCUCCCUCCUCCAAAUCCCAUCGACAAUUUUAUUUUAUUCUUCGUCCUCCUUAUCUACUACCCUCUCUCCCUCCCUUCAGUGGCUAAGAGCACGUGUAUGCUCCCUGAGAGUGUAAAAUAGUCAAAUCAAAUGUUUCUCCAUUAGAAGCCUUUGAUUGGACAUCAACACAGCUCCCGUGAUGUCAGACGGGGGUGCACCGAGCAGCACUGGGGAGCUUCACCAAGCGCUGGAUUAAGGUAAGCAAAGUUACCUCUUUGAGUCUUUUUCUAGGGGGAACUGAUAGAAUAAUACCAAUAUGUCAUUAUUCUAUCAUAAAUGAAAAAGGGUUGGAGAAACUCCAAAACACUGUAAUAAGCGAAGCUAAAAAAAGCUAUCUAUCUAUCUCACAACAUUUCAUAUGGCAGAGAACAAACACAUUUAUUCAGGGGUCGAGUCCUGGGAAAUCCCCCCCCCCCAAAUAAAAUUAUUAUAUGCUCGUAUGCAUAUAUAUAGCUGGGUGAAGGGUUGACAGUGUGUGGGGGUUGAAAGUGAUUGGAGAUGGUGAUAUUGUGUGGAGGGGUUGUGGGGGUGACAGUGUGUGUGUGAGGGGGAGGGUGACAGAGUGCAUGUAUGGGGGGAGUGACUGGGUGUGUGUGUGGAGAGGUGACAGAGUGUGUGAGGGGCGGUGACAGGGUUGUGGGGGGGCUGUGACGGUGUGUGGGGAGACAGGCUGGGGAAGGCUAUGAUAGGGUAGGGGGCCUGUGAGAGGUUGGGGGCUGUGAGAAGGUAGGGGGGCUGUGAGAAUGUAGAGGGGCUGUGAAAAGGUAGAUGGGCUGUGAGAAGGUAGGGGCUGUGAGAAGGUAGGGGCUGUGAGAGGGUUGGGGCAGUGAGGUGGGUACGGGGUCUCUAAGUGAGUAGUGGGUCUGUAUAUGGGUAGGGGGCUGCAUGGUGGGUAGGGGGGGCUGUGAGUGGAUAGGGGGACUGUGAGUGGGUAGGGGGGCUGUGAGUAGUUAGGGGCUCUGUAAGGUGGGUAGGGGUUCUGCAGGGUGAGUAGAGGGGCUGUAAGGUGGAUAGAGGGGCUGUGAGUGGGUAGGGGAACUGUGAGUGGGUAAGGGGGUUGUAAGGUGGGUAGGGGGGAUGUGAGUGGGUAGGGGGACUGUGAGUAGGUAGGGGUUCUGUACGGUGGGUAGGGGGGCUGUGAGUGAGUAGGGGGACUGUGAGUGGGUUGGGGUUCUGUAAGGUGGGUAUGGGGACUGUGAGUGGGUAGGGGGGCUCACUGACUCACUGACAGACACACACACACACACACUCACAGACACACACUGACAGCCAGCCACACACACACACACACACACACACACAUUAUUUUUCUAAAUUUAAUUUAAAUCCACCCAGCCUCCCUACCUUUGGGAGAGCUGGGUGGAUUUUUUAACUGGAGUCCGGCAUUUAUUGUAGCUACACAUUACUCUAUAUAGCUCCUAGAAAAGAUAGAAAAGAAGGAUAGAGAGAUUUGUGCCCAAAAUAGGGAUUGUCAUUCCUAAAUAGAGAUACUUGGGAGCAGGAAGGCAGGCGGGCGAUCAGCUGAGUUCCAGGUGGGAGUGAUGCCAGUGCUCCCUCGCCACCCGCCUGGAGUUCAACCGGCCGCCUCCCGCAAAGCUAACAAGGCAAAUGCCUUGUUUGCAUCGCGUGCAAACAAGUCCGUGAAGACUACUAACGAGAACGAUGCUCCUGCUGUGGAAAAAGUGCAGGAACACCUUUCCUACGCGUUCCUGUAGGACUCGAGUCCUGCAUUUAUUGUAGCUACACAUUACUGUAAAUACUGUGUGUGUGUAUGUAUGGUAUACAUAGGCGUGCGCAGCCUAUUGCAUUAGGGUGUGCACCCUAAAGCACAAACAUACGCCGCGUGUGUGUGUGUAUAUAUAUAUAUAUAUAUAUACACAUAUAUAUAUAUAUAUAUAUAUAUACAUAUAUAUAUUCACAGACACACACACUCACAGACACACUCACACACACUGACACACACAUACUCACACACUUACAGACACACACUGACACACACACACUCACUGACACAUACUCACACACUCACUGACACACACACUCACAGACACAUACUCACACACUCACACUGACACACACUCACAGACACAUACUCACACAUUCACACUGACACACACUCACAGACACACACUCACAUACUCACACAUUUACACACAAUCACAGACACACACUCACACACUCACAGACACACACUGACACACACACACUCACAGACACAUACUCACAUACUCACACACUCACUGACACACACAGACACACACACACACUCACAGACACACACACACACACUGACACAUACUCACUGACACACACUCACACAUACUCACACACACACUGACACACACACACACAAAUUAUUAUAUUUAAAAAAAAAAUUUUAAGUGUCCACCCAGCCUCCUACCUGGAGUGCUGGUGGACUUGUUCCUGGGGUCCAGUGGGGGCAGGCGCCUUUCUCCAGCUCAGCCGCGGCGAGGGAACUCUCUGCUCUCUGCUUCCUCUCCCCGCGCGGGCUGUCUGCUCGAGCUGGAAUAUGACGUCAUAUUCCGGCUCCCGGCAUCAGCGCGCGGCGAGAGGAAGCAGAGAGCUCCCUCGCCGCGGCUGAGCUGCAGGGUGGGGGGGAAUCAUCACCUCUUGCCCUCCCAUGACAGGGGCAAGAGGUGAAACAGGGGGCACUGAGUGCCUGCAGGAACAGCGUUCCUGCUCAAAAAAAGUGCAGGAACGCUGUUCCUGCAGGACUCAAACCAUAGGCGUGCGCACGGGGAUUAGGGUGUGCCCAGGCACACCCGGCACACCCCGUGCGCACGCCUAUGAUGGUAUAGCAUUCGCAUAUGUGCAACCUUCUUUAUUGGUGUAGCAAGGCUGUUACUAAAUCCAUUCUUUUUUUUGUAAUAUUAAAAGAUGUGAACAUAGUUCCUUGCGGAGAGGCCAUCUGUUCUCACAGUUUGUGUAAAUAAUCAUGAUAACUAGUUAAAACUGUUGGUACAAUCAAUUUUUUUUCAAUGAAAGGAAAUGUGCUAAGCUGACAAAAAGCGAAAAAGUAAAAGCAAGCCUGCAUUUAUUAUGGGCUUUUGUGUAUUGCAUAUACAGUAUAAUAGAGUUGUAGUAAUGGAAAAAAACUGUUAUAUUUUAUUGACUGAACUAAACUAAAAUAUUAUUUACAUUCAUUCUUCUAAAAGCAUAAUCCCACUGGAGGAAUAUAAUUUUUAUUUAAUCAAAAUGCAGUUUAACUGCAGUAUCGUGACACAUUUUCAGUGUGGAGGCAGCCAUUUUGGAAUCGCACUAACUUUUGAUGCUCAGUGAGAGUUUGUUGAUCAAAUAAAACAAGCUUGCCGAGUGCAUUUAAUGUCAGCAGUCAGUCAGAAUUUUCCUAGUGGCUGCACAAAAAAGGUAAGGGUUCUGAUGAUGCUGUGUGCCCAAAGAAAACACUGAAUAACCCUGGUUAAUUAGAAAUGUGUUAUUCAUAUAAAAAAGAAUCCUGCAAAACAAACCCCUUUGUGGUGACUGCUGUACUCUGUUACAAAAAACUCUGUUUUUAAAAAUCCAGUCAUAUUGAUAGUACAGUAAUACUUGCUAUUACUGGAAGCUUCAUUCAAGAGGCUAUCCAGCAAUAAUCUGAAAAUGCUUCCACCUGGGAUAAGACUUAUGUGACAGCGAGAUAACAAAUACCCUAUGCCAUGAUUGACAACCUAUGAUUGGCUGCAGCAGUGCAUGCUGAGAUCAGCUGUCAAUGGGCAUCACUGGUGAGGCGGUCCAGCAGCAGGGACUUGAUUGACCUCAGGCUGUCUGAUCACCCUGGGAGCCAAUCAUAGUGAUGACAUGCCUAAGUUGACAGGUAACACAAUAUGAUCUCUGUGAUUGGCCCUUUACAGCCAUCAGUCAACAUGGGGACCAAUGUACUAAACAGUUGCUAGGGUUAUUUAAGGGUUAAACAGGGUUAGUUAAGAAUAGGAAUAGCUAAGGUUAUGAUUUGCUGUGGUUAGCAUUAGGGCUAGAUAGGGUAAAUAUUUUACAAAGCUCAAAAUAGCAACAAAGUUUGGCCCUGUUCACUAUGGUGACACAGGUAUUGCCACUUUACCAAAUAGCAACUCUAGUAAUGAGAUUUUAACAUGAAUACGUUGUGUCUUUUAUUUGAUCUUGCAAGCUCCCCAAAGACGUGACAAAGGUAUGUAUACAUGUGGGUUAUUGCUAUACUUGGAAGAUACAGUUGAGUAGUAAACCUGGGGUCUUUGAAGUACUAUGGUGCACAAGGCUUCUGAAAUCCACAAUUAAAGUUUAAUAUUUAUGCAAAAUAUAGAAAAGAUAAUUUAUCGCUAGAUUCAUCAGGAAUUGGUGAUGAAAUGAGAAAGUGAAGAGACUAAAAAAAACCCACAUUAAAAAUCACAAGUUGUGUUCUAUUACAAAUGGUAUGCUAUGAUGGGAGUAAAAUGCAGUUGGGGGCUUCUACUUUGCCCAUAAAUUAGAAAUCUGAAAACUGAAAAAUGUCUGUAAUUUUAACCUAUAACAUCUCAAAAAUCUAGCAAAGGUUUCCUUGGGGGGAAAUUGUGCACACGGGGGCUGCAGCAAAAUAAAUCUGCAGUCUUUGCUGCAAAUGGCCUGUGAAAUUUCACACGAAAAUUAAAUGUUUGAGAAAAAAAACACAAAAAUAUAAGCAGUAGAUUUGGCAGAGUUUAACCCCAAAGGUGUUCCAGGGCCAGGCACUUCCUGCCACCAUAACAAGUUAAUGUCUAAGAAGUUGUUAUGGUGCCCAAACUGGUCCUUUAAUGCAUUGUGUUUUCUCUGAACAUUUUUUCCCCCCUUUUUUUUUUUUAUUGAUAAUUUUACUUAAGAUAUGUAUUCAUUUUAAUUCACUUAUAAUUAUUUAACAUUUUUGAAGCAUGACUGUCAGUAUGGAUAAUGAGAAAUUCACCUGCCAAUCAGUAAAUUGAGACAGUGAAAUAUACUAUUUUGGGAUCUCAGACUAUCUGGCCUGGUACAUAGUUCAGUAUAGAUUAUGCAUUUUAUAUAUGAUAACUGGACAUUCUGUUAAAGGGGGCAUUUGGAUCAGGCUUUUUUAUGUUUUGAAAAUGUCUGCAUUUUAAUAAUUUCAGUAAACUAAGAUCCUUGAUUGCAAGCAAAUGCUAUCAAUACAAAAACUCCACCUCAGGUCGAAUUAGGGUUUCUGAUAUUCUGCACUAAACUAUCUAUUUUUAAACAUCUCAUACAUUGAAAUGAUCCACCCCUUUUCCCUCCUGCUGUACACUUUCACACCUCUUGGUCUAAUUAGGCAUUUCCCAGUACAUUAUUUCUUCAGCAAAACAAGCAGUGUUUUCAAUGCAUUCAGAGUGUGAUCAGAUUAAAAAUAACUAAUGUCUUUGCAUGUAGUAUAUUAUUCUAGAUCCAGAGAACUGCACGUAAAUGGAUAUCAGACUACAAUACCAUCCUUUUAGUUAAUCAAAGUUAUGGAAAAUAUUUCAAUAUUUUAUAUAUAAAUAUAUAUAAAGUGCUACUGGAAAAAUGCAAGCAAUUGCUUCUCUGAAAGACUAUUCCAUUAAAUUUAAACUUAUGACACUAGACCAGGGGUAGGCAACCUUUUAGAUUUAGAAUUGUGAUGUCUCGUAGCGUGCCGGUCCUAUUUUUUUUAAAUUGAGGUGUGUUUGCUGCCAUAUUCUGCUUGUGUUAUUUAUACUGUAAUUGCUUUGUAUCGUUGUAUUUGUGCGUAUAUGAGCUAUUAUAUUGUAAAUGUUCAGGAGUAGUUUGUGGUAUCGUGUAUGAUACAUAUGAAUGGGGGCUGUGUAUGGGGGCUGCUUGUGGAAUUGUGUGUGGGUGGAUAUGUCACAUUGUGUGUUUGGUAGUGUGUGUAUGUGUGGGGGCUGUUUGGGGUAUUGCAUGUGAGAGGCUGCAUGUGGGGUUGUGUGCAUGUAUGUGGAUUGUUAGCGGGUUACGUUUGUGGGAAUUGUGUAUAUGUUUGUUUGUGGGCUGUUCGUAUUAUUUGUAUGAGGGGAGGCUUAUUCUGCAGGUCUGUGUAUAUCUAGCACUGGAUUCCCUGGGUUCCAGUGGGGACCAGACUGGCCAGGUACAGGUCAAGGACAGGAGCUGCAACAGCAGCUGCAGGCUGCUCUACUAUAGUGUGGAUUCCCAUUCACAAGUGCUGGGAGGAAGUGAUCUGAGAUCACUUACUGUAUGUGCUGCAAUGCAUAAAUUGAGGAUUGUCCUUCACCACCUUUUCGUAUUAGCAGAUAUCUGAAGAUUCACUGGGACUUCUGAUAGACCAGAGCCUGUUUGGCUGUAGCAGCCUUGAGUGCCGUGCAAAGACACUUUGAGUGCAGUGUAUGGCACUAGUGCCGUAGGUUGCCUACCCCUGCACUAGACUAAUUAUUUCACACGUUUGGGUCCAAUGACAUGUCAAGACUAAAUUAACCCUUGUCUUGAAUUCAAAUAACUAGAAAUUCUUAUAAAAUACGUGUUAUACUAGUUAACAGUGACAUGUUUUUAAUGCAGUCCCACAGCCGAGCAGUUUAAUUGCAUAAUGUUCCUGAUUUAAAGGAACACUAUAGGCACCAAAAUAACUUUAGCUUAAUGAAGCAGUUUUAGUGUAUAGAUCAUGCCCCUGCUCAAUUCUCUGCCAUUCAGGAGUUAAUUCACUUGUUUAUAAAGCCAUAGUCAUACCUCCUUGCAUGUGACUUGCACAGUCUUCCAAAACUCUUCCUGUAAAGAGAGAUCUAAUGUUUACACUUCCUUUAUUGCACAGUCUGUUUAAUUUCGAAUUUAUGAUUUCAUGUUCUAUUAAUAGCUUGCUAGACCCUGCAGGAGCCUCCUGUGUGUAAUUAAAGUUCAACUUAAAGAGCAGGAGAAAUAACUUCUUAAGUGAAGCAAUUUUUUUCAUGCAGACUGUGUGAAAUUCCAAACAUGUCAAACGAUAUACAAAAACAAAGUACUACUGCUGUUUUCCCUCACUCCUUCCCCCUCCCUCCCCUCCUCCCCCCACUUCCCCCGGUACGCUGUCAGACAUUUUGACGUCUUACCUGGGGGAGUUUAGACAGGAGUUAGCUUUCCUGAGCAAAGCAAUGCAAUGCUAGCUCUUUGACUAAGAGCAUCAGCUGAUCACUUUCAGCCAAUGAACUAAGCCCUGUACUACAGGAUUAAGCCCAGGUAAAGAGAGAGCUCUCCUUAGGAAGUAGUAGAGAUGGGGAGCAGUGUCAAUCAGACCCCAGGUAAGAAGUCAAACUGUUCUAAAACAAUAAAUACAAGUGGGGUGCCCGGACACUGGUGACAAGAUAACCACUACAAUGCACCAUUGGCUUUGUCUUCUCAUUGCCUAAAGCAGGUCUGAUUAGGACCUCUUAAAGUGAUUGUCAUUUCUCAUGGUUUGUCUAUCUAAAGGUUUAUUGAUUUAAAGGUGUGAUGUGUCAUUGGUUUAGAGGCUGAGUACACGGUGCAGAGACAGGUUCCCCAGCAUCAGUAAACAUCAUCCUCUGCCACUGUAUAAAUAUAUAUAUAUAUUACAGUUAUGCGUUAGAAUUAAAAAUGCGUGGGUGCUAAAAGCAUUUAAAAUAAACAGCGCCCCAUCCUCUGGAACAUACUUUGCGUGGGCUGGCGGGGGGGAUUUGAGGGGGGACAGAGGGGGAGGAGUUAACUAUUUAGUUGUGGGAGGUGACUUCUGAUUUGCAAAAUUUAGGGCGAAAUAGAAAACUUGCUAUUAUCUUCUGCUAGAAUUUUCUUUGCACUUAAUUUCAGAAUUAUUAUUCUCGAUUGUAGUUUAGGUUACUUUUUGGCAGUUUUUCUUUCAAAUGAUUAUUAAGCCUUCAGCUACUUUGUUCCAGAGCAUGAAAAAUAAAGCACUAAAACAACAAGAAAGAAUACUUAAUGCAGCAAAGAAACAUUUAUAAAGAUCACAGCUGUUUGUGGACUCUAAAUCCCAUUUUCCUUAGCCAGCAAAGAAACAUUUAUAAAGAUCACAGCUGUUUGUGGACCAUAAAUCCCAUUUUCCUUAGCCAGCAAAGAAACCUUUAUAAAGAUCACAGCUGUUUGUGGACUAUAAAUCCCAUUUUCCUUAGCCAGCAAAGAAACAUUUAUAAAGAUCACAGCUGUUUGUGGACUAUAAAUCCCAUUUUCCUUAGCGAGCCGUAUAUUGUAUGCUAAGUGGUUUGAUAGUAUCAUUUAUUUUGUAUUCCAGAUUUGGAGAUCAGCAAUUUUUGAUUUAUUAAGGUGUUCACAGGUGCACCCGAGCCUCAAAUGAGUGGGUAGACCAAGAUCUCUCUAAAUUGUUCUUGUUAGGGACAGAUGGCUGCUUAAAACAGGUGUCACUUUCAUUUCUAAUGCAUUGUGCUGGGACUUCCAGAGGCGCACAAAGGGGUUGUCCAAAGCAGGUGGCAUGCUUUGCUCUUGUCAUUAUCAAGAUCUCCCCACACAGCUAAUUAUUUUCCCAGGGAGUUGGAACACGUUUACGAAGAAGAAUAAAAAAAAAAGUGCAGUGUUCUUAUCAUCACAUUGUUAUUCAUAUGAAGUUUCCCUUUCAAUUGAUUAUCACCUAUCUUAUCAGGAAACACAUACAAUACUGCUUAUCUGCUAUAUUAGGAAAAUAAUAUACAACAGCAUGUGUAUGUAAAACGAUUGGAUACAACAAGCUGUUUGUACAAAUGUGUGUUUGCUUAUAUGUGUGUGUAUGUAUAUAUGUAUGUAUAUAUAUAUAUAUAUAUGAGUGUGUGUGUGUGUAUAUAUAUUGAGGGAGAUGAGAGAGAGAAAAAUAGAUGUAUUUUUGUGUGGUCCCUCUCAGUAAUCUAAUCUUACUGCUUCCUUCUUUUCUGUCCUAGUGCAUCCCUUUUCUAAGAACACAGUAAAUUGUGUGAGUGAGUGUGUGUAUUACAUAUACCUCUUCCGUGACUCUUAGAUAAGGCUUCAUUUUUCUGUACAUUAUCACCAUUCUUUGUUAGAAUUGCUUAGUGUUUCUCACACAACCUUUGGUAAAUCCAUACAUCUUCAGUGGCAUUAUGCGGUUUGCUCACAUUUGUAGGUCUAGUUAGCAUAUGGUUUCUGAUUAAUCCAUUGUCAAUAAAGGAUAGGUCUUAUUGUGUAAUCUGGUCCCUAUACAAAGAAAUACAGAUAAGGAUCAUUACUGUCAAAAGGCUCACCCUAUAUAUUUAUUAAUUAAAAUUAUAAUUAUGAUUGUAUUUGUUUAUGAUUUUUAUCCAUUCCAUUGAGGAUACUAUAUGAUAUUUAUAAAUGAAACACUCUUCCUCUGUCCAGCACAGACCUCAUGCUGACUGCAUGGGGGCAUGUUCAGUUGUAAUAAGCACUGUGAACAGUUUCAUUUAGUGAGUUUGUGGCAUUGUAUAAAGUGUUGGGUGAAUGCUAUGCCAGUAUUUCUAUGCAAAACUCUGGUGCUGAGUGAAAUAACGGAUUAUUAAAUGAGGAUAACCUCGAUUUAAUAUUUGAAUUAAACUUUUCAAAUGGUUUCUUAUUUUUUGGAUAAACAUUUAAAUAACUUUUUUGAAAAUAUUAAAAUAUCAAAAAUAUAUCAUGUAUAACAAAAAUAUCAAUAUGUAUAUAUCAUAAAUAUAAAAAUAUUAUAUAAUUUUAAAUGCUUCUCCAACCAUAUUAAAUCAGUGACAAUUUGUUUCGCUCACCUUUAACGUUUUGUCAUCAUAUGUUCAUUAAAUAUUAGUUGCCUAUAUUAACCAAACUUUUUAUAAAAAUAAAGUAAACCGAACAUUCGCAGAACCUGUGGGUUUUAAGUUUACUUUCCGUUAGAUAUAUUAUACCCAAUGUUAUGAAAGGACCAGCAAAUGUAUUCAUAAAAUCUAGCUUUCACAAUAAAAAUACGACAUUCUAUUCCUCACAAAGUAUCCUCCCCUCAUGUUUGUCAUGACACCUUCAUUUAAUGCAGUUAUGUGCUUUACAACAUUACACACUUGUCAUCUGCAGCAGUACCUGCUACUUUUUACUUAUCGUACAUUUAAAGGGAACAGGCCAGCUGGCUAUGCCUAACUCUCUCUUUAUUUAUGUACAAUAUUUUUCAUUGCUAUAAUUUAUAAAGUAUUAUACAAUCAUUCUCUUCUUUGCUGAAGUUCUUUUAUGUCGCACACAGAAUUGUUAAAAAAAAAUAGCUCUGCAAACAAAAUAUAUAUUUAUAUUAAUCAAAACGUUUGACAGUCAUGUGCACUUUUUUUUAUUUUUUGCUCUGUAUCCAACUAUGUAACAGGUUGACUUUAAUAUUAAUAUGAAUGUUGAUGGUUUAAUUAUAGUGUGUUCCUUCUUCAGAGUAUUUGGUUCCCAAGAUGUGUGUUUUUUUUGUUUGUUUUUUAAAACUUUUUUCUCCUUCAAGAUGCAUACAUUUGCAAAAUCAUUGUAUUGUAUACAUAUAUAUGAUAUUUACGUAUAGUCUUUUCUCUCUAACCAGCCUUGAACCUCCAUUUACUCUUCCUUAGAAUGACAGAAGCUAUUCCCUGGUUUUAUUGUUAGUCAGGAAGAACUUUUUGCAUAGCAAAUAUCUAUUCAAAAUCACUUGAUAUCACACUUGUAGUAACGUACUAGUCCCAUGAUGAUGAAAACAAAUAUUACUGAAUUGAGUUGCGCUUUACUUCAGCUCCUUUGUGCAUGAUUUUGGUAUAUGUAUGACAGAAUUUCUCUGAGCAGGUUUAUCAGCAGGAUAAUAGUAUUCCGACAGACAUGUUCAUUUAUUCAUUACACAAACACAUUUAUUAAAUUGACAGGGAAAUGUUAUGUUUCACAGACAGACUGGCCCCAACACAAGCAGUUUAAACCCAUUAUACAAAAUCAGGAAGUACUGCAAUCAGCUCACUCCCAUUACACACAAACAGUCCAUAUGAGAAACAGCUCGCUCCCAGUACAUACAAACAGACUAUAUCAUGAACAGCUCAUUUUUAUUAUGCAGGAUAAUCUAUACUUACCCAAGUCUGUCUCUUGCUCUCCUAAAGAGCCAUACUCCAAUCUCACCUCCAGCUCUGCCACUUUUCCAUCUUGUUUGGUGGCUGUCACCCUUGCUGCCCUGUAGUGUAUUUGUACCCCACCUCAUCUAGACUGUAAGCUCGUUUGAGGAGGGUCCUCAUCUACCUAUUUCUUUUUAAUUGUCUCAUGUAUUGUAAAUUCGCACCCCACCCCCCCUUCAUGAUAUUGUAAAGCGCUGUGGAAUUAGUUGCGCUAUAUAAAUACCAAUAAUAAUAAUAACAAUAACACAGCGCUCACUCCCAUUAUACACAUACAGGUCAUACCACACACAGCUCAUUGACAUAUGACCAUGACGCAAACCUCACUCCCAUUACAUACACACUGAUCACAUGUAAGGUCAAAGUAACCACACUGGAAGCAUAGGUUACAUGGGAGAAUUCUUAUAGUUCAACUAGUUUGGCCUUAAAUUUAAAAAUUAACUUUCAAUUCCUGUCAAUUCUUGGAUUAGUAAAUAACCAUGACCUAUAUGUUAUAUCACACACAAUUCACUUCCAUUACACAUUAGCAGGUCACAUCACACACAUCUCGCUUUCAUUAUGCACAAAGAACUAUGUCUCUAUGUAUAUUGUUUGUAGUAAUUGCAAAGUUUGCAUUGAAGGGUUAAAUACACCUCUAGUGGCUGUCUUCUUGACACUAGAGGUGCUUACUCCUCUAGAACCAAGUAAAACCCGGUCCUGUAACACCAUGCUGCUCAUUUAUUUAGAGAAACACUGUGUUUGGCAGUGCAUGUGUAUCUUUAAAGAGACACUCUGGACCACUAACGCACUUAAGCUUGCUGAAGUGCUUUAUAUAUGAAGAGUGCAUCCUAUUUUUUUUCAUUUUACAAAAAGUACAGAUUUCAAUAGAAAUUGACACUUUUAUAAAUGAAUAUGGUUACACCAAUCGGGCUUGCAAGGACAACCAGUCCUGUUACUUCCUGGGGGGUUUUCAGUGAGGGUAUGUCUACUAAACAUUAUUUUAAAUUUUUAUUUUGGCAGUGUAGUGUCCCUUUAAACGUAUACUGUAUUGUCAGGAAUACAGUCAUGUAUUCCUGACACUAUAGUUGUAAAAACACUGUUUAGGCCCCCCAACACGCUUUGCCUCCUUUUAACCCCUUAAGGACGGAGCCAAAUGUACACGUUGUGAACGAAACAAAAUGUAAACAAAACCUGGCAUUUGCGCUACAUGUCUGUCCAGCCGUAAUUCACCUCUUUCAUAUUAAAUGCACCCACCCUUAUUAUAUAUCAUUUUAUUCAGGAGAAACAGGGCUUUCAUUUAAUAUCAAAAAUUUAGCUAUGAAACAUAAUUUAAUAUGAAAAAAAUUGAAGAAAAUAAGAUUUUUUAAAAAUUUUUUUAGUUCUACAUGACAUUUUAACUGUCAAUGUCAUAAUACUGUGUGCUUUUACUGCAAUAAAAUACACAUAUUUGUAUUCAGCGAUGUCUCACGUGUAAAACAGUACCCCCUAUGUACAGGUUUUAUAGCAUUUUGGGACGUUACAGGGUCAAAUAUAGCACGUUACAUUUGAAAUUGAAAUUCGCCAGAUUGGUUACGUUGCCUUUGGGACUUUAUAGUAGCCCAGGAAUGAAAUUUACAACCAUAAUGGCAUACCAUUUGCAAUAGUAGACAACCCAAGGUAUUGCAAAUGGGGUAUGUCCAGUCUUUUUAGUAGCCAUUUGGUCACAAACACUGGCCAAAGUUAGUGUUAGUAUUUGUUUGUGUGUGAAAAAUACAAAAAAUGCCAAUUUUGGCCAGUGUUUUUCACUAAGUGGCUACUAAAAAAGACUGGACAUACCCUGUUUGCAAUACCUUGGGUUGUCUACUAUUGCAAAUGGUAUGCCAUCAUAGGGGUAAUUUUCAUUCUUGGGCUACCAUAGGGUCUCAAAGGCAACGUAACCAAUCUGGCGAAUUUUAAUGUGAAAAAAUGAAGCACAAGCCUUAUAUUUGACGCUGUAACUUUUGAAAACACCAUAAAACCUGUACAUGAGGGGUACUGUUGUACUCGGGAGACAUCGUUGAACACAAAUAUUUGUGUUUCAAAACAGUAAAAAGUAUCGCAGCAAUAAUAUCGUCCGUGUUAGUGCUGUUUGUGCGUGAAAAAUGCAAAAAACUUCACUUUUACUGGCGAUAUCAUCGUUGUAAUACAUUUUACUGUUUUAAAACACUAAUAUUUGUGUUCAGCGAAGUCCCCCGAGUAGAACAGUACACCCAUGUACAGGUUUUAUGGUGUCUUGGAAAGUUAUAGGGUUAAAUAUAGUGCUAGCAAAUUAAAUUCCCUUUACUUUCGGCAUGGGUUGUCAGGCAGGUCCCGCUAAUUGUAAUUAAUUAAGAUACCCAAUUAUGUAAAAAUAUUACAUAAAUAUAUAUGUAGAAUUAAUAUAUGUAUAUAUACGUAUGUGAAUAUAUAUGUAUAUAUAUAUAUAUAUAAAUAAUUUUUUAAAAUAUUUUUAUUUAUAUAUAGGUAUAUAUAGUGAUAUAUACGUAUAUAUUUAUGUAUAUAGAUAUAUAUAUUAUUUCGUUCUACGUGUAUUUUGAUAUAUAUAUAUAUAUAUAUAUUAAUUUCACAAUACAGUUAGAAUGAAAUAACACACAUCUAUAUAUUUUUUAAUUAUUUAUUUUUAAUUAUUUUUUAACGUAUUUACAUUUUAAUGUUUUUUAUUAUAUAUAAAUAAUAUAUAUAUAACAAUAAUUAUAUAUAUAUUUAAUCAGUAUCAGUCUACGUGUAAUUUGAUAUUAAUAUAUAUAUAUAUAUAUAUAAUUAUAUAUAUAUUAAUAGUAAAAUACACCUAGACAGUGUAUGUGUUUGUAUGUAUAUGUGUAUAUAUAUAUAUAUAUAUAUAUAUAUAUAUAUAUAUAUAUAUAUAUAUAUAUAUAUAUAUAUAUAUGAUCUAAGUAUAUAUUAUUUUUUUUUUACACUGAUUAACUUUUUUUAAUUUUAUUUUCAGCCAGCAGGGGGACCACCUGUCAUUACAGGCAGCCCCCUUGCUGGCAAUGCUGCAGCCAGCUAUCCCGGCCAUGUGAUUGUGAGGUCCUCGCAAGGACUCCACUCUCACAUGGCCGGGGGGGGGGCUUCAGGAGGAAGAUCUGCCGCGGUUUUAAGGGGUUAAAAAGGUAGCUUACUUACCUGUUUUUCAGCACAGCGCUAUUCUGUCUGAAGCUGACCCCGCCUCUCCCACUUCUGUGGCUGAGAUCAUCAAGUUUUACGAUCUCAGCCUAUCCACGGCUUUCCAUAGGAACGUUUCCAUUUGCCUUUCUUUUUUUUUUGCAAGUGAAAGGUGAUAAAAUAGCCUCAGCACAGGUGUAAAAAUAAAGUUUGACAGUGAAGGAGUUAAAGGCAGAGUCCUAUAAUAUGUAUUAAGCAAUCUCAUGCACUAACGCACUAAUGGGCUAGUUACAUUUUCCAGAUAUUAUGCAAUGCAUGCCGGGGGAUAUAGUUCACACCAGCAAACAUUACAGAAUUAGCUCAUCCUUGUGUAAACUUUGAAAUAAAUAAUACGUAUUAUUAACUGGCACACGUGUUGCUACUAUUUGGCCACUAGCAUAAUGUUAAAUUCCUCUAGCAUUGUUAAUAUUGAUACCUUUGAAUACACAGCUGCAUUGUUUUUGCAUAAAAUAAAAACCUAGAAAAACUGAAUAAGUACAGUAAAAUAACAAGCAAAAAACAAUGUUACCUGAUAACAAUGGUAAUUGGCACUUAGUAUUGGUCCAUAAUCAAUGUGAUAUUGUGUUUUUCACUUUGUACCUCAUCCAUAUUACAUGCUGUGCAAGCUUUACAAACUACUGAGAUUUCAGAAUAAAUGAAUGAUUAACCACGGCCGCCAGGUGUAACUCCUUUCUGGGCAGAGUAAACAACACAACAGAAAUUGGCUGAAGUGAAUUGAACGAUGGGAAUGGGAUGUGAUGUCACCUUAUUUGAAGUUUCCCUUGAUUAGACAUGAUUUGCUAUUCUAUUGCUAAUGGAAUUCAGGAAUUUUGCAAGCAAAUAUCACACUUUGAAGACUGGAGAUUCUUCCAAUAGAACUUGAGGAAUAUAACAGUACCUUGCUGCUCUGUGCAACGUGGAAAACACUCUGCAUGCAGUUUCUACAAUGGAGCUUUACUUUUGCUGAAAGCGUUCUAGGAUGUGCUGCUUGGAAAUCUUCUGGUGUAAUCUUCAUUGAUCUGCUGAGCUACAGUGUCCAUACUGCUGCUUUAAAGGACCACUAUAGUGCCAGGAAAACAUACUCGUUUCCCUGGCACGAUAGUGCCCUGAGGAUGCCCCCACACUUAGGGUCCCCCUCCCGCUGGGCUCUAGGGAGUGGAAGGGGUUAAACUUACCUCUUUCUCCAGCGCCGGGUGGGGGACCCUCCCAGGGCCGCACUGGCCCACCAGGAUACCGGGAAAUUUCCAGGUGGGCCACGGCAUCUGGGGGCUGCGCUGAGCAUGUGUGUGUCACCGGGUGGCCGGUCCGGUGGCACACACUCUGAGGGGGCCGGUGGGCUGGCGGCCGCAUUCCAUGCUGGAGCCGCCGGGCCGGUUGGCAGCCUUGCCGGUCCGGCGGCCCUCCUCCUAUCACUGAUGGCUGAGGAGUGAAGAAGGAGGAGCAUGUCUCUGUACCAUGCUCCCUCGCGGUUCCUGUGCUGGGGAUUGUGGGAACCGGGAGGGAGCAUGGUACAGAGACAUGCUCCUCCCUCCUCAUUCUUCACUCCUCAGCCAUCAGUGACAGGAGGAGGGCCGCCGGACCGGCACGUCUGCUUAAAAUAAAUCUGCACUUUUGUUUAUUUUGAAGCCUAUGAGUGCUUUUUUUUUACGUUGAAGUAAUAAUUUUUAAUUUUAAGUUCUCUUUUCUAACUCUGUAUCUGCACACUAUGCUGGCGUGACGCAUUAUGGGGCUGGUAAAUAUUUUUUUUCCAGGGCUGCUUUUAAUUCCCAGUCCGGACCUGGACUCUCCUCCUCCUCUCCUUCUCUAUAGCGACGUCAUUGGCUGAAUGCGCAUGGGCGGCAGGAGCCGUGCGCGCAUUCAGCCAGUCCAUAGGAAAGCAUUCUCAAUGCUUUCCUAUGGACGCUGGCGUAUUCUCACUGUGAAAAUCACAGUGAGAAGCGCGGAAGCGCCUCUAGCGGCUGUCAAUGAGACUGCCACUAGAGGCUGGAUUAACAUUAUUAUAAACAUAGCAGUUUCUCUAAAACUGCUAUGUUUAUAGAAAAAAGGGUUAAACCUAGCUGGACCUGGCACCCAGACCACUUCAUUAAGCUGAAGUGGUCUGGGUGCCUAUAGUGGUCCUUUAAACUAGGAACAUUUAUAAAGAGGGAAGAAUUAAGAUGCUACUGAACCGUGGGCAGGUUACCAGUUUGGGCCACCUCUUCACUGUUACUAUGAAAAUGAUGAAUGAGGCCAUGGUUUGCCAAGUUUUUUUAUGGCACCAGAGGCGCAUUCUAUUUCAUGGGUCCUAGGUGACCACCUGAUUAAUCUUGUUAUUUUUGAAAAACAUGAUUUCUAAAUGGCAGCAGUGAUAUUAAUGCAGUACUGUAUGUGUUUUCAGCAUCCUUUGAAAAAAAAGAUGACUAUGUACCUAGCGAGGAAGCAAAAUGUUUCAUUGCUUAUUAAAGACUUCAACUACUUACAUUAGACUUUGUUGUAUUACAUGCUUGAUUUCUGGGGCAAUGGAAGUAGGUAGUGAUGUCCCGAACGGUUCGCCGAAUGGUUCGCUGCGGACGGCGAACAUAUGCGGUAAACUUUGACCCUGUACCUCACAGUCAGCAGACACAUUCCAGCCAAUCAGCAGCAGACCCUCCCUCCAAGACCCUCCCACCUCCUGGACAGCAUCCAUUUUACAUUCAUUGUGAAGCUGCAUUCUUAGUGAGCUGUCCAGGAGGUGGGAGGGUCUGGGAGGGAGGGUCUGCUGCUAAAUGGCUGGAAUGUGUCUGCUGACUGUGAGGUACAGGGUCAGAGUUUACCGCAUAUGUUCGCCGUCCGUGGCGAACCGUUCGGGACAUCACUAGAAGAAGGUGCAAGCGAGCCAGUGGGAAGGCAAACUUGGAAACUGCCUAGAUAGCCUGUGAUCCGAAGAGUGCAAUGGCACCAUGAUGCACUAAAGCUUGGAGAGCUCUCUCUAAGCUUCCUCUCAGCUUCGUGUUUCUUGGCUAUCCUUUCGGUUGCCUGUUAUACUGCUCUAUUAAAUCAAUUAGCACACGGAAAUGUAUCUACUCAAAAUAAAACAAAAAUCACCUACUAUGGUGUUCAGCCUUAUUACAAUAUCCUGUACCGACAGCUGUGUAAUGUUGAUAGGUCAUGUUUUAUAAAUACAAAUAAAAAGUACCAUGAUGAUACUUGAAUGGAAAUACCUUGGCUUAAGCUUUAAUCUAGCAUGUAUAGAAUAUUUGCUUGUACAACAAGAAUUCACAUGGACAAAAUAUAUCUUUAAAAAUGCUCCCUUUGUAAAACACACAAUUUAAACCUGUUCACAUUUCUGAAUGCUCAAGUUUGCUUUGAAAAGCUUCAGGAAUGUUAUAAAAUAUUGAUCAAAGGAUGUACACCUCAGGAUCCUUAUAGAUUAAGCAGAUUACUAAUGGAACCAUACAAAUGCUUUUGCUUGAAAGAUGUUGUGUGCUGUUGGUAGUGAAGCGCUUGAGAGAAAGCACAGAACUAUGAAGGUGUCACCUGGAGAAUGCACUCUGGGUAUAAAUGCUUUGGACAACAAUUCCUGCAUAAGUGGCAUUAGUGUUCCAUCUAAAUUAGCUAUAGAAAAACAGGUAGCUCUCUACCAGUUCGUGGAACACAACCCUCAUGUUGCUCAGCCAAAUGCAGGAUUAACAAUUGUUAUUCAGCAAAACGUAUAGACAAGAAGAGUCCUGGCCUGGGCUUCUUGCUGUGAAUGCAAACAAUAAGGCAGCAUGCAGUCAUCCACUAGAGUUAAAACAAGCUUUAUUGUAACAAAAAAUACUUAAAAUAUCACAGCAUGAUGCUGGGACAGGGCAAAGAAAGGACCAACAGGAAGCUUUUGCAUUGUGUACUUUGCGUUCUGCUGAAGGAACUUUCACUGAUUAUUCAAUGCUGCCUUGAUUGUUAGAUGGAUUAUUUUUUUUGAACUCUGUGUUGUAUUUCAGCCUGCAGUCUACCUCCUUUACUUAGAUGUGCCACCCAGCAAUGAUCCCAUAAAAGGAACUCACUGGGGGCAACUUUGAUAGUUAUUAAAUAUCAUUAUACAAUUACUCCCCUGGGUUAAUAUGCUUGCUUAAAUUUAGGCAGCCUAGAUCGACUCUGUUUUUUUCUCACUUAUGAGAUGAAGUGAAAGGCCUGACAAUAAACAUGGACACUGGUUAUACAUAUCUUCAUUGAUGGUGUCCAGAUGGACUAAGAGGUAAACAUGCUUUUAUUUAAUACCUGUUAAACCUUGCAUAGAUUUUACUGUUUUUUCUUUGGGGGAACAAUGCUACCCUAGCCCCAUUGCCAAGUAUUCACCAUUUAAUGGGCAAAUUACUAGUCCACAACCAUAAAUUUAGGUUAAAUUCUUAUCUCUCUUCUGUUGGCUACUAUGCAUUCUGCCUUGUUACUGCAUUCAUUGUAAAUGUUCUUAUAUUGACUAUUCUUUUGAUAUGAUUGCUGUACAUGGCUUUUAAGAAAUCAUGUCAUAUGCAAAACAGCUCAAAUAUUCACAGGCCCAAGUGUGUGCAGUCUGUUUACAAAAACAAAACAACUUUGCAUCAACUUUCUUUUUUACUGUAAUCUGAAAGCAAAUCUGAACAAAUGCACAGUGGACAAGGCUGGUGAAAACAUCUCCCAAACCAGCAGUCAAUUGUAUUUCACAUCAACAUCAGCCGGGUGAUGAUGUUCCUUCAUCAACUUCUGAGUUAGAGUUCAUUGAGUUGGAAGAGGCAUCUUCAGAAUAAGAAGUUAGUGUUGUGGUUAAAGCAGGUUUUCAACUGAAGAAACAGAAAACAGAAUAUCAGCAGUCAGAUUGACAUUAGAAUUUGAAGACUUGAUGGCAGUCUAAACUAUUUUCAGGUUAAUCUAGCAUGGUAGUAAUGUUCCCAGUCAAUGAGGCCUUCACUGAUACAUUAUGAAAGGACUGAGAAUAUAUUAUUUAAGGAUACCUGAUGACACCGGCUUUCAAAACAGGUCAUCCCGCUUUGUCACUUCAAAGAAUAAAAAACCAAAAGAUAGGAACACACCUGCUGUGAAAAAGCCCUAACAUGAGUCACGAAGAGGACAGCUAUUACCCCUUAGAAAAUCAUUUGGUCUUGGGUCCACUGAGCCUGAAAGCAAAAGUGGCUUAAAGUGGACCUAUGAUGAAAAAAAAAAUAACUUACCUUAAAUUGCUGCCAUGCCAUAUACAUUGAAUGCACCAUAUAUCAUGUAGGUACAUGGUAUAUUCAAUGUAAAAUAUAUUGAUUUGCUCAUCUUUCGCUUCGUGGGAGCUACUCUUUGUGUAACACCCAUCUCUGGGACGUCCCACGCGCCGCCUCCUGGCUUUUUUUUAUUUGCCCUGCUUGCGACUUAUCCCCAAGCAGGGCAAAUCUCCUCAGUGAGUUCAACAUGCUGGCUUCAUUGCGGACGGAGUAAUGUCACGUCACUUGUUAAUAUACUCCUUAGCCAGCGCUAUGCAUGGAGAGUGGAGAGACCUAGUGUGGGAGGUCUUUUCUGCUCUCACUUGUCAGUCAGUGCCUUGGCAUGGGAGUUUCCAUAGCAACAAAAGCACAUACACUGUGGUUGCUAUGGGUGUAGAGCAGAGGGACCUCCAGUGGGAGAUCUUUUCUGCUCCACCUUGUCAGUCAAUGUCUUGGUACGCUGAGGCAUUGACUGACAGCUGUGAGAAAAAACUAUUUUUAAAGAUGUUUAUCUCCGAAUCUAUACAUUCACUCUCAAAACUGGUAGCACAAUGUAUAGAUCGAAUCAUAUGCUCAAUCUAAUGAGCAUAAAUUGCUCGGGGCAUGACAGGUGCCUUGUAAGGUCUUUUCUUACAGGUGUCCAGAUCAGCAACGUUGGACCAGUACUGGCCACGUGGUUCUUUUCUUUGGAACAUCCCAUUUUAAAAUACAUUUUAAAGUUAGCUAGCUAAAAAAGUCAACUAAAUACAGCAUAAUUUUUCCAACAACCAAUUAGAAACCUACCUAUUUUGUCACAAAGCCUUCUUCAUGCUAGUCCCUUGGGAAAGACUUUAUGCCAAAAUGUUGGGGGUAGAUUUUGUUGCAUAUGUCUUCUUACAUUUAUGUCAUUGUAUAUAUAUAUGUGAUUUUAGAAAAUUGUAUGAAUAAGGUAUUAUUUUAACUUUAUUUGAUGUGCAUCUUUUAUAUUUUCAAAAACUAUGGUAUAUAGGCACUCGGGGAGUUCUUUAUAGGUUUGCACCCUGGGUGAAUUAAGUGUUUGUGUUUGAAUAAAUAUUUUAUAACUCUUAAUACACAUUUUGGCUGGCUGUUAAAAUAAAAGUAACAAGAAAGGGUCAAUAUCACUAAACUAAGCAACAGAUAACACCAUUUUUUUUAUAUUUGUCCAUUAUGGUUUUAAGAAGAAAAAGUAAAAUACUGUAAAAUAGUAAAACAAUUUUUUUUUUACAUAAAUUGCUUGUGGGUCCCUGUUUUAAUAACUGAUUUUGUAAUGCCAUUUUAAUUUUUAAUAAGAUUAUGGAUAUGUAUGUGACAUUGAGAAGGCCUCACAUGACUUACAUCCCUAAGGAUAUUUAGUUUAAUAUCUUAUUAUUUAUGUCUGUUUUAUGCUGUGUAUCAGGCAAAUCCGCCACACUAAGGGUGAUUGGACAAGGUGGGUUACAAAACCGUAUAUGAUGUGCAGUGGAUAUCCAUACUGCCUUUUAUUGAAUUUGUGCAAGCAGCAUGAAUGAGUCUUGUUGCUCUUUCACUGUGUACUUUGUAGAUCAAUUUAACCCUCUGCUAUGCCAUCUGCACUUCCUUAGCAUCAUCACACCAGUUUAAGGUGCAGAGUAGACAGAAGCUCUUUUUAGGCUGAAAGCUGAAGUGCAAGGUAUCUACAGAGAUCUAAUUUCUACCUGCUAUGCUACGUCAAAUGCAAAAGCAAAGCCACGCUACACACCUGCUUUAAUGUAACAUUUAAAAAGCAGUCUCAAUACCUAGAUUUCUGAGUUGUUUUUUCAUGUGUUUUUUUUAAUUAUAAAUUAUGGAAUUUUUUAAACAAACGCAACAUAUUAAUUAUGUAGUAAUUUUCAGGCAUGUAACCUUGUGUUGUCACAUUUUAUUAAAUGUGCCAUUAAAGCCUUUGAACACUGUAGCAUAUGCAGAGAAGAUUAUGUAGCUGAUGUAUAAAUGUAUCUAUCUGUACUUAUAAAAUGGUUUUGUAAGCUUGUAUUGCUCUGGUGACAGAGCUAAGUCAUUCUUUCAAUGCACUCCUUCGAUGUCAUCACUUCUAGCACAGGCUCAUAAAGCCUCAUCCCUUGGGAAUUCAUUAACCAUGCAACAUACUACUGGGGGAAGUAGGUUGAACUGGUAUUUUUAAUAACAUUCUUUGAUUAUAUAUCAGAGGCUAAGUUAAAAGGUCGCUGUAAGCAACAUAGCAACCUCUGCUCUAUGUCCCUGGUUCCCUGCUCAGGUUGGCUUUUAACUGCAGCAAUUUGUAGAAAUUGCUGCAGCUGUAAGAUAGCCCCUGGCUCACUGACUUUAAAAUAGGAAUUUAAGUUCCACUUUUGCAAUCCAGUUUGAGUGCCAAGCAUCUGCAUGCCAUGCACAUCUCUUGUCUUCCCUGGUUCUGUAGAGAGUGUGUCCAUACAUGCAGUAAGUAUCUCGGGAGAUAGCAGCCCACAGCCAGGUUCAUAAAAUAUUAUUUUUGCGCCAUGGCUGCUAUCAGCUUAUUAACCCCUUAAGGACCAAGCUUCUGGGAUAAAAGGAAAUCAUGACAUGUCACACAUGUUAUGUGUCCUUAAGGGGUUAAACUGAUCCUAUAUAAUGAGUGGAACUGUUCCUGGGGCUAAGCUUCAUAUUCCAAAAAAUCUCACUGGACAGCGUUUAUAGAAUAAGAAUGAAGCCCAGAAUGAACAAAUAGACAAAAAAGUAAAGUUUCUCAUAGGUAGAAGUAUUUUAAGGUAUUAUUUUUUCUUUUGGUAUUUUAACAUGCUAGCAUAUUCUUAAUAGUUUGUAAUAAUAAUGCUUAAAGGGACACUAAAGGUACCCAGACCACUUCAUCUAAUUGAAGUGGUCUGUGUGCAGUGUCCCUAUUCCCUUAUCACUGCAAUUUAAAACAUUACAGUUUUAGAGAAACUGCAAUGCUUAUAUUGCAGAGUUAAGACUGCCUCUAGUGGCUGUCUCCCAGACAAUUUCUAGAGGGACUUACUUAAUUUAUACAGAGUUUAACUCUGUAAAAUGACACUGAACGCCUUGUAUGAGGAUGUUCAGCGUUGUGAAAAGACCAUUAUGAAACCAUUAAUUCAGUGCUUUUCUAUGGGAUGUCCAACUGCUUGCUGCUUGCCGCACAUGCGCAUUAGGUUUCCAGAUUGUUGUGCAGAGGAGGAGCCUAAUCCACCAGCGAAGGACCACAGCGCUGAAAUCAGGUAAGAAAAAAAAAUGUUUUUAAACCUUUAUUUGCUAGCUGAGGAUAGGGGCAGAGGUAUACGAUAGUCUUAAAAAUACAGUUAAAAGAAACUGUCCAAAAAUGCGUUUUAUUAUAUAAAAGUUAUAUAAUUUACUAUAUUUGCACAAAAAUAUUCUAAUUUCUAAUAACUGAUAUCUUCAGCUGUUGUAGACCCAUCCUCUUUUUGCCCAGCACUUCCUUGUUAGUGAUGUGCAUUGUCAGAUCAUAUCAAUAGACCUUUAAAGAGUCUUACUGUUCCUUCAUGGAGGUCAUCUACAUAUUAUCUUGGUUGCAGUGUACUAGGCUCCUUGCACCCGUUACUCAAUUUUCCUUAUCUAUAUUGGAUGGCACACACCACAUAAUAUGUUCUAAUAACCUGAUUUCACUUUCCAUGCCUUUAGAUCCUUUAAACAUCUAAUUCCCACAUUUGUUUGAUUGCACACUAUGAAAAACAAGGGGUGUUGAUUUUCUCUACCAAUGUGUGAAGAGGAAACAUUCCUUAUUAAAAAACUCUUAAGGGGGGCGGAGCCUGACCUCUGAGCCGACUAGACGUGGAAAACCUGAGCUCCUGAAACAUAGCCUGAUUUUGGGGUAUUUUGCCCGAUUAUGAGGCUUCCACGUACAGCAUCCAACAUACUGAUGGUCAGGAGACCCCGGGCUAACUACAUUCUGACUAAAGCCAGCACUCAAGCACCCGAAAAGCCUGGGAGCUCUACUGGGGUCUACCUGGGACAAAGCUGUGGGGGAAGCGGCCGAUCCACCCACGCUGCGACCCGGGACCUGAGUCCGCAGUGCUCCUAUCCGCCCUCCCCCCAGACUGGUGGGGGUCAUCCCGGUCCACUUAAAGCUGACCAGAACAACAGACCUCGCAUCAACCACUCAGGCAAGAUCGCUGAGCAAGAACCUAGCCGUGGCAAGAUGGCGGAUGCAGUUCCCUCACAGGCAACCGCGGGAAGUCCAAAGCAGGCGACCACCCGCGACCACAUGGCAGAUUCACUGAGGAGGCUGGACGCCAUAUUUCAACGGUUCUGGCUCUUAUUACAGCGCCGCGUCCAAGCCACCGAGGUAAGCAGGUGCACAGAAGCUGGGAGACCCAAGCGACAGCCUGUGAAGGGACCUACCCAAGGCAGCACUCCAGCGACGACACCCACGAGAUCUACCGCUUGCCUUCCCAAGCAGAGAGCCACAAGGGGCAUAUACACCACGCAUCAUCCACAAGGUCGGAAGGUUCCCUGUGACACGCGGCGUACGACACCUCGACCUCCCGACUACUCCCUGCCGGUAUUAGACUUGGCCUGUUGCAGCACCCAGGUCUGUGGAAAAAGGAUACUGGCCCUCGAACAGGCUUGGGGCUGGAGAAGUCCCUGUGCAGGCAAAAUAUGCCCGAUGGAUAAUACCGCCAUUUGGCUAAGGAUGGGAGUUGGUUAACUCAGAGGGGGGACUGUCACACAAGCCCUAUACCACAAGAGCAAAGCAGCUGAAUUAAAAACCCCUCUGCAUCAGUCAUUAACCCGGGACAUGCCUUCUUAUAAUGUCUCCUAUAUGCUCUUAUAAGGUCUCCAAUAUGCUUCUUAUCAUGUCUCCAAUAUGUUCUCCCCUGCUUAUAGUUUAUUACUAACUUCUUCGUUUCUCUAUCACUCGACACUAACCAAUCACCCAGGGCAACGAGAACAUGCAAAAUACCCUGCUCACUUGUCUGAGGCUAUUAAUCUGCUACUAAUCUGUCAUUAACAUGUUGAAUGCAACUAUAUAAAACAAAAAAUGUGCUGAUUUUCUGAAUGCUCCAAUUGUUAAGCUUGAAAAUGAGCUCAAGGACUGCUAUUGGGGCUCCCUGAGCAUGUUUGUCAUUAUCAUUAUGCACAAAUAAAAUAUUACAUUUAAAAAAAAACAAAAAAAACUCUUAACCAAUAAAUACUCUUUACCCAAUGAAUACUUUUUACACAUACAUAUGUACAGAAUUGACAUUAACCAGUCCAGAACUCUUUUUCUAAGCUAGCUAAUAUGUCAAGUUUAGUUAAAAUGCCUAUUCUGACUCAAGGGGUUUUCAUUUAUUGAUAUAUAGGUGCGUUCUUAAAUGUCAAAGGAAAUAUAUUUCCCAUUGACUGAGGGUGCUUAAAAGAUCUUAUACACAUCUAGUAAUACUCAAGGCAUAAUUUAUAUUUUGGAGUAUGCUAUUUCCCACAAAGAUCGUGAACUGAAUUAUUCAUUAUACAGUUGCAUUCUUUAUUAGAAAACAACUGUCUGUAUGUUUUUAUUUGGUAAAUAUGUUUGUCGUGAAUCAGGGUGUUAAACCUGAAAGAGACAUUGCUGAUGCUUGUGCAGUGUGAUAUUGUGGCCUUAGGAUACAUAACAAUUUGUAUUAAUUAUGUCAGUGUUAUAUUUAAAUUUUAAUCAUGCGAUUCACUCUUGUAUACAUCAAUAAAAUAUUGUGAAUAUGUAUGUAUAUAAAAACAUAGCAAUUGGCAGCACUCAAAGGACUUCCAAAAAAGAUUAUUUACUAAUACAUGUCCAACAAAAUGUUUCGACAAUAUAGAGUCAAUAUCAAGUCUUGAUGUUUUAGCACACAGGCAUAUUGCAGAUUAUUAAUAUUUUCUGUUUGGUGCUGAAGUUUUAUAUAUAUUGGUUGGUAUUGGUUUUUGGUCUUUUUAGUUUUUGCUUCCCAAGCACUACCAAGCCUCAUGCUGAUAACUAACCUCAUGCUGAUAAUUUGCAUUCACCAUGAAACAGCUGUCCAUGAGUGGUUCACUGGCUUUACAUACAUACAGUAUAAGGUGGAGUAUCUUCUUAUUUGAAUAGCUGACAAUAGUAAAUAUUCCUAGAGAUAAAACAAAAUGGGACACGUAAUAGUGCAAUAUUGUCUGUUUACAAUCGAGUAAUGAAAUAUCCUCUCAAAGGUAAGUAUAAGAAUAAAGUGCUUUAUUAAAAGUGCACAAAUGGUUAUAAAACUUUUUAAAAUAAAAUCAAGACCUUACAGUUUGAAGGUAAUUCUUUGGAAUAGUCCUUAAUAGUGCAAAACGCGUUUGGCUUCGUUCAGAGGCUUCCUCAAUUGCUGAUAUGUUGCUGGUUGUAAGUGUCCUUUUAAAUAAUCCAUAAUUGGCGCUUGUUUGCUGCCGUCGGUUUGUGCAUUCGUGUAGCAUUUCCGCUUCCGGGUUUUGCGUUCCAUCGGUGGAACGCAUGUCUCAUUUCCUUUUCCUCUGUAGUGGAACGCAUCCAUGCGUUCUUACUAUAUAUAAGUCUCUUAUGCAGCAUGAAGCAGUUUAUGAUGGGUACAAUAUGAAUAAUAAAAAGAGAUUUAAUAAUAGGAAAUAUGUAGUAUUUAAAAACAGUACAAAAUUCUAAUAAUACUAAAAUUAAGUUGCACAAUAUCUUAAUUGCUAGCCAGAUUAAAUAUCACAAUUAAAUAGGGUGAAUUAGUAGAUAGUUUAUAUUAAAAUGAAUAAUGCAGUGUGAAAUAUCCAACUUUCACUUAAAUCGUUUAUAUAAUCCAGAUGAUAACCAUUAUAUUUUUAAAAUGGGUAAUCAAUUAUACAUAAUUAAAAUGGAAGGAAACAGAAAAAAAUGUAUAAACAUACUACUGUAUGGGAUAUUAGAAAAUAAAAAAAGAGAAAGGGAUCCUCUUAUUAAAACUUGUAUAAAAAAAUAUAUAUUUUAUAGAAAAUUUUAUAAAUAAAAAACUAUUUUAAAAAAACUAUUUAAAAGUGGCAGACCUCAAAAUCAGAGUUUAAGCCAUGGGGGAUUAAGGUUUUAAAAUUAUAAAUAAAAUGCUUUUUUUCUUUACCCAAUGUUUUAAUAUAAUUACCCCCUCUCCAAUCUCUUUUUACUUCCUUCAUUGCACAAAAAACAGAUUUUCUGGGUUUUGGUUAUGAGUCUCUUUAAAGUGUAAGGACACACUGUGGGUUUCUAAGCCAUUUUUAAUAUUGCGAAUAUGUUCAGCGAUCCUAACUUUCAAAGGUCGAAUGGUCCUUCCUACAUAUACGCCACCUUUUACUGUAUGUAUAUUUAGGUUUGUUGUGAGGAUAAAGGGAAACUCACUAGGGUGUUUUGAGUAUCUGUUAUUUCCUGUAUGUCUCACUGGGAUACUGUUAUUAUUCACCACUGGCUUUACAUAGUUUCCUAAAUUGUGUUGUAUACAGCAAACACAGACUCUAAGGAAUCCAUGUUUAAAAUGGAAUGAGGCAAAAAUGUGAUUCUUUGUUAAACUAAUUUGCAUAUGUCCACCCAGAAUCCUUUGCGUUAGUAACAUCACUGCAGAUUUGUGAUUUCUGUAGGAAAAGUAAGUCUUAUGGCUUGACUGGUGUGCAGAUUUUUGUUUAACAUUGUAUUAACUAUCCACAGACGUCAGGUGGAAGGGGUUUUCAAUCACAAUUUUUUUUCCCCACCAUAACCUUUUUGGUUUUUGAGAUAUAUAUAUAUAUAUAUAUAUAUAUAUAUAUAUAUAUAUAUAUAUAUACAUACAUACAUACAUACAUACAUACAUACAUACAUACAUACUUCUCUCUUUCUCCUCCUUUGGUCCUGCAAUGUAAAACACUGCCAUUUUGUAGAUACAGUAAUGUUUUCAUUGCUGGGUUAAACACUUCUCUUAUGGCUGUCUUCCUUAUAGCCACUAAAUGAUGGAUCCCCUGUACCACAGAGUCAAUGUUGCUUAUGUCACAUUCGACGUUCCCCAAAUGUCAUCAAAUGAUUAUCAUAGACAAGCUUUGGAUUCAUUGCUUCCAUAUGAAAAACAUUCGAUUGGACAAGUGCAGUAAUCACUAUGCUUGCUCUUCAUCCCCAAUGCUUCUCUAUAAGAACCAUUGGAUUGGAUAAGAAAACAAAGAGGAAACUGCCUAAAGGACAACGUCAUUGUAUGCUGCAUGAAGUUAAUCUCAGGACUGGAAAAAAAGAUGAUUAAAUACCUAUUCUUUCCCCUCGUAUUUUAAUCUAAAUAGGGUGAUUGUACAAUAUUGAAGUAGUUGCUCCACACAAGGAAAAGUACAGAGUAGUCCUGUGGUAGAGGUCUGAACCCCUAAUAAAAAUGCUUUGAAUAGAGGUCUGAAACGUAUGCAUUUUUUCUUUGUCCUUGUGGUGUUAUUAAAGUGAUCUGGGUGUUGUGCGCUUUUCCCCUUCACGGUGUAAUGUUAAUUAUUGCAGUUUCUGAGAUUGCAGGAAUAACUCCUCUCUCAGACAGCCACUAGAGGCACUUCCUGGUGCUUCACAGAGUUUAACUCAGUGAAACAAUGCUGGGCAGCAUGGAGACAUCAAGCGUCUUGAAAAUCUCCAUCGAUUGAUGCAAUGCUUUCUGUUUGGGAAGCCUUAAUGUGCUUGCCACACAUUAUGUUUUUCCACCAACAUGUUGUCAUGAGAGAAGGAAACCUGUAAAACCUCACCUGAAAUCAGGUAAGUGAAUGACUGAUGAGGUGAGGGGGUAAUGUGGGGGAAGAGGGACACUAUAAUGUUCACAGUAUAGUUUUGUAUUCCGAACACUAUUGUGUUCUUUUAAUAUUGCUGAUUGAGUGAUGGGGAGUUAGGUUGUUGGACUUUUAUUGAAUCUGUGCCAGGCAGAAAUAUUCUCAGGGUGUUUUCACAUAAAUCUUUCUCACAUUCAUCAUACAUAAUAAUGUUUCCUCUAUGAUUCCAGGUAUUUUAUUAGUAUGAAAAAAGUUAAGCAUAUGGCGGUUGUUUUGGGUUACAGAUAUCAAAACCUGUUUGCCAUGCAGUUUUUUAGUAUUCUGUUCCUGUUUCAAAUUCGGGUGCUCACGGUAUUUCAGUGGAUCAAAUGGUUUACUUAGCUUUUCUGCCUUUUCCCUUUCGAUAGUGGGAAACGGUCUAAUGACAGCGUUUCCCAGUCUCUAAUUUGUGACAUCUUAUAACAGUUGAAGAAUGGGUCACUGAGUUGGACAACUUUAAUGCCAUGGACAUAAUUUGGGCACCUGUCAAAAAAUGUCAAAAACCACUGACCUAGAAUGUCAGACAAACAAAUAUAAAUCUUCAUGUUGUAUGUUUUUCCUAUGUUGUUUUUCCUAUGUUGUUUGACCUAUUUUUAAGAGAACUGCACGGUCAGUAGAAACAUAGAAUGUGACGGCAGAUAAGAACAAUUCGGCCCAUCUAGUCUGCCCAAUUUUUUUAAAUACUUUCAUUAUUCCCUGGCCUUAUCUUAUAGUUAGGAUAGCCUUAUGCCUAUCCCACGCAUGCUUAAACUCCUUUACUGCGUUAACCUCUACCACUUCAGCUGGAAGGAUAUUCCAUGCAUCCACUACCCUCUCAGUAAAGUAAUACUUCCUGAUAUUAUUUUUAAACCUUUGCCCCUCUAAUUUAAGAUUAUGUCCUCUUUUUGUGGUAGUUUUUCUUCUUUUAAAUAUAGUCUCCUCCUUUACUGUGUUGAUUCCCUUUCUGUAUUUAAAUGUUUCUAUCAUAUCCCCCCUGUCUCGUCUUUCCUCCAAGCUAUACAUGUUAAGUUCCUUUAACCUUUCCUGGUAAGUGUUAUCCUGCAAUCCAUGAACCAGUUUAGUAGCCCUACUCUGAACUCUCUCUAAAUUAUCAAUAUCCUUCUAGAGAUACCGUCUCCAGUACUGCGUACAAUACUCCAAGUGAGGUCUCACCAGUGUUCUGUACAAUAGCAUGAGCAAUUCUCUUUUUCUACUGCUAAUACCUCUCCCUAUACAACCAAGCAUUCUGCUAGCAUUUCCUGCUGCUCUAUUACAUUGUCUGCCUACCAUUAAGUCAUCAGAAAUAAUCACCCCUAAAUCCCUUUCCUCAGCUGUUGAGGUUAGUACUCUAUCAAAUAUUCUGUACCUUUUACACCCAAGAUGCAUUAUCUUGCACUUAUCCACAUUAAAUGUCAGUUGCCACAACUCUGACCAUUUUUAUAGUUUACCUAAAUCAUUUGCCAUUUGGCUUAUCCCUCCAGUAGUUCUUAACCAUGAGGUUGGGACAUAAAAUUGUGUUUUAUUUCAUUUUAGCAGAUUCCCAAUGCGUGCAACAUUUACUAAACAUCUGCUCUCAGUAUUUACUGUAGUAACACUGCUAUUCCCCCAUGCAAUGAAGACCCCUUUUGCUUUGGGAACAGUCUGAUAGAGGUGUUUGUAGAACCUAAUCCAUUACUAUUAUUGUUAAUUUAUUGAAUGUCUUCACAGAGCUAAUUUUACUUUACCCUAAUCCAAUGUACACAGUUUUAGCCAAGCCAUCCAGGGAUAUCCACUAAAUUCCAAACUGGAGUGAAUUAUAUCUGAAUGGAAAAUGGAGUCUAAAAUAGAGAAGCUAUGACUUUACUUGGGUUGGACAAUGUUUUCACAUCUGCAGUUUUAGCCUUAAUUUCGCUAUUUGGAUUUGAUUUGCUAAAAUUCAUGUUUGGUGAACAACCCUAUUAAUUUUGGGUAGUGAUGUAUUUAUUCUCUAUCUGUCCAACAAAUAGGGAGCAGUGACCUGUUUAAAAAUGCUGAGAAUUUUGGUAACUGGAUUUUUCUAUUUUUUGCUUUAUUAAUCUAGAUAUCACCACACAACGCAUGCACACAUAGUGCCAUGUGUUUGUGCAAUUUGUUUCCUGUGGUGGAAUCUUUGCCAUUUUGUAUUCCUAGUGGUGUUAAUAAACAGAAAGGAUUGAACAUAUAGUGAGUUUGUUGAGGCUGUUUAUAUGUGGCAGAUAUCUUUUUUUUUAAUUGCGUUUCAGUUUAUCUGUUUGCAUAACCAACAUGCUGACAGACUCCAAAUUCCCUGAUGCUCCUAUAAUAUAACUCAUUAUUAAUAAGCUUCAGCAGUACUCCUAUGGUUAAUUCUUGGAAAGAACAUAAUUCACAUGUUUUCUAUAUUAGCUUGAUUGUGCUAGAGGCCACGAUACAAUGAUUAUAUAUAUAUAUAUAUAUAUGUAUAAAUAUAUAUAUAUAUAUAUCUAUAUGGAGGUUUAUUUCUAAGCAAAGACAAACAAAUUAGUUACAGUGUUUAUCACAACUGGAAGUCAUAUCUAGGAUUUGGAGAGGUAUAUUAUUCCUAUAAAAAUAAAUAAACCUCUGCUGUUAAAAUGAUCAUCCAUUGAAAGAUGAUAUUUAAUAAAAACAAAUUGUAAUCCAUUUCUUAAAAUUAAAUCGAAUUAUGUUUAAAUAUACAAGAAUUCAAUGAUAUUUGCAAUUUACCACAAAUUUUAGUCAUUCUUAAUGUAUAAAUAAAAUGGGAUUCAAAUAUAUAUAUAUUUAAGUGAAAAGUGUACAGAAGGAUCAGCGCUUAAAAACUUUAAUAAAGGCAGCACACCUAUAGGAUAGGGCUCCCUCACAGGCCCUAUAGGUAUAAGGAAGUAGAAAAAGGUGGCGCCACAGAGAUAAUAUAUACAAUAAAAUAUAAGCAAGUGGUAAUAUAGAAAUAAACAAUGAUAUAUAAUACAGAGAGAGAACAAUAUAAAAAAAAAGUCUCUACCUCAGCUAGAACUGUGAUUGUUCUCUCAUCCCAAGGUUUUACUGGACUCUUUUUGGACUGUUCUUUAUAUAGAUAUAUAUACCUAUUAUCAUUUUCUAUUUUUUUUUUAUUGUUCUCUCUCUGUAUUAUAUAUCAUUGUUUAUUUCUAUAUUACCACUUGCUUAUAUUUAAUUGUACAUAUUAUCUCUGUGGCACCACCUUUUUCUACUUCUCUCUCUCUCUCUAUAUAUAUAUAUGUACAUAUUUCUUUUUUUAUUUUAUUUAUACAUUCAAAAUAUAUAUGUUCAUCACAGUACACUUACUCUAGUUGAAAUGUAUCUAUCGGCAUCAUCAUAGCAUAAACUAAAGCAAACUGCAACAGAUGGCACUGAUCAAAACCUAUUUUAUUUAUACAUUAUGUGAUACAUAUAUAUCAUUAAAUAGGCUGAUAACGUGUCUACUAUGAUUAACAUAAAAAAUAGCAAUAUGUCAUCUUAAAAAUGUUGUCAUUAUUUAACAAUACUAUUAUACUUCUACAUUUAAAGAACGUUAGCUGAAUAAUAAUUUGGUUAAUAAUGAUGGGCAUUGAUACAGUGCAUAGCACACGUUUGUAGUCUGUAUUGUAGUAUUGAAUGAAAAAAGUGUCCCCUUUGGGUUAAGUUUAAUGAAUGUAAAUGCUAGAGGUGCUUAGUGUUUAUGGGGAACUUGGAGCUUAAAGGCUUAGGGGACUGAGGGUUGAAGGAACUGUAUGAUCACCAUACCUGGCGAUUUCUUACCUGAAGGGGUUAAACCAUCCUCGAAUGGUUUAACCCCAAAUGUUAUUCUCCAGUGCCAUAUCUCCCUUUCCUCAGCGGCAUCCGGCUUCUUUAAUUGAGCUUCAUGAAGCGCAGAGUGUCACUGCGCAGGGACACUGCUGAUUGGCUUCAACGGUCAGCUGAUGCUCUAAGCCAAUAUAUAGUUCCCCGCUAAUAAAAAAGAUGCAUACUGGUUAAGAACAUCAGCUGACUUAUACGUACCUAUAAAUAAACACUUCCUAUACAGGAAGGGCAGCCACACCAUCUACACACCUAGAACUCUGUUCCUGACUGACUACUGUUAAUUCUGUGCAUAAAAAACAUCCAUUCCGCCCUGCACUGCGCCAUGGCAGUGAAUGUCAUAAGCUUCUUUACUUGCAUGCAGUUUUGUGAGGGAUUGUGUGCACUUAGUCCAAUGCACUGUGGAAUUUCUCCUUCAGUUGUGACCUCCUUCCAAAAUCCCCUCUGUCCAGCCCUCCAGACUUGCUUUGAAUGCUCAGUUCUCCCCUUUUUGACCCUUGACACCUACACAAUGUUUAGCCCUCGCUCUGCUAACAUACCCUAGAUACAACAAUGCUUCUUCUCAUGCUAGGAGCAAGCCUGUAGUAACCCUUUAGUCCAAAUCCAUGCUAAAAAGUCCAUCCUCAUUCUAUCUAGUCUUAAAUUUACAUCAUGGGGUAUACUGUACCCUAGGCAAUUACAGCUCUGGGUACAGCAUUGUACCGACUACUGUAAAGAGGCCAUCGUGAUAAACAAUAUGGUUUUAAAGUGACAACAUGAUAGCAUCGCUCUAAUGACUACUACAUUUCGAAAUCAUCUUAUAUCAAGAUUUCUAUGAGAAAAUCUACUCUUUCAGGAGGAAAUUAUUUUCACUUGAUUAAAGCAUGACUUUCUGAAAGAUUUAAAUCACAUUGAAAAGAGACUGUAAAAUAUAUAUUGUGAUUGUAUGUUUACUCUGAGAUAAAUAUUGUUGCUUACUUUAAAGAGUUAUACCAUGGGAGGCAGCCAAUCAGUCAUCAGGAAUCUCAGAACACCCAAUGAGUGCUAAUAAAAUUGUGGUUGCACAGAUAUUUUUAAUGCUUAGCUUUUUCAAUACAACUGACAUGUAUUUUUUUGUAAUCCUCAAAGGAGAAAAACAUACGGUCCAGUCAAGGGUCUUCAUUUUUUGUUCUCUGUAUUUUCACAGUGUGGGUUAGUAUGCUCUGUUAUUACUUGCAUGCAGUUCUUAGGACUUUAGGAAUAAGAUAUAUAAUAUAAUGUAGAUUGCUCUACUGCCUCCAGACAGGCGUGUUGGUGAUUUGUUUGAGACCAGUGGGGGUAUUGGGGUAUGUGGUUAAUCUUUUUGAAAGCCAAUUUAAAUAAUUCAGAAUAAAAUAUUCCUAGUUAUAGGAGUAAAAUAUAUGUGUUUGUGAAAACAGUAUAUUUCCUGAAGAACAGAACAGGAGGAUGACGUGCAUAUAUCAUGUGUCCCAAAGCCUAAUGUUAGAUGCCAAUGUUGUCUAUCAAGAGCAGAUGUGUCCUAUAGGAUUGGGAGUCUGUGGCUGAAUUGCUUCUGCACCACCUCCUCCAAAAUAAAAAAAUUUAGAAAAAAAAAUUAUUUCCACCCUUCGUGUCUAUUCUAAGCCCUCGGUGUUGUGACUCUCCUUGUGUGUCUCUCUAUACUCAGUCACUGACUUUUGUGUCUUUUUUUGCUCCAUUCUGUCUCUCCAUACUUCAAAUCCCCACUUUUGUCUUUCUUUACUCCAUCACAACCUUUGGUGUCAUUCCUUACACCGUUGUCUGUUUCUCCUUAUCUCUUCACCCGUUUGUAUGUUACCCCUUGCCUCCUGUCAUCCUCCCAUUUACCUAGACUGUUGCAUGGACCAACAUGAUCUACAUGUUUCCGAGGGCUGCUCCAAGCUCUGAUUGAAGUGUGCAAGUUAAUUGAAGAGAGGGAGGGAUAUGACAUUCAUUUUUUGCUCCCUCCCAUUUCUUGCACUGCUGCUCGGAGCCUGAAAAAGCCCUAAUAGAAUGUGUAGAGGAACAUCAAGAUCUACUAUUGUCUUGCUCUCCAUGCUACAAAGUGUUUUGAGAAAAGGAGGGGGUGCACUGUGUCAUCCCCUCCCUUGUUUGCAUUCUACCGACGAAGAGCAUUCUUAAAUGCAAAAAACUUAACAUCUAGACAUAUCGGUGUAUUAAGCAAGAUAUAUAUUUAUUUUAAUAUUUAUAACAGAUGUUAUAUUUGUAUGUUUUUUUCAGUUUCAAGUUGGCCAAUAAAAUUCUGAUGUUGAGUAGACAUUUUGUAUAGCUUUUAACCGUCCCACUUUUGUUGCUGCAAAUAACAGAAUCAGUCUUAUAAUCCUGUGUAGACUGAACCUCUUUAGAUUUCCAGUUGGUUAAUAAUAUGUUAAAGAUGGAAAAACAGAUAAAAAAAUGUAUUUGUCUUUAAUUAACCUGGUGCUGCUUGUGUGACCCUCCUUGGUAUCGGGUUUUGCUAACUACCCCAUCACCGUUAGAAAGUAUAUGUCCAAUUUUCCAGCUGCUAAAAUUAAUGGUCAUUAUUUUAACAAACAUUUUAUUUAUACUUUUUUUUUCUUACUUCACUUGUGCGUUAAUGGUAAAUAUAUCAUUUUCUCAGAAGACCUCAUUUAAAAAGAAGGAUUUACAAAAUGAAGUGUGCCAAAUAAAUUGAUUUAACUUAGGUUUACUCUGACCCUAACUCAGAAUAAUGAAUCUCUCAAACGUCAAGCUAUCCCUUAAGUGUCUUAAUUAUUUGCAGCAGUCCUUUAAUGAGAUAACAUAAAGAUAUCAGUGACCCGAAGUUCACCAUUGGCUUCAGCUGUGGGAAUGAAGAUAAUAUAAUUUUUCGGUCCAUAAUAGCAUCAGUGGCAAACUGUUUUACUUGUAUAGUUUCUCAUUAACCCAUUAUGUGUUAAAAUGUUGGCAAUCUUCUCGAGUUCUCUCAAAGUAAAGCAUGCUAGUGUUAUUCCCCCUGGCUUUCUUGUACUCCACGUCUCUGUGGAUCUAAACCUCUAUAUCUAAAUAAAACCAUCUUAAGUAAACACUGGCAUGAUGAAACGUCAAGCAUAUAUUACAGACACCUUUUUUAGAUUCUUUAUUUUUGUUUUAAAAUGCUUUCUGAUAGCCUUCUUUUUAUUCAAAAGGUAACAUAUUCUCACAAAUAUUUAAUGUAAAUAAAUAAAAUUAUUAUUAUGAUUGGUAUUUAUAUAGCGCCAACUUAUUCCACAGUGUUUUACAAUAUUUUAAAAGGGGGACAUUUAACAAUAAAUGAGACAUUUACAAAGUCUUACAGGAACAAUAGAUUGAUGAGGACACUGCUCAAACUAGCUUACAGUCUAAAGGAGGUGGGGUAUAAAGACACAAUAGGAAGGGCAUUGAGGGGGAUAGCAACCAACCAACAUAAAUUGGAUCAAAAGUACAACUGGAAGGUGAGAGUGGAGUGUGGCCCUUUAAGAGAGAGCAAAAGGCAGGUUUGUGAAAUAGAAGUUACUGUGGGUGGCCAUAAGCAUUUCUGAGGAGAUAGAUUUUGACGGACUUCUUGAAUGAUUGAAGACUAGGGGAGAGAUUCAUGGGGAGAGGCAAGCUGUUUCAAAGGAUAGGAGCCAUCCGUGAAAAGACCUGCAAGCACGAGUUACCAGUAAUGGUGUGGACAGGAGAAGGUUACCGGCAGAGUGAACAGACUGAAAAGGGGCGUACCUACGAAUUAGUGAAGAAAUAACGGUCUAGAGUUGCUUAGAACUUUAUAGGUAAGGGUUUGAAUUUUGAAUUGACUCCUAUAGGGUACAGGAAGCCAAUGUAAGGAUUGAGGGAGAGGCAAGGUGUGAGAGGAAACAUGAGAGUAACAUAAGCCUGGCAACAGCAUUCAUUGCAAACUGUAGUGAGGCAGUAAAAUAAAAGUAAUUUACAUUCUGGAUAUGAUAAAAUUCAUAAAAUAAGAUAUAAUAAUAUGAUAGAAUUAUAAGUGACAGUAAAAUGCUGCAUUAUAAAACAUGUUCUAUAUGAAACAUCAUAUUAUGCUAUGGUGAAUGGUAAAAAAAAACCACAAAAGCAGGUACAUAAAUGGGAAAACAAUCUGCAAGCCAUGAUUAAAAUAUGUAUAAUUAAAAUGAUAAGAUUAGGGUCAUAAGUACAUGUAAGAGAUAUGAUAUAGGAUACAUAUGAAAACAAACCAGUAACUGUGAUUAGAACAACCAUAUAACAUUUUAUUUAUAGGAAAAGUAUGGUAAAAAGGGUCAGCAUGAAUUGUCAUCAAUUAGGUAAGUUUCGGGGUUCUUUUGACCUUGCCCAGAAGCUCCAUCAAGUGGCCUCCUGGAGUAGUGUUGAAAUUGUCAAUAAUAGACUCAAAUUGGGUUCUGAAAUGUGGUAAAAUGUUGCCACAGACAGGUCUAUAAAUUGUAAAAUGUUUUCAGCAUGUUGAAUGUAAGGCUGUUUGUGAAGUUGUCUUUCUUCAGUUACAGGUAACAAUUGGGAAAACCCCCAUUUUGCUUUAACCUUGAAUGAGUGCAGAAUUGGCUUUAUUGGAUUGUGUAGAAGGCUAGUUUGUGUAAAGCUACAUGGCUAAAAACAUAACACUUUCGUUCUAGUCACCAGGCCUCUACUGGAGUUUUUAUUGCAUUAAUGUGCUUUGGGUCCUCAAUUUAACUGUGUUAAUAAGUGAAAGCAAGUUAGGUCUCUCAGGAACUGCCCAGAAAAGUAAUUUAAAGUAGACACAAACUUUUUUAUGAUGAACACCUUUCACGGUCACUAUGAGCACCAUUUGUAUUUCCUUUAAUACGCUCUGUGAAUAAGUAAUUAUUUAAUUUUGCCCAAUUAAUAUUCUGUUCAGGUCAGUGUAAAGGGGCUCCCUAGGCAACAUAACGUCUACAGCUCGCUGCAAUGCUUAUGCUAUUUAAUCUUCUGCUUUCAUCCUUUAGGUUAAUAUAUAACUGUUUAAUCCAGUGGUUCCCAAACCAGUCCUCAAGGCACCCCUCCCAGUUCUGGAUUUAACCCCUUAAGGACACAUGACAUGUGUGACAUGUCAUGAUUCCCUUUUAUUCCAGAAGUUUGGUCCUUAAGGGGUUAAGGAUUACACAGUUGUGUUUAAGGUGGUUUUAGAAAAAGAAGAAAAAAACACCUUAGCCACAACUGGGUAAUCCCUAAAUCCUGGACUGGUUUGGGAACCACUAGUUUAAUCCCUUGAUUUCCAAGCGGUCUGCAAAAAAAUAAAAAACACCACCAGAAUCUGAAUACUUUGAGUGUACUGGAAGAUAGUAUUUAAGUGUAUAUUUCAUUUAAGUAUGCAUAGACAUCACAUUAUUUACUGAAAACAAACAUUUUGGUUUGCCAUUAAAACUUUUAAAUAUGAUUUACCAAAUAAUUAAGUUACAGAUAGGAAUAUCAAUGUAAAUAAAUAAAAUCUCUAAAGAUGUAACAUUUUCCCCUACAUAUUCUGCAGUCCUAUCGCAUGUAAAUUAUCCCAUAUGUAUUUCUAUUGUGUAUGUAUAUAUUGCCUCAUGUAUACUAUAUUAUAUUGUAUACAUUGGGCAUAUUGCAGCUGUGUUGCCUAUUUGUACCAAUGCCCACUCAUUGUUACAUGCACACUGAUAUAUAUGCACCCACAUACAUGCACACACAAAGACACUGUCGCAUAAAGACAUACACUGGCCCACACACAUACUGACAGAAAGAGACACACAGUCACAGUGUGUAUGUAGCUGUGUCUAUUUCUGACUGAGUCUGUCCUUCAGUGUGUAUCAUUAUCUACAUGAGUAUGGUAUGCAUUGUGCAUCUGUGUAUGUUCCUGCAAGUGUGUGUCUGGCAGUGAAUGUGUGAAUCUCUGUGUCUGGGAGCAUGUGAAUCUCUUUGUCUAGGAGCAUAUGUGUUUUGUAGCUGAUUGACGUGUAUAGUGUAUAUGAGGUACUCUUUGCGGCCUUGAUGUGCAUAGUUUUUAUGGCAUUGGUGACCAAUCUUUUGGCUUCCCCUGGCUACAUUGAGCAAAGUGGAAUUGUCUUCGGCUGCACAUAAAAUAUAAUAUAAAUUUUUUAUAUAAUAAAACUUCAAAAGCCCGUUUCUUAAUUUUUACAUUUCAGUUGUUUAGUAGAUGACUCCCUUAUUUGUCAGCUAGGCAAAUCAGGAACUCGUAAUAGAAAUACAUUGUAUCAGUGAAUCUCUAUGGGAAAGUUCAGCGUCUCCAUGCAGAGGAUAGAGACUCUGAAUGUCGGUGCUGUACAUUCUGCAGCACUAACCCAAGAAGCACCUCUAGUAGCCGCCUGAGGAGUGGCCAGUGGAGGUGUUCCUAGGCUGUAAGGUGGGUACUGCAUUUUCUCUGAAACAAAGGUUUGCAUGAAAAUACCUGCAGGGAAUGACUAUACUCACCAAAACAAAUACAUUAAGCUGUUGUUCUGGUGACUAUAGUGUCCUUUUAACAUAUAUAUGUAUUUGUAAGGUUGGAAAAAUAAAAUUAAAUGUAGAAAUCUACACUUUAUUCUGCAACUGCACGCUUCCAUUCCAUUCCAUUGUUGUAAGGGCACUGUCCUUUGUACCUGGCAGUCAGCAAAGGGAAAGCGUACAGAGAGAAGAAAUUAAACAAUGUUUCUAUUUUUCUUUCUCAUUUCCAAUAUUUGCCAAGGAUUUGCCAUGUCUGAACUGGUUUAUUGUAUUUGAUAAAUAUUUAGCAUAACGAAGAAUCUCAUAAACAAAAAUAUAACUUGUUACAGGUGAUUUGUAAUGUUUUAUUCAAUAACGUAAAUUCUAAAGAAAUUACAGUUUCCCUUUAAAUGCAGCCAAUUUUAAAACCACUUUUAUUUUCAGUUGAAAAACAUCACGAUGGAUGUCUAAUGAAACAUAAAAACAUAGCUUUUUUUUUGGGACGACCAAAAUAACAUUUUCAUUUUUGUCCUAAGAAUUUUUUAUAACCUCCUAGGCAGAACAUUUUCUCUGUGUACAUUAUCAGACAGAAGGAGAGUUUGCAUUCAGAGAUAUUUCAGUUUACAUGUGUGAAGCUGGUAUUUUACCAUAUGGUUUAAUAUCAGAAUAAUCCAAUGAUGGGCUAUAGGGGCUUUGGAGAACCCCAUGCUGACGCUGCUCUUGCCAAUACACGGUCCCUGAUUGUUCGUAGAGCAGCACGAUUAUACCUGCAAGAGAAUACCUGCGACCCACACUGUGCAGAGAAACCGUCUCUUGGGCUUUCUCAGCAUGCAACCAUCUGUCUAUCUUUCAAGCCUAAUCAGAGUUGCCAUUCCAGAAAGUAAGUAGAAAUCACAUCUGUGCAUGAUUGUAGAAUCCCUUUGAAAUUCACACAUUCAGUCCAUGUGGAUGAGAUCACAAAACUUCUAAUUAGAAUGGGGGAGUCAAAUUCCAUCCUUGGUCAUGACUGAUGCAGGUCAGUCACCAUACAAAGUGACAUAUCUUUGCGAGCUUUUUGUUACCAUAAUUGUGACAUUUCAGUUUUGUUUUUUUUAUGGAUGCUUAGAGAUGUAGUUCUUCAGCAAUGUGCAUCAAUUGUGUGAGAUUUAUUUUUAAUUAAUAUUACUAUUAUUGCAUACAUUAAUAAUUAUUAGCAUUUUCAUUAUUAUCUGAUUGUCAUGCAUUUUCUGAGUGAAUAUUUAAAUUUUUACAAGUAUUUAUAUCAAAAGCUUUCAAUAGAUGCCUAAACAAUUCAUAUUAAUAUUCGUAUAGGUUUCAUGCUUAGAUAAUUCAUUUUGGUAUAUUUAUAUUAAUAUAUAAACAUAUAGAUAAGCUCAACAUAUGACAGUUAUACAUAAAUUGGGCAUACGAUUUAAACUAUGUUGUAGCAGGAUUGCUGUUUUGUAAAUAUUUCCAUUAUACAUAAGCCAAUGUGCACAUAAUUAAGGGUGAUACUUUUUGUAUAAUGUAUAUAAAUGUCUAUCCACGUCUGCAGUAAUUUAUUGUGACAUAAAGCUGAUUUCAUAUUGGAGGGUGCUUGAGAAUGCUUAUUAUUUACCUUUGAUUUGUAUGAGGCUAGUUGUGAAAAUAUGUGAAAUUAAAAUUGUAAACAAGAACGAGGGUAGCUUCAGAAUCAAACAUCAUGUUUAUAUCUAUGUUUGAUAAAUGAUGUUGCAUAUCAAGGUAUUUUUUUUAUAUGAGGAAAUCCUGUUUAUUUUGUAUAUGAAAUAUAGGACUUCUGUUUGCCAUAUUAUACCUUCCAAUGUGGCAGACAUGUUGAGUCUCACAAUUUAUUAAUUUCACAUAUGAUUUUCAGCAAGCAUGUCAAACUCAAAGUGUGGCACGGGCCACAUAAACAAGGUUUAAGUUUAUGUGGGCCGCACACACACACUCACUCACAGACAGACACACACACAUACUCACAGACAGACACACACAUACAGACACACUGACAGACACACACACACACAUACUCACUGGCAGAAACACACAUACUUGCUGACAGACACACACACACAUUCUCACAGACAGACACACACACAUACUCACAGACAGACAGACACACUGACAGACACACACAUACAGACACACUGACAGACACACAUACAGACACACUGACAGACACACACACUGACAGACACACACACACACACAUACAGACACUGACACACACACACAUACUCACACACUGACAGACACACACACACUGACAGACACACACACACACACACAUACUUGCUGACAGACACACACACACACAUACUUUUCUUUAUUGCUCCUUACCGUUUGAAACAUCUCCCUGGGGUCCUUCCUGCUCCUCACUGCUCCCACGCGCAGUUUAGUGAUGCUGGGUGCCGGAACAUGACGUCAUAUUCCGGCGCCCGGCUUCACUUAAGUCGGCGCGCGCGAGGGAGCAGUGAGGAGCAGAAGCACUGAGCUCCCUCGCUGCCAACAGAGACCUCUCCUCCCCGGCCGGGUAAAUGAUAGCAUAGUAGGCACCUGCAAUAUGGAGAAAGCAGGUGCCUACUCUGCUUGGAACAUUAGGCAUGUACUUGCGGCUCGCUGGGCCACAAAGAUGGUCCUUGUGGGCUGCAUGCGGCCUGUGGGAUGCGAGUUUGACAUGCUUGAUUUUCAGGAACAGUCUCCCUGAUCAUCUUACAGACUGCUUCUGUCACCUGGGGCUAGUAGUACUAUUGCAAGGUACAGUGCUACACUUGCUAUGAAAUACAGGGCAUUUAAGCCAAUAUGUGAGCAUUUAAAAGGACACCAUAGUCACUAGAACAAUUACAGCCUAUAGUAUUCGUUCUGGUGAGUAUAAUCAUUCCCUUCAGGCAUUUUCAUGCAAACUCUGCCUCAAAAAAAAAGGCAGUGUUUACAUUGCCCCAUAAAAACACCUCCUGUGGCCACUCCUCAGAUGGCCGCUGGAAGUGCUUUUGUGGUGCAGUGCUGUCACAGUAUGCAGCCCUGCUGGCCAGGGACUUCACAUUCUGCAGGGAGACGGUGAACUUUCCUCAUAGAGAUGCAUUGAUGCUCAGUGUUCCUUUAAGCAGCGUUUUAGCAUAUGGGUUAGGGGUGCUCGGUGUGUCGGUGCUCCGAUUAUAGGCAACAGGCUGCAAGCUAGGAAGCCUGUCUUCCUGGGGAUCAUGCGUAUUGGGAUAAAAAAGUUCAUUACGGCCAAACACAUCAUCCAGUAUACUAAUUGCAUCAGAAAUUCACAAAUAUGCCUAUCUGCUGCCUCCCUAUUCACCCUGCUCACUCCUGAUUUCAGGUCUGCCAAACUUUAGGUGCAUUGAAUCCCUGACAAUAUAUAUUUUAGGGAAUAGCUUUGUCUGUCUUCAGAAGAUGGUUUUUACAUCCUUUGUCUGUUGUUUUUUUUUUUUUUUUGCAGGCUUAGCAAAGCCAAUUUUGACAUGAGCACUUUUUCUUCAGAAAGCCCUUUUAUAUAAAACUUGUGUUAUGGUUCUGUGUUUAUAAAGGGGUUAAUGCAUUACCAGACAGUCUGCUGUGUUUUCUUACUUUAUGCUUUCCUAAGCUGCAAAUGUGAUCUAUUAUUGUGCAGAAUAAAUGUUUUCAAAUGAAUGGAAAUUGUGUAUUCAUUGUUUUACAAAGGAUUAAACUGACAUUUGUUCAGUAAAAUAUGCCCCUGCAAUUUAGAAAGAAAAAAUGUCUCUGUACAGUAUCUUGAUAUCGUAUAUUGCAAUCUCUGUUCUAGCACACUAGUAACCUCAUAAUUUAUCAGAGUUUUGUAAAUUUUGUGGGGGCAUUUUUUCAUUAUAUUUCUUCCAAUAUUAUUAAUUACAAAUAACAAGGUUUUUGUUAAAAUACGUAUGAGUACACAACUACAAUUUAAGUUAAAUUUUUUAAGUAUUUGUAUGAGUACAGUGGCAAGUACCAAGCAGGUUCUGGAGGUUUGAUUUGAUUUAUUCAGAACUAGGCGUAAGGAAUGGAUUUUACCACCGUUGUGUGAAUUAAUUAAAUUUGGUUGCAAGGGUCUGACUGCCAGUCUGACUAGCCGCAUAAGUCUGUAAGCUCUGCAUUUAGGUUAAAUUUACUUUCACCUCACCUCAAAUCUGGGAGUGUUUGAUAGGGAUCGACCAGUAAUGGUUUUUUAGAGCCGAUACGGAUAAUCUGUGAACUUUCAGGCCGAUAGCCGAUAACUUGCCGAUAUUCUGUAAAUUUACCAUUUUGAAGAAAUAAACUAUUUCUAAAGGUAAAUGCACAAAAUAUACAUGCCACAUGUAGUGGAUGCAGUGUGUUUAGACAGGGGAGCUGUGUGUGUAGUGGAUGCAGUGUGUUUGUGUAGUGUGUAUCGUGAAUGCAGUGAGUGUGUAUAAUGAAUGCAGUGAGUGUGUAGUGUGUAUAGUGAAUGCAGUGAGUGUUUGUGUAGUAUGUCUAUAGUGAAUACGGAUAAUCUGUGAACUUUCAGGCCGAUAGCUGAUAACUUGCCGAUAUUCUGUACAUUUACCAUUUUGAAGAAAUAAACUAUUUCUAAAGGUAAAUGCACAAAAUAUACAUGCCACAUGUAGUGGAUGCAGUGUGUUUAGACAGUGUGUUUAGCUUGUAAAGAGCUCGGCGGUCCUAGGAGGUAUUAUCGGCAAUAUCGGUAUCUCUAUUGGCCGAUACCGGUAUUGCCGAAAAUACCGAAUAUCGGCCGGUAAUAUCGGUAAAACCGAUAAUGGGUCGAUCCCUAGUGUUUGACCCAAUAUGCAUUAAUUGACAACUGCCUUGCACUUAUACUGGCUUGAUGCAAUCUGCAUCCUAGCGUGAGAAGCUGGGCAGGACAUGUGUCUGAUCACCUAUGUGUAUGUGUAGGAAACCUUCGGCUCGUCAGAUGUUUUGUACUUCAUCUCCCAUGAUGCUUUGCCAGCAUUAUGGCUGGCAGUAAUAGCAUCCCAUAACAACACCUUAAGUGCCGAAGGUUGACCAUCUGGACUAUCUAACCCAACUCUGCAGGAUUGUAUAUUCGGUAAGUGAUGUGAGUCCAUUUUAACUAAUGACUCCUUACAUUUUUCUGCUAUUUAUGCAGACUUGAUUUCUUUUUCCUUGCUCCUAUUGAUUCCUCUUCUCUCUCAGGAUCUGUUCUUCAUUUCUUCCUAACUGCUCUAGUUUUCUGGAAAGAUUUUGUAUUUUUCCUACGCUUGACCAGCUAUGACCCAGGGGAGGAGCAGAGUCCACACAUGAGCAGCGCAUGGGGGUCCUAGUGACAAUAGGGUUGGAGAACUAUUGUCCCUCCCCCUUCUCCCACCCAUGAGCAGUGGGUGGGGGCCCAAAAUGACAAUAGGGGAUGACCUAUUGACCCCCCUUCUGUCUCCCUGACUCCUACCCAUGAGCGGCGGGUGGGCAGGGCCGGUGCAAGGAUUUUUGCCGCCCUAGGCAAAAGUAAAGUUUGCCGCCCCACCCCCCCCAUAUGACAUCACAAUGCCCCAUUUUAACUAACGCAAGUGCUGCAGUGCCGCCGUGUUUACAUUAAAAGGCCUGCAGGGACAGGCUAUAGACACCAGAACCACUACAUUAAGCAGCAGUGGUUCUGGGGACUAAAGUGUCCCUUUAAUGUGAGGUAAAUUAGAGCUUAGUGCCACGAAUAAUAUACUAGAUUGCCUACUUACAAUCAGAUGAGGAUGGUGAUGGGCUCUAGCUGCAGUCUGGCUCCACUUGUCUGGUGUAGAACAGGCUCUCUGGAGGCUGUUUGUGUUCUGGGAGAACGGGAAGCAGCUCCAUUUUUUUAAGGCCCUUUACACAGCUCAAGGUCUGGGCCCCAGGGUCCACCUUCAUGUUCCACCAAUUAUUUUGUUCACAGGAGUAGGGGAUGUCCUGAUAUGUGUGUAAGGAAUGCAUUGUGUGAAUCUGUGUUUGUAUGUGUAAGGGCUGCAAUGUGUGUUUCAAUGUAUGUACGGGAUGCAGUGUGUGCGUCUGUAAGGGGUGUAUUGAGUGUGUGUAAGGAAUGCAUUGUGUUUCUGUGUGUGUAAGGGAUGCAUUGUGUGUAAGGGUUGAAUUGCUUGUGUGUGUGUGUGUGUGUAAUGCAUUGUGCGUUUUUCUGUGUGCAAGGGGUGCAUUGUGUGUGUGUGUGAUGGAUGUCAAUCUCUCCCCCCUCCCUUGUCCCUCUCUUCUCCCCCUCUCCCUCCCUCGUCACUCUCUUCUCUCCCCCCCUUGUCCCUCUCUUCUCCCCCCCUUGUCCCUCUCUUCUCCCCCCUCUUGUCCCUCUCUUCUCCCCCCUCUUGUCCCUCUCUUCUUCCCCCUCCCUUGUCACUCUCUUCUCCCCUGCGUGUCCCUCUCUUCUCCCCUGCGUGUCCCUCUCUUCUCCCCCUCCCUUGUCACUCUUGUCUCCCCCGUUGUAACUCUCUUCUCCCCUCCCCACUCUCAUUCCCCCUCCUAACCCCGUCAAUUCCCCUCCCUGUCAAUUUCUCCCCCCCACCUUGUCAAUUUAUUCCCCCCACCCUGCCUGUCCAUUUAUCCCCCCACCCUGCCUAUCCAUUUAUCCCCCCCCCACUGUCCAUUUAUUCCCCCCCUCCCUGUCCAUUUAUUCCUCCCCCUCCUCCUGUCCAUUUUAUUUCCCCCUCCCCUCCUGUCCAUUUGUUCCCCCCCCUCCCCCUCCUGUCCAUUUGUUCCCCUCCUGUCCAUUUUGUUCCCCACCUCCCUCCUGUCCGUUUGUUCCCCCCGAUCCAUUUUGUUCCCCCCCACUCCCCUCCUGUCCAUUUGUCCCCUGUCCCAUUUAUUCCCCCCCUCCCUGUCCAUUUAUUUCCCUCCUUGUUUUGUUCCCCCUGUCCAUUUUGUUCCCCCCUCCUCCAUGUCCGUUUGUUCCCCCCCUCCUGUCGUUUAUUUCCCCUCCUGUCCGUUAUCCCCCCCCCCUCCCCUCCUGUCCAUUUUGUUCCCCCACCUCCCUCCUUGUCGGUAUUUCCCCCCUCCCCUUCCCCGUUUUAUUUCCUCCCCCUCCCCUCCUGUCAGUUUAUUUCCUCCCCUCCCCUCCUGUCCGUUUUAUUCCUCCCCCCUCCCCUCCUGUCCGGUUUAUUCCUCCCCCCCUCCUGUCCAUUUGUUCCUCCCCCCCUCCCUCCCCUAUCCAUUUAUUCCCCCCACCCUCCCUACCUCUAUUGUACCGUGGCCGAGCCCUCUAUUGGUCCGCGGGUACAGGUUGCUUUUGUUUCCUGUACCCGGCCGGACUAAAAGGAAGUGAACACUCAGUGUUCACUUCCUGUUAGUCCGGCCGGGUACAGGAGACAGCUGCUCUCUGUACCGGUCGGACCAUGCCAUAGAGGGCUCGGCCACGCUACAGAGAGGGAGCUGACAGGUGGGAGCGCUGAGCGCUUCCCUCCUGUCAGCCUCUCCUCAGGCUGCGCCCGGGCGGUGCGGUCCGCCCUCAUGGACGCACCGCCCGGGCAAAGCUGCAGCCGCCUGAGGCUCUUUACAGAGCGCUCGGGCGGCUGCAGCAUUAGGGGGGCCGGCGCUCCUGGCGGCGCCCCCUCCCAAGGGGCGCCCUAGGCGGCUGCCUAGUCCGCCUUACAGGUAGCGCCGGCCCUGCGGGUGGGGGCCCUGGUGAAAAUAGGGGGGAUGACCUAUUAUCCCCUCCCAGGCCCCACCCAUGAGUGGUGGGUGGGAGCCCUAUUGUCCCCCCACAACACCCACCCAUGAGCAGUGGGUGGGGGCCCAAUAUGACAUUAGGGGUGACCUACUGCAUCCCUCUAUUGUCAUUUUGGGCCCCCACCAGCCUCUUAUGGGUGGGGGCCAAGGUGGACACUAGGUCCCCCCCCCUAUUUUUACUAGCACCCCCACCCGCCGAUCAUGGGUAGGGGCCAGGGGGAGGCAGUAGGUCCUCCCCCCAUUGGAUCUGAGGGCACCCACCCACUGUUCAUGGGUGGAGCUGAGGGGGGGGACAAUAGGCUACUCGCUGUAUAGUAGACAUGUCCCUACUCGCGGUAUAGCAAGUAGGGGCAGAAGGGAGAUUGUAAUCUCCCUGAAUUACUCAAACUAAGUAAUCUUUAGUCUUUCAGCCUUUUAGUAGAUAGCUCCCUAAUACCGUGGGAAUUAGGGAGCUAUCUACUCGCGGCACGAAUAGGAUCGUAGUUUCAUUCAUUCUAAAUUCCGAUCCGAAACAAAACUCCUUCUGUUCUCAUUCGAACGCCGAAUGUAGCAGCAGGAGGAAGGUGAGAAUUGUGGGAAAAUUGCUUUGACCACAGGAAAUGGAGUGGACUUUGCUCCUCUCCUGGGUCAAAGCUGGUCAAGCGUGGGAAAAAUACAUAAGACAAAAUAGUCCCUACUUUGUCUUGUGUUUUAAAGAUAACUAAAGCAGACAGGAAGAAAUGAAGAACAGAUCCUGACAGAGGGAGAUGAGAGGAAUCGAUUGGGGAAAGGUAAGUUCGUCAUGACAGUGCUGCUUUAACUCACUUCAUGUAUGGUUUAGGUUCUGUAUUUAUAAUUAGUGGAACAGAAGUAGGAAAUCAAUAAAUGGUGGACUGUUGGUUAGCCUAGAAGACUGUGUUGGAAAAUGAUGAAGUACACAGUUGUUAUGAGAAUGUACAUGGAUUUAGUUGGACCGAAGGCAUAAUACAUCCUAAAAUUUAGCAGUUGGAACAUGGUCAUGUGUUUAUUAUGUAAACAGCAAAGGUGUAGUACUUAGACACAAAUUAGCAGCUCAGAAACACUCCUAUGGGUUUACCCUUACUCCCCUCACACAAUUUAAAAAAAUUAAUGGCUCUGCUUCAUGUGAGUGUUCCUAGUUAUUUGAGCUAUACCUCACUUCUGGACACUGUGCCAUCUGCACUAUAUUUUGUCUAUUUUGUUUUUGUGUAUGCUGCUCUCCUGCAUAUGCAUAAGUGUUAUUUAAGGGUAAGAUACCCCAUUUUAGCGAUCCACUUUCUAUACGUGUUUUUUUACUUAUAUGUGCAUUGUGUUUUUUUUUUAUGUUUUAAAUAGUUUAAAUACAUUUAAUAUUUUUUAUUUGGGCUGGUGGUAACAUUUUAGAAAUGUGUGACUGGACGCUCCAGGAUUUCUCCUACUUUUUUAUAAAAAGGCUCUAAAAACUGUUCCAAGCAGAAUACGACUGUAUUUUGUUCACACUGAGUAUGCAGUAUUCAUUGUUCUUGUUUAAAUUUUGUCCUAUUUAAUUCUAAAGCAGUCAUCAGCUCAUUGUGUGAUUCUUGGCAUUGAUGAAUCCCAUACAUGCAUUUAUUCCAUUUAUACAGACUUCACAGCCUUACUGGGAAACAACCUGAUGCAGAAUGAAAUAAUGCACUGUCUUAUUACUUGAAGUUAAUGCUAUGAAAAAUGGAAAAUUAUGCUCAUAUAGUAUUUUGUGUAGAAUAAUGAUAAGCACUUUAGUAGAAAUACCUACCCAACAAAAUUGUCAUUUUAUGCCUGGUUAAAAAUACAGUAGAAGUUCUUUGUAAAGAGGGGUUAAAACACUUCCUUUAUUCAAGUCAACCUGUCAUAUGUGUGCUAGAAGGUUUCUCAAAAGAGUUUUUUUUAAAAAAUAUUACCGUAGCCACAUUAUUCGAACAUGGCCAUAUAGUAACAUGCAAGAAUCACAUAAUACCUGACUUCUAUACCAGUGGUGUACACACAAUCCAUGGGGCCCCGGUACAAAACUGAUCCAUGGGGCCCCCCACCACCACUUCAUACAGACACACACAGACACACAUACAUACAUACAGACUAGGGAUCGACCGAUAUUGAUUUUUUAGAGCUGAUACCAAUAAUCUGUGAACUUUCAGGCCGAUGGCCAAUAACUUACUAAUAUUCUGUACAUUUACCAUUUUUUAAAAAUAAACUAUUUCUACACAAAUCUACUGUUAACUGAACAUGCUUAUUAUUUAUUUUUUUUGCAAAUCUUAUUUUUAUUAAGGUAAAUGCACAAAAUAUAAAUGCCAGUAAGAAUUUUUUAUGUUUUCAAGAAUAUAUAUAUGUGUGCAGUGAAUGCAGCUUUUCAAAUUAUCACAAUCUGUUAGAAAAACUUUUCAAAUUAUUUGUCUACAGAAGCCAUCCCUAAAAGAGAAACUGCCACGUCUUAGCUGGCCCUUCCUUCGUUCUCCCUCCGUGAUCUCAUUAAAUAGGUGGGUUUUACACUUUAGUAACACCCACUGCUGGUCCGCCCACACACCCCCUCUGUUUGGUGCUUAUUUGCCCUGCUUGGCAACACUUCCCCAGGCUUUGUUACAUCUGAACUGAGUGAUGUCAUGCCACUCUGUUACCAUACUCCAUUGCCAGCACUAGCAGCAUUUACUGGGGAGUUACCACAGCAACCAUAGAGUAUGUGCUGCGGUUGCUAUGGGUGGAGAAUAUUCAAAUAGGUUUUUCUCCAAAUUAUACAUUUGCUAGCAAAAAUAACUGCUAGCACGUCCUAUAGAUGGAAUGUUAAGCUUUUUAAAAAGAGCUAAAGUUGUUUCCACAAGAGGUUCCCUUUAACAUCUUUGGGGAUUUUUGUAGAAAAAUCAUUUGAAAAGGUUUUCUAGCAGAUUGUGAUAAUUUGCAAAUUUGAUCUAAAAUAUUACACUGGGGCCCAAGUCAUCAAGCAUAAGUACUGUUUAGGUUUUGUUGGUAUCCUCAGGUUUGGGAUAUACCUACAUCUUGGACUGUUGGUGUGGCCUGAGGAAUGGACUGGGAACCACUCAAUAGCUCAUAGCCAAACAGUAGAAGCUGGGUGAUGCUCCAUUUCUGUCGCAGAGGUGAUGGAGCACAAAUUUAGGUUAUUCUCACAGUCAAACCUGUACAUGAGUCCAGGAUACUGACGCAAAUAUUUCUGUCUGCAGCCUUGUUACAGAUCCAGGAACAUCUGUCUUCUUAUGUCAUAUUACUCUAGAGUCUAGACCUAUAAGCAUUUUGUUUGCUUGGCUGUUUAUAAACUCCAGACAUUUCCUUUUAUUCUAGACAUUUCAAUUUACUCAAACACAAAUAUUACAAGACCUUUAGCAAAUCCAAAUAUAGAACUAUUUACAGUGGACAAAAGUAAAAACAUUAUAUCAUGAUAAUAUUAAAUUGCAAAAAAAAAGCAUGGUUAGUUUGGGUCCGGACCCCAAUCAGGAAUCUUGGUCUAUCUGCUUUCAGUGGCUCUCACAGUUGUGUUUAAUUGGUUGGUGCUGCUCCUGUCUAAUAACUUGGACCACAAUAUGCAUAAUUGGAUUGAGAUCUGGUGAGCGGACAGAUCACUUUGGCGAGUUGAUGUAAUCAAUCCUGGACAAUUCGAGCCUGUGUCACUACUGAUUGCAUCUAUGAAACGUUAGCAACAUUUUGGUCAUAGGUCUAGUAUGUCCCAUCGCACAUUUGUUACAUUUUCAUUGUGUGGUAGCCCGUGUUUGUUACUGCUGAUAACCAGUAACAUUAUAGUUCUCCAAUUAAACCAAUGUAUCUGAAACAUACCGUCAUACCCUGGUCCAAAACACUUUAUUAUUUUAUCUGGGCCAAAACAAUAUAGUUUAAAAAAAAAAUAUAUAUAUACACAUGCACACAAUUACAUAACUGUAACUACCUGGGAAUCUGAUAAAAAACUAUGGGGCCAGACAUUCUAUAGUUCCUAUGUGCUGUCCAAACAAAAUGGGGGCUUUAUUAAAAUGCAUGGCCCAAAGAGAAGCCAGAUGGAUUAUACAAGACACCUAAUGUUACCUGUCACAGUAUAGUUACAUUCUUAUUUUUAAAUGUUAUUAAAUUCAUGUUAUAACAUGGAACACAUUCAUAGAUUUUAGAAAAUUUGUGCCAGCUGUGUGCUAUCUAUUUAUUUCUUUUCCAGAAAUUAUUUUUUGGUUUUAUGGACAAUGCAACUUAAACCUUAUUGUCAUUUAAUGUCUGCACUUAUAUCUAUUUGAUCCCUGAACUUAUUCAUUUGGUAGUUUCUGUUCUUUGUGUUAUUAUAUUCAGUCUGCCUCUCUGGUUUGCCUGACCUUAGUUUCUUAUUAGCCUGCUUCCAUACAGCUGGAAUGUUCCUUAGCAGUACUACGCAUCUUUUGGAUCAUACAAAAAAUGCUAAGCUGCAGAUGAAAACAUCUAUACAAUUGAAGGGGUGUCCUGAGUGUCUGCCAUUUAAUUGGUAUUAAACACCAUAUAUUCAAUUGAUGAAGCAAGAAAACCAUUUUAUUCUAUGUUACAGUAUUGUACAUUCAAGAUCCAUAGCGAUCUUCAAAUUUCUAGGACCCAUAGAAAACUUUCCCAUGCACAGUUACAGUCAGGUUCCAUGUUUACGUGGGUUGUGGUUCCAUUCAUUCAACUGAUUACAUGCUGCGAAAAGACCAGAGGCUUUAGUCCAAGGUUAAGUUUUACCCCACACAUAUUUGUACUUGAGCCCCUACCAGAAUCCCGAUUUAUACCACAUGCUAUGUCCAUCUUAAAACCCUAACAUAUUCCUGUUCAAUCAUUGAAACAUACACGUUAAUAUGACAAUGACAUCAGGAGUAGAGUGAUAUCGCUUAACACAUUAUUCUCAUUGCCCAUAACUUUUAAACAUUCAAAUUAGCCAUCACAAAUUUUAUGAAAGAAAGUGAGAAAGUGAUAGAAGAAAUGAAGAAGACAAGUAUAGUGAAGUGUCCCAUGUACUCUGCUUUAAUAAUAAGUGUACCCCUCUUUUGCCAGUGAAUAACUUAAAGGACCACUAUAGUGCCAGGAAAACAUACUCGUUUUCCUGGCACUAUAGUGCCCUGAGGGUGCCCCCACCCUUAGGGUCCCCCUCCCGCCCGGCUCUGGGGAGAGGAAAGGGUUAAAACUUACCUUUUUUCCAGCGCCGGGCGGGGAGCUCUCCUCCUCCUAUCCACCUCCUCUCCUCCCCUUCGGCUGAAAGAGCUGCGCACGUAUUCAGCCGGUCUCAUAUGGACGCUUGCGUCUUCUCGCUGUGAUUUUCACACUGAGAAUCACGCAAGCGCCUCUAGCGGCUGUCAAUGAGACAGCCACUAGAGGAUUUGGAGGCUGGAUUAACCCAUUUAUAAACAUAGCAGUUUCUCUGAAACUGCUAUGUUUAUUAAAAAAAGGGUUAACCCUAGCUGGACCUGGCACCCAGACCACUUCAUUAAGAUGAAGUGGUCUGGGUGCCUAGAGUAGUCCUUUAAUGGUGUGGUCCCUGAGCCUAUGUGGAGUGUCUGGUGCUAUAGGACUGUAUUAGCUUAAGAUAAUUACAUUCCCUGCAAUAUCAUUCCAAGCUCUAUCUACUAGAGGUUUGAGAAAAUAGGUAUAGAGAAGUCCUAGGGGACAGGGUUAAGCAGGUAAGAGAGAAGAAGGACGAGAUCAGCAAAGGGCGGUGGCAUUUUGAGUUGAUCUCUGGUGACCCGGAAAUGCCGGCAAUCCCCACCAUCUGCUCUCAGUAGUCCCCGAGUGGGGUCUCUUUUCUGUUACCUUAGGAAGUUCUCCCUCUAACUAGUGAAACCCUAACAUAUUCUAUGAAUAAUAUUAUGACAUCACAUUUUUUUACGGAUUUAUAGUAUUAUAUAUACUUGUAUUUACAAACACUGCACCUGCUGUAUUAUCCCAACACAAUGUUAUAUUAAAGGGAAACUAUAGUGCUGGGAAUAUAAACCCUCUCUCCCCCCUGCCCCCCUUCUUGACCUCUCCCACCUGAAGCCAAUAAAGGGUUAUAAACCCGUUGUCACUCAUCUGAUUCCAGAGCCUCCGCUCCUCUGCAGACCAAAAGUCUGCUUAGGACAUGGAUGCGCGCUAAUGGCUGUCUGGUAGGCAGCCACUAGAGGUGGAGUUAAGCCUGCAAUGUAAUUAUUGCAGUUUCUCAAUAACUGCAAUAAUUACAAUUGCAGGGUUAAAGGGACUGGGACACUGCACCCAGACCCCAUCAAUGAGCUUAAGUGGUAUGUUUAACCCCUUAAGGACCAAACGUCUGGAAUAAAAGGGAAUCAUGACAUGUCACACAUGCCAUGUGUCCUUAAGGGGUUAAUAAUGCAUCCAUAGCAUUUAAUGGAAUACUAUAGUCUUAUGAAAACAAAUUCCUGUGUUCUUAACGCUAGUUAGAUAGAGUCCACCAUUUUUCAAAUAAAAUGAAUAAAAUAAAAGUUUCACUUACCGUUUUCUUACCUCUCCACCUUCCACAAUGUCAUUAAAGGACCACUAUAGUGCCAGGAAAACAUACUCGGCUCUGGAAAGGGGAAAGGGGUAAAAACUUACCUUUUUCCAGCGCUGGGCGGGGAGCUCUCCUCCUCCGAUCCUCCUCCCUUCCUCCUCCUGGGCUGAAUGCGCACGCGCGGCAAGAGCUACGCGCGCAUUCAGCCGGUCACAUAGGAAAGCAUUCAUAAUGCUUUCCUAUGGACGCUGGCGUGCUCUCACUGUGAAAAUCACAGUGAGAAGCACGCAAGCGCCUCUAGUGGCUGUCAAUGAGACAGCUACUAGAGGGAAUGGGGGAAGGCUUAACCCAUUCAUAAACAUAGCAGUUUCUCUGAAACUGCUAUGUUUAUGAAAAAAUGGGUUAACCCUAGCUGGACCAGGCACCCAGACCACUUCAUUAAGCUGAAGUGGUCUGGGUGCCUAGAGUGGUCCUUUAAGGAGCCAUGGCCUUAUCCAUGAUGAUCCAAUCCAAUGCUCUUCAGAGAAGAGAAUUUGGGACAUGAUGUGCGGUGACUGCGUCAUGUACAUUAAAGGGACACUAUAGUCACCAGAACAACUACAGCUUAUUGAGUUCUGGUGAGUAGAAUCAUUACCUUAAAGGACCACUAUAGUGCCAGGAAAACAUACUCGUUUUCCUGGCACUAUAGUGCCCUGAGGGUGCCCCCACCCUCAGGGUUCCCCUCCCGCCGGGCUCUGGAGAGAGGAAGGGGUUAAAAUCAUACCUUUCUCCAGCUCCGGGCGGGGAGCUUUCCUCUUCCUCUCCUCCUUCCUUGUGACGUCAUCGGCUGAAUGCGCUUGCGCAGCAGGAGCCACGCGUGCAUUCAGCCAGUUCAUAGGAAAGCAUUUACAAUGCUUUCCUAUGGAUGCUGGCGUCUUCUCACUGUGAUUUUCACAGUGAGUAGCACGCAAGCGCCUCUAGCGGCUGGACUAGAGGCUCUAGAGGCUGGAUUAACCCUCAGUGUUUCUCUGAAACUGCUAUGUUUAUAAAAAAAGGGUUAACCCUAGCUGGACCAGGCACCCAGACCACUUCAUUAAGGUGAAGUGGUCUGGGUGCCUAUAGUGGUCCUUUAAGGCUUUUUGCUGUAAACACUGUCUUUUCGAGAAAAUGCAGUGUUUAUAUUACAGCCUAGUGAUAACUUCACUGGCAACUCCUCAGAUAGCUGUUAGAGAACCUCCCUGGGUCAUGGCUGCCUAAAAAGCAUCUAAACAUUCAGUGUCUCCUCCCUCUGCAUGCAGACACUGAACUUUCCUCAUAGAGAUUCAUUGAUUCAAUUCAUCUCUAUGAGGAGAUGCUGAUUGGCCAGGGCUGUGUCUGAAUUGUGCUGGCUCUGCCCCUGGUCUACUUCUUUGUUAGUCUCAGCCAAUCCUAUGGGGAAGCCUUGUGAUUGAAUCAGACCACCACUUCUGAUGAUGUCUGAGUCUAACAGCAUGCAGAGGUACAGCUUCAGGUUUGAAUACAGUAAGAUUUUGUUAUAUUUAUGGAGGCAUGAGGGGCUCAGGAGGGCUAGAUGGUGGUGUUAACACUAUAGGUUCAGGAAUACAUGUUUGUGUUCCUGACCCUAUAGUGAUCCUUUAAGAAUUCCCCAUAAAAACAAAAAAAAAUCAUUGUAUUUAAAGGGACACAGUAGUCACCAAAGCAACUUUAGCUUAACCCCUUAAGGACUGAGCCAAAUGUACACGUUGUGAUCAAAACAAAACGUAAACAAAAACUUUAAUUUGCGCUAUAUGUCUGUUCAGGCGUAAUUCACCUCUUUCAUUUUAUGUGCACACUUAUUAUAUAUCAUUUUAUUCAGGAGAAACAGGGCUUUCAUUUAACAUCAAAUAUUUAGGUAUAAAACAUAAUUUAAUAUGAAUAAAAUAUAAAAAAAUGGGAGAAAAUAAGAAUUUUAAAAAAAUGUUUAGUUCUACGUGACAUUUUAACUGUGAAUGUCAUAAUACUGUUUGAUUUUACUGCAAUAAAAUACACAUAUUUGUAUUCAGCGAUGUCUCACGUGUAAAAUAGUACCCCCUAUGUACAGGUUUUAUGGUGGUUUGGCAAGUUACAGGGUCAAAUAUAGCAUGUUAAAUUUUUCAGUUUUUUCACAUUGAAAUUCGCCCUGGGUUGUCAGGCUGGUCCUGCGAGUUGUAAUUAAUAAAAUUACCUAGUUAUGUAAAACUUUUACAUAAAUAUAUACGUAGAAUUAUUAUAUAUGUGUAAAAAUAGAAUUAUUAUAUAUGUAUAUAUAAUUUUUUUUAUUAUUUUUAUUUAUAUAUAGGUAUAUAUAUAUAGUGAUAUAUACAUAUAUACUUAUGUAUAUAGAUAUAUUAAUUUGUUCUACAUGUAUUUUGAUAUCAAUAUAUAUAUACAUAUAUUAAUUUUAAUUUUAAAAUACAGUUAGAAGAAUUUACACAUAUAUAUAUAUAUAUAUAUAUAUUUUUUAUUUUAUUACAUUUUUUAACGUAUUUACAGAUUUAUUUAUUUUAUAUUAUAUAUAAAUAUAUAUAAUGAAAAUUAUAUAUAUAUAUAUAUAUAUAUAUAUAUAUAUUUAAUCAAUAUCAUUGUACAUGUAUUUUGAUAUUAAUAUAUAUUUAUAAUUAUAUAUAUAUAUUAAUAUUAAAAUACACUUAGACAGUGUAUGUGUAUGUGUGUAUAUGUGUAUAUAUAUAUACUUAGAUCAUAUAUAUAAUAGAUAUAUAUAUGAUCUAAGCAUAUAUUAAUUUUACACUGAUUCCCCCUGCACUCCCCCUGCUGGCAAUGCCUUGGACGGCUAUGCCGUCCAUGUGAUCGUGAGGUCCUCACAAGGACCUCGCGAUCACAUGGCCCAGGAGGGCCGAAAAGGACGGAGGGGGACUCCCUGGGCUCCCAGGUGAGUCCCCAUACCGCGAUCGCCGGCGUGGGAUUGACAGCGACCGGGUAAGUACAAAGGACAGUUUGGGCGUUCUAUGCAGCCCCGCGGCGUUUAGAGCCGCUUCUUUAAGGACGGUAUAGAAUGCCCGCCGUCCUUAAAGGGUUAAUAAAGCAGGUUUGGUGUAUAGAUCAUGCCAUUGCAGGCUUCCUAGAUCGUUAAAAGCCAGCAGGUGGCGCUGCAUACUCCACAGCCAAAAACACCAAGUUGGCAGAUAGCAUCAGCAGGACAGGAGAGCACAUAAGACAUUUAACAAACAAUACACACCCUGCAUGUAUAAUGAGCACAGGGAGACAUAAAAAAAACCAUCUGGGAAAUCAGCAGAGAUGUCCAACAUAUACAAACAGACAGCUUCAUGUUUUCCAACACCAAUCCCAAUCAGACAUAAUCCCAGUUCAAGGUAGAGCAACUCUGGGCAAAAUGGAGGCCAACCGUUCCUAAAAUAGCUGCCAGAGAGAAGUGCAGAUUUAAAUGGUUCCAGUGAUGGUGACUGCUGUCACAAUAAGUACCAUGUUUUUUAAUUAGUUUUGAUUGCAUUGUAGUUUUCAUUUGAUAUUUAUGUGUAACUCAGAGCUGAAAACCAUAUCAUGUCAAAACAAAUGUAUGAAACUCAUAAUACAUAAUCGGGAUCAAAGGUAAUAUUCUUCAUAUGUCUAAUUUUAUGAUUUGUUGUCUGCUGAUUACAAUUCCAUUAUUUUUUUUUCUUAUUAGAGCUUGGAUUUCUGUUUAAUAUUGUCACAUUAACUAUAACACUGUUUCACAGACAUAGAUUUAUCUAGCUGACAUUUGCAGUGAGAUGGUUUCACGUCUUGCUCUGUCUUUGGUGUUUGGCAUUUAAACGUGGCAUUAGGGUGUAAAGUGGCAACAGCGAUGAACCCAUGGCAAAGUUGAUAGUAGAUAUAAAAGUUAUUUUUGGUGGAGAAUCAGUCAUUUGGGACUUUGAGUGGCCACUUUUCGGCACAAAAAACUUUAUUGAUGAUUUGCAGUAAUCCACACCAUGGAUAUUUCUGUUUAAAUCCUUAUUUAACUUAAAUGCCAGCUUAACAGUAAAUAACACCGUUUCCAGAAUUCGUGUUGUGAAAAAGUCAUUUUUUUUUAAUUUUGCACAUAAAGUAAAGACUAAAAGUUGAGAUUUGAAAUGUUAUGCUUGCUGGCAUGCUUGCAGACUACUUAUUUAGCUUCUUGCCGUUAGCAGAUGCUCAUACAUAUUCAUUCCAGAAUUUUACAUUGAAAACCUUAUAGAAGCUCAAACGAUUUUGUUCCCUUUUUUGUUAUUAACCCUUUAAACACCAGAGGAUUGUGCAACACGUUUGUACGUAAUGCACUGAUUAUUGUUGGGUAGGAAAACCGUUUAUCAUUGCCAGUUAGUAGGCCUACAUACUUUCAAUAAACUCUUAAUGUCCUGAAAGCACUGCAUACCCUUUACUGUUGCACGGCAACUAACUCAUAGCAACCAUAAUAGAUUAAAUUUCUAGGACUGACCAUGCUGGAUAUAAUAAUGAAGCAAGAACUUCAUUGUGGGUUCUUAAUCACUACAUGAAACUAUGUUUUAAGGACAUUACUUGAUCAGAAAAUUGAAAGCAUUUUCGUAUAUAUCUAACUUAAUGGUCUUUGUGAUACUGUUACAAUGAUGUAUUAGCUUUAAUAUGACUGAUACAGUCAGUAACAAUGUUUAAAGGGACAUUCCAGGCAGGCACUAACUAUAUUUACUUGCAUGCAAUAUGUGAUGGUACUCUAUGGAGAGUUUAGUUUAUUAUUUUUAUCCCGCUAGUUAGUUAGUAAAAGUAUGCUACUUUUUCUCUGCCUAUCUGAUAUUUGUUAUAUUGUAAAGACAAUGACAACAUUCAGCAGUCCAAUAAAAUAUGUUAGGUGCAGUUUCUUAAAAUAGCAGUGCAGUAACCAUAACAACUGCAUGCUUAUGAAGAGGUUAUCAUGGCAUUAGCCUCUGGGGGCCAUCCCCUGAUUCUCAAUCAAACCUGUUUAGUUCGAGUAGUAUAACCAAAUCUGAAGGGGUCCAAAGCACCCAUGGGUCAUCCCCCUUCUCACCAGAAUUGCUAAUGCAGAAGAUGUCCUUCUACAUUAGCAAUGUAUGCUCUAUAUAAUUCCGUUUCAUGCAUUGUUUAAUGCUAUUCAUUGGGCGGCUCUGUCAAUUGACUUGUCUACUUAACAUACAGUGUGACAUAGAACCGAGGAGUAGCAACCGCAGUCUGAUGACACCGAAAAUACUAAAUUGAUAUGUAUUCGUUAUAGUGCCUAGAGACGGUUUCUUUAAUGUGCCAAAUAUCCUGUGAACUGUAGACAAAGGUAAGUUGGCCAACCCGGAGACUUACUGUGCUAACAUUCCCUACUCCCUCCCAGCUUAUCACAUUAGACAAGCUGCAGCAGAGAGGUAUGGUUUGAGUGCUAAGAGAGCCUCGUUUUUCACUUCCUCAUUAUCCAUGAUGAUGUGAGCAAGCAUUCAGUGUUGCUGUGCAAUGAAUGAUAGGCAGAGAGAUACUGGGCUAUGGCAAGGUUCUGCAGGUCUUCUUAAUCUGCUGAAUUGCUAUUGACCAAACUAUUUGUAACAAUAAUUAGGAGAUCAUAUUCCCAAUUACUUAUUUAAAGGGACACUAUAGUCACCUGAACAACUUUAGCUUAAUGAAGCAGUUUUGGUGUAUAGAACAUGCCCCUGCAGCCUCACUGCUCAAUCCUCUGCCAUUUAGGAUUUAAAUCCCUUUGUUUAUGAACCCUAGUCACACCUCCCUGCAUGUGACUUGCACAGCCUUCCAUAAACACUUCCUGUAAAGAGAGCACUAUUUAGGCUUUCUUUAGUUCUGUUUAAUUAAGAUUUUCUUAUCCCCUGCUAUGUUAAUAGCUUGCUAGACCCUGCAAGAGCCUGUAUGUGAUUAUUGUUCAAUUUAGAGAUUGAGAUACAAUUAUUUAAGGUAAAUUACAUCUUUUUGAAAGUGAAACCAGUUUUUUUUUUUCAUGCCGGCUCUGUCAAUCAUAGCCAGGGGAGGUGUGGCUAGGGCUGCAUAAACAGAAACAAAGUGAUUUAACUCCUAAAUGACAGUGAAUUGAACAAUGAAAUUGCAGCGGAAUGAUCUAUACACUAAAACUGCUUUAUUUCGCUAAAGUAAUUUAGGUGACUAUAGUGUUCCUUUAAAUGUAGAGUAAUUGGACAAUGUGUGCUAAGGAAUUCACGUUUUUUAUUAAAACAUUUACAAAUGCUUUGACAAAAAUGAGAGGAACUGCACCUAUAACUUCUUUGCAGCAUAACCACAACAGUUAGUGGCUCUUCAGAUAGUCCCUUUACUGUGCAGCAGAACAGCUACCUGUAUACCUGUUAUAGCCCUCCUCACCUUAAUAUCCAUUCCACAGCAAUAUUCUUUAACCUGUUAGAGCAAUAACAAUUUUAUUUUCAAAUUGCCUAUAUAACUCUAUAAAAUUCAAGGCAAUAGUCAUUACUUAUUGCAUUUCCCCUUAUGUAGUAACAUCGUGCCUGCAUGUGUCACUUACAUCUGUGUUGUGAAUAAAGACACAAGCCCACGCUACUUAGUUACAUAUCUAUUUUCCCCUUUCUGUGACCCAAGUGGCAAUUGAUACAAUUGGGGGGUGGGGGGAUUGCCUUCUUUUGGAUCAUCAGCAUAAAAGAAUGGGCUUCAGUGUUGAUCUUGACGGACUUUAUUUUAAAUUUUUUUACUUUGACAACUAUAUAACUAUAUGCAAUUGGGCCACAUAUUUAGGAAACCUUGCUGUUUUGCCCAAUAUGAAGCUGGCAACCUGAUUCUCUUUUAACCAAGAACAAGCCAUUCAGUAACAGUUCACAGAGAGCGCCUAACAUUUCCCAUUCUAUAGGGAGGUCAUUAACUUGCCUUUGACACGGCUUCUUGUGGCAUGGAUAAAAAUGAGCUACGUCAACAUAGGUUAUAAUUACUCUUAUGGGCUUUUUUGUAGUCCCUUGAUACUAAGACUCCAAGCCAUAAAAAGUCCUGAAACAUUAGUAUGAUAUUUUACAUAAGAAAUAAUUCAAAGCUAAAAGCUGCUAUGAUAAACAAGGUUAUAUUUCGAUAGCUAGGAAACAACCAAUCGAAAAUAAUAAUAAUAAUAAAAAAAUACAGGUUUUUCUUGUACUAUUAUGUGUAUACUUUAUAACAUAAAGUAAAUGCAGAUUACAUUGGUAUAAAUAGUAUAUUCAUUAAUAACAGUUAAUUACAAAGAGAUGAAUUGCAAUUUUUAACAUUUUUAUUUAGACAAGUACAGCAUAAUUACAGAAUGCAACAGCCAAUAUCCAUACAACAUUGUUGGUAGUUUUAUGGUUAUAUCAUUGUAACCUAUAAUAUCUUAGGAAUGACCACUUGGGUCAUGGGGAAUCUGUGUGGGAACUCUGUAGGAGAGUAAGCUGUCUAGCUUUGGACCUGAUAUAAUACAAUAGUGACUUUCACGUCUAAACAAAAGUGCUCCAAGUGCAAUAUUUUAAACAAAAUGGAGUAAUCAAAAAUACACUCCCCUUUUUUUGGAUAUAAACCCGACGAUCUCCUCACAAUGAUCUUCACAAAGAAAUAUAUAUGUACAUGGUGUAAGUCCUAUUUAAGGGAAGAAAUGACACAACAUAGUGCAGAGCUGUGAAUUCGCAAUAUUUGAAUAUAAGACAAAUGGCCACUCACAAUGGUUAGAUGUUAUAUUAGCCUUCAAUAUAUGUGCAGGUGCAGGUCUGUUGGAACUUCAGGAAGAUUGUUCCCUCCAAUUUGUAAAGAGAAACAAUAAAGUUUCCAGUUAAGAGGCAAUCCAAAACAAAAGUAUAAAAAUUUACUUAUUCACUCACAUAAAAGCUUUGGACCUGGAAACCGUCACCUCUACAGGACCUAAACUCAGUGUUUUCAUUUUGUUAGUGUUAGUGUUGUACCCGUUGUUGCUAGAUUGCAGGAAGUAGAUGAGAUAGCGGGGAAAGAAGAAUGGUUGAGGAAAAGGCGCGUAGGAGAGACGUUUGUGUCUGUGGGAGGGUGGGGAGAGUUGAAGGUGGGUGACAGGAGAAUGGAAUACUUAUAUGGAGAAAAAAAGAGAGAGAGAGAAAAUUACGAAAAAAAGGAGGGUGAGGGGGGGAAGAAGGGGAAGGGAGAGGAGUGGACCAGAAAGAAGGGCAUCACUUCACCCUGAUCUACCUGUUGGCCAUCCAACGAGUUGCGUGCUGGGGUCUGCGAUCAGUUAGACUCCAGGGUCAGAUCGGAUGAAUUGCAAUUGAAUCUAAUGUUAAAUUGCAGACAUCACUGCUAUGCAUAAAUAAUUCAAAUGCUAGUAUGUUCAAUUGUGUACUUUAUCAGUGAUUAUUAAUGAUAAUGCUUGUAUUAGCUCUGGUAAACUUCAAAGAUAAACUCUAUGUCCAGAAUUGCGUAUUUUAUAAUGCAUAAAUGAUUAUUACAAAAAAACUCAAAAACAUAUAUUUACUAAAGUUUGCACAAAUAUUUCAUAAGCUGUCAAAAGCUCUACAGCUCUACAGCUAAUGAAUAUACAUUUGUCUGGUUUCUGGGCUCUGUAAUUGCAUAGCCUAGGCAUAGCCAUGGCAAACUUUGCAAUUUAGGAGGAGAAAUAGGAACAUUGUUUAAUUUGUCCUCAUCCCUGUAUGAUUUGUCUAUGCUUACUGUCGGGUACAAAAGGCACAGAUGAUAACAAUGAUUGACAGGGAGCUUAGAUGAAAGUGCCCAAUUGCAGGAUGAAACAGUGUGGGUUUCUAAAACUUUAUUUUUCCAGUCUCAGUAAUAUAAAUUUCUUAAAGGGACACUCUACUACCAAAAUAAAUAGAUGUACCCCCAAUAAAAACAUGUAUUUUUUUUGGUUGCGGGUAUAUCAAAGCUGCAAACCUUUUGGAUGAAAAUAUUUGCAUGAUAUAACAGCUCCACUUAUUGUAUAGCAGACUUGUCUGUCUGAUUGAAAAUGUUGCUGCUACAAAUAUAACAAUGUACGUCCUGUAAGUGUAGCAUUAGCAUGAUUUUAAAAAGUAUUACGCUUAGUUACAAAUGUUUAGUGGAUGAGAAUUGUGUAGUUAACAUGUGGUGAACUUGUUUUGUGUAUGUGAAGGAGGGCAAAACUUACUACAUAAUUAAAAAAAAUAUAUAUCAAUAAUAAAAUAGUGUUUAAUAUUACAUUAUUGUUUGUUUAAUAGUAAUAACUUUGAUUAACAUCACAGAAAUGAUCCCAGGUGCUUACACUGACAUUGGUGGUUUAAAGAGAUGAGCUCACCUGUUCCUGUCUUGUGCUUCAAAACUGACAUUCAAUGAUGUAUGCUUUGUGCGCACAAUGUGUAUGGAUGGUAAUAUGCAAUAUUGCCCUUGUGUCUUAUUGAACAUAAAGUUAAAGGGACACUAUAGUUACCCAGACCACUUCAGCUCAAUGAAGUGGUCUGGGUGCCAGGUCGUUCAGGUUUUAACCCUUCAGAUGCAAACAUAGCACUUUCAGAGAAACUGCUAUGUCUACAUUUGGGGUUAAGCCAGCCUCUAGUGGCUGCCUUCCGGACAGCCACUAGAGGCGCAUCUGCGACGCUGGAGGCAUAUUAUAACUCCAUCGCGCAGAGCGUCCAUAGGAAAGCAUUGAGAAAUGCUUUCCUAUGGACACUUUGAAUGCGCGCGGCACUUGAAAUAGUCGGACGGGAGGGGGACCCUGAGUGUGGGGGCACCUUCAGGGCACUAUAGUGUCAGGAAAACCGCUUUGUUUUCCUGACACUAUAGUGAUCCUUUAACCUACAGUCAUGUGAAAAAUGCAUAGCAUUAUUACAAUUUCUCAUCUUAAAUUGCAAAGAUUUAUAUAAUAACUAUGUAACAGUAAUCUGUGUAGAUUCCGAAAUAGUUUGUUUAUAUUUAAUGUUAAAAUGUAGAGCAAGUCUGACUUUUAUGAUUCAUAGGGAUUUAUUUUCUAAAAACUAAAUUGUAAAGCAUUGAAAAAGCAAACUGCAGAUUUUAGGCACAAAAUAGUCAAUUUGGAAAAGUACAUCUUGGCUAUUUUAGCCCGACUAUUACAAUUUAGUUUUCUAUUCACUACAUUUUAUUGUAUACUGUGAUGAGUAAUCCUCAAAUUGUUACUUAUUCCAUAAUGUGAACUGCAACUUGCUUAAUGCAGACCUGGUCAAAUAUGAACACUGGAAGUUGAGAGAAAUAUCCCCAAGCACUCAGACCUUAGUAGUACAUUAGUAGAACAUUCCACUGCACACCAAUCUUGUUAGAAAAGUACUACUAAGAUCUUGUGUGGACACUAAGGAUCGUUUGGGGGAUCGUUUUUCUAUUAGAGUUUUACUAAGUUCAGCACCAAGGAUGUGGAUGUUAAAUUGUAGUCACAUGAUAUGCAUCUAAUAACUGGUAAAGAUAUUCCAUGAGAUCGUAGUUGCGGCAAUCUGUUUGUUCGAUUGUUUAACUGGAAGUUGAAAGUCUGCAUUAUCUGAGAUGCAACAGAGGGAGAAAGAACUGGGUGCUUAGAGACAGAUUUUCUUUUCUUUUGGGUGAGAUCAUUUGAAUAUGGUUUGACACAAAUAGAGAGACAGCAGGCAAAGCCUUAGAACACCAUCAACACUACAUUGUUUUGUAGUGCUUCUGGUACUUACAGUGUCCAUUUAAAGCAUGGUGCAGAUGUAAUAGGAAUUACCUCUUCAAUGUGCAGGGAAUACUCAGAGUAAGCAGUUAAUGAGAACAACUUUCACACAAAGUAGACAUAAGAAUGACUAUUGUAAUUUGGCUGUUAAAGAACUAAACUGGCAAAUAAUAUUUAAUAUUGGAUAUUAAAUUAAAGCAGCACCAUCAACCCCCUUCCCUGAAAAAAACGUAUUUCAUAAAGAUAGAUCCUCUGCCUGACUGUCUUAGAUUCAAGGCAGAGUCACUAGUGGUUUUGCCUGUGUCUAUAUCCAUAGACCUCAAUGCUGUACUCUUGUGAGUGUGUAAGACUACAGCAGUGACUUUGACUUACACCGCGAGAAAGAUGGUGGAGCCCACAAGGUUAUCACCUUUACCUGCCGCCCCCCCCCACACCCCUGCUGCCACCAGAUGCCCAGUGGCGAUGUCAGCGUUGGGGGACUUUGAGAAUUCGGCAGGCGGCAGUGCUGGUUAAACAAAGUACCUGGUGACAUAGAGUUGCAACCAAAUGCAAGAUAAUAACUUAUAUUUCUCAAUAUAAAUUAUUUUUAAGUCAGUAUUUCUUAUUGCCUUUUACCCUUUAGUUUUAAGAAUGUAUAUCCGCCUUUGCACAGGACCAUAAAGACUGUGCCAUAAUAUUGACAAUCAUACCAUUGAUUCAUACGUUUAAUCUCUGUGUAAUUAUUAUAUUUAAUAUCUUAAGAAUUGUUGUAAUGGAAUUAUUGGGAUUAAUAUGUUUUACCUACUGGUAGCCCUCCCUGCACCCUUGGAAGUACUAGUGGACUAAUUAAAACUUCUUAGAUGCAAACUCUGGCUAAUUAACACAUUUCAUGUAGUUGGUUGCAAGGUAUAAUUAACACCUUUUCUGCUGCUGGUAGUAUUAGGUCAAUUAACUCCAACAUUAAUACAGGUGGUACUGCCUAAUUAAAAACAUCAAUGCUACCUUGGUUAAGGGCUAACGCUAACACUUUCUCCAUGUAUUCCCCAUAGAUAGGUAGAUAAUUAACCUUUUCUUUCAGUUUAUACAAGAAUAUGGUUAUUAUGUGUGUAUACAAUGCUUUGGUUCUGUGUAGCUGGGAAAUCUGUGUUCUUUGCACCCAUUGACCAUGAAAUGUGACCACUAAAUAAUUUGACCACUAAAUUAGACUGUGUGCUCACUGUGAUCAUGUGUCAUAAUUGGAAUAGAAUUGGGAAGUUCAUUAGCUUCUGGGACAUCUGUGAGUGGAAAGCGGAGUUGUGUAACAUAAGUCGACAUUUCAGUUCAUCAAGUAAGCUUUCCUUGAGGACCCUGCUGUGACCUGAGUCUAGCAUUUACAGCCCUCCUAUGCAGUACUAAGCUAAAUGGCUCGUGAGCUUGCAUUAUUAUAUAUAAUGGGCCCAAGAAUGAGUAAUACAGUAAAAAUGCCACCCAAAGGGGGGAGAAAAAGUAAUCUUUAUUAUAUAUACCUGGGGUCCAGGCCAUUUUCCCAGUUUUGCACCCCUCCCUGUCACAUGUGCCUCAUUCCAGGGCCCUAUUUAACCUUGACCUGCAGAGAGUCCUAGGAGGAAGCAUUUCCCAAGUAAGUGGGUUAAUCUAACAAGAGCAUGCAUUAGAAGUACAUUGGCGUGGUGGCAAGCUUAUACAACAUAUGAUCAUAUACUGUAACUACACGCCCAUUAUUUUUUAGGUUAGAUGUUUUUAAAUAAAAUUAUUACCUUCUGUGAGCUUUGCAAUUUCUAUUUAAUGAAUGAACGAGUGUGUUUUAUAUAUAUAUAUAUAUAUAUAUAUAUAUAUAUAUAUAUAUAUACAACAAGAUCCAGUGUACUUGCUCUUGUAUCUUGUAUGUUGUAUAAAUUAGCCCCAGCUGAAUCCUAAAAUUUGUGCAUGUUCAGGUGAGUGCUACCUCUUGUUUUUUAUAUAUAUAAAUUUACUGCUGUUUAUUAAUCCAUACAAGUAUAUAAUAUCUAUAUAAUAUGAGCUCAACUUCAUUCUUCCACUCUCUACUCUUGUCCACACUCUCUUACAACUUCUAUUGAUUAAUAAACAGCAGUACAUUUAGCGGUGCUUUCAAUGUGUUUUUUAUUGCUAUUACAUAUAAAAUGUGCUCCUUUGUGUGUGUGAUCAAUAUAACUAACCAUACAGAUAGAACACAAUCACACCACAGCCUGCACUUAUCGUUUGUCCACUGAAGAGUAUGUCAGCGCAAUGCCUUUAUUGGACAUAACAUAAAAAAAUACAUUCAUGUUUUUUGAUGCAACAAUUGCAGGCAGUAUGCUAAUGAUCCCAGUAAAACAUGUUAUAAUUAGUGUUUGUAAAUAGAUUAAUACUCUUGAAUUUAUCGAGGGGCCUUUUUAACUAAGUGACCCUGCACCUUUCAUUGGAUGAUGGAACCUAAUUGCACUUUCUCUUGUCAAUACAGUGAGCUAAAAUUGCUGUGAAUAGCAUAUAUUAAUUAUAUAUGUUGACAAAAAGAACACUGGCACAUUUGCAAUCCUGGUUUCCUAAUAAAGAAAAAGAUUCUAUUCUGUUUUGAUAAACAGUAUGUUUUGCUCUUAUACACACAAAUCAGUUGGCAGGAUAGAAAAUAAUGUCAGAGUUAUUCACCAAACACUGUAUUUUGGCCUCGAUUUAAUAUCGUUGGAUAAGCUUUCCAAAUGAUUUAGUAUUUUUGGAUAAACUUUUCGAAUUAUUUAAUAUUAUGAAAAAUAAUAUUCAGAUUUUUAUAUAUAUAUAUUUACCGUAUUUUCCAGCGUAUAAGACGACUGGGCGUAUAAGACGACCCCCAACUUUUUCAUUUAAAAUAUAGAGUUAAUUCUUGUUCUUUAUGUUUCUUAUAAUGCAUUUUUAUUUAGAUCAUGCAUAUUGUCUAGCAUAUGCCAAAUACAAGGCUAUAGCUAUGACUAAUAUGAGACUUAUUUUUUGCUUAUAGCUGCUCAUUCUUUCUAGUAGUGAAUAUGUUUAGGAUGCACUUGUGUUUUACAGUCAUCAUCAUAUAUACAGAAGGGAAAAAAGAAAGAGUAAACUUUGUAGCAAAUGUUUUUAAGGUCAUGGCCCUUGUUUCCUUUUUUAAUCUGUGUUUAAAACUUUGGUAAAAGAGGUAUACAUUUAUUUAAUGCAGUUUACAGACUUUUCAAUGUACGGUACUCAUUUCAUAUAUUGUGUAUGUGUAUCACCUGUGUCUAGUGCUUUUAACAUGGCAUCAAACAAUACUGUAGCAACUUCAUCUUUGCAUUUUUGCAACAUAUUAACCGUAUGUGACAUCUUUAUUAAAAUUAUUUAACCAGACAGUUAUAAGGCAAGUAAAUGAGACUUACCUGCAAUCUCCUGCUGGAGACAAAAUCUCCCUGGCAGCCUGAUCCUAUGAUGUCACUCCCUAUCACAUGAGGGGGCAGGACAUCCUGAAGGGAUGGAUUCAAGCAGCACGGGGAUGCGGCCACGGCCGUUUUUGAACUCCCCCCACCAUAUGCGGCGACCGCAGAUUCUCCAGUCCGGCUCGGAAGUUUCAGCACCCGCCCUAUAAGACGACACCCGGCGUAUAAGACGACCCCCGACUUUUGUGAAGAUUUUCCUGGGUUAAAAAGUUGUCUUAUACGCCGGAAAAUACAGUACUUUUCUUUACUUAUGAUAUAUUUUUGAUGUUUUAAUAUUUUGAAAAAAUUAUUUUAAAGUUUAUAUGAAUAUGAAAUCAUUUGAAAAACAUCCAAAAAUAUUAAAUCGAGCCUUUGCCUGGAUGGACAUAAUCCAAUGAAAAUGAACGAAUUCCAACCACAAUGACAAUUCUUAUAUUUACUAAAUCCAUUUGUGACCGGAAUCUGCAGCAAUUCCCCAGAUGCAUUUGGUGUCUGGAUUAAAAUCAGUGUUUCUGUAUGCGAACCCUUUACAAAGUAUUACGUAGCAUGGGAAACCUUUUGUAAGGGCUUUUAUCACUAUGAGCCCCCAUGAGACAAAGUUGGAUUAUUUUUAUUGUGUCACAUUUUUCAUUUUUGUCAUAGGUUUUUGGCUUUUUUAGCAACUGGGCAGCAGUGGCUGCCCAGUGACUAGUUUUCAAAGUUACUAGAUAUGCCCCCAACUAACGCAUGUCAGGUAUGUGCAUAGGGAGGUUUUAAAUCACCCUUAUAGUGAUAUAGAGGUCUGUUAGAUUUUUUUUUAAAUUUAUUUUUUUAAAUUAAUUUUUAACUAUUGAAUGUAUUAACCCUUGCAGCAGCCAAUAGUUUGGAUAUUUUUAAAUCAGGGCCCAUAUUUAAUAUACUCGGGUUCUGAUUUUAAGUAUUUUAACAUGAAUUUCAGCCAUCUGGCGGCAUUAGGUCCAGCUUAAAUCUGGACCAAAUGCAGGCCCAUUUGGGGUCUGAAUUGCACUCCUAUGACUAGGGACCGGGUGUUCCGAAACAUGUAAGGAACAGUUUUUUUGCUUUUGUUUUCCCCUGUUUGUUUAUAUAACUUGUGGAAUAAACCAUUUCCUUUUGAAGUUGACACACUUGCUUUUCCUGGUAUAAUUUUUUUGUUUUUUCUUUGCAUUACUUCAUGAGGAUUUGGAGUUCCUUGCUUGGUGUCCAAGAGGGGUAAGUGGGGACUUUUUCUUUACCCCACUUUCAGUUUUUUUCCUUUGAGCUUUAAAUUCAUUUGUAUUUCACAGCACAGGGAUAUGAGCUCCCUGGUUUCCAAGUACCUUUUAUCUGAAUUACAAAAUCCAAACGUUGAAUAGCAUGAACAGUGUCCAGAUUUUGGAGUCCGAAUGACCCCGUAUGCUGCCGGAUGGUUUUUCCCAAUUCUAUAAAGAGCCAUUAAGACGCCCGUGGAUAAAGCCAUUUGUUUUUAUUUGUUUUUUAUUCUUUCUGUUUGUUUAUUUUUAUUAUUAAUAAGUUAUAAAUUUUAUUAACAACAAUAUUAUCACAUAUUAAAGGACCACUUAAUGAAGUUGUCUGGGUGCCAGGUCCAUCUAGGAUUAACCAUGCCUGCUGUAAACAUAGCAGGCAGGGUUUACCUAUAGGUUAAUCCAGCCUCUAGAGGCUGCCUCACUGUGUUUUUUACAGUGAAAAGACGUCAGUGUCCAUAGGAAAGCAUUGAGAAUGCUUUCCUAUUGACUGGCUGAAUGCACGCGCGGCUCUUGCUGCACAUGUGCAUUCAGCCGAUGAUGUCGCAAGGAGGAGGAGAAUCCCCAGCGCCAAGGGAGCCUGGCACUGGAGAAAGGUGAAUGUUUAACCCCCUUCCUCCCCCUUCAGCCCGGCGGGAGUGGGACCCUGAGGGUAGGGGCACCCUCAGGGCACUAUAAUGCCAGGAAAAUAAGUUUGUUUUCCUGGCACUAUAGUGGUCCUUUAAGUUGAUAUACAAUUCAAACAUUUAUGACAUACACAUAACAAAAAAAUAUCACGGAAAAUUGUUUGUACAUGUGUCUGUCUAUAUUGUAUUCUGUCAGUCCUUUAUUUUAGAUUUACAAAUAAGUGUUAAGAAAGGUGAACACAAUUUGUGUGCAAAUCCCUAUCCUAUCUUCUCUCCCAUUUCUCAUUCUAUGUUUUUUUCUGUCCCUUCCUUCCUUCCAUUCCCUUCUCUCUUUUCAGAAGGAUAAUGUAGAUGUGUAUGCUCUAAAUGGCGAAUUUGGGUGGAUUAGUAAACACAGUCUGGGGCAGAGUAGCCCAUUUGGAAAUAUUUUUGGGUAUGGAAGACUAAGAUUGCCAAAAAUGCAGUUAACACAAACACACAAUUUAGUUCAAAAGACACAGAGAUAGAGUGUCAAAAAAUAUUUCUGUAGUUACAGUAAAAGGAAGUUGUUUUUAUUUUAUUUAUUUUUUUUGUCUUUGAAUGUAUGUUCCUGGCAAAGUUAAAUCAUGCAUUUCAUAAAAUGCCUGAAAAUAUUUUUUUCUAAACAAGCAUGAUAUACUGGGAAAUAGAAUAAAAUGCAAUGCAAAAUAUAUUUAUAAAUAGAUUUCAGAAGCUCUUAAUCCUGAUUUAUGUAGAAACAUGCAAACAACUCUUUACUACUAUUUUAAAUUACAUAUAUUUGAAUUUCAAUCUGGUUUUUACCUUUUCUACUUAGUGUAUUUAAUACUUUGCCUAAAGCAAACAUUGUAUCAAGUAUGAAAAGCAUUCAGACACAGGAGGAUUCAAAUGAAGUUGGGUAACAAAUCGUAUAUUCCGUUUUUUUUUCCCACUCAAAGGAAAAGAGAGAGUAUGUGUACUUUUGAAAACAAUAUAUAAGUAAUCAAAUUUACGCUGUGACUACCUGCACAUGCUUUUAACAAAACAUGUAUUGCAUCAACUGCAAAUUCAAUAUCUGAGUAUUCUAUAUUAUACUGAGUUUUAACUGACAUACAACUCUCCUGUUGUUACUGAUAUACAACAACUGUGAUUCUCAGCCAUCCACAGACUUACUCAUCCCUACCAAGCUCAUAUCUACCUAGAAGAGAGUAGAGGACAUGGCUGUGGCUAUUUGUGUACACUAAGGUGUACCUGUAUAACCGAGCAUGUUGGAGUGUGGUGGUUAACAAUGAUGGAGUAUCAGCACUGUGUGUAUAUGUCCCUAGAUGAUACACAUGUUGUCCACAACCAGUCAGGCCUAUGAAUCCAUAUAUUGAUGAAGACAGGCUUGCACAUUAUACACAUGUUCUUGGGAUAUAUCAAUUUGUCAUUUUUCUUCUGGUAACAUCCCAGAAAUAAAUAGUAGAUAAAUAUCCUGGCCUUAAUAAACUUGCUAGCAUUGGAGGGUCUCUUAUUGUUCCAUACAGGUAUGCUAAACAAGGAGGCUCUAUGAGCGGGAGGGGAAUUUAGGAGGAUUGAAUGCACAUUCCUAAAAUGGUUGGCUCCCAUCUGACUAACAAACUACAGAUCAAUAAAGGACUCUUUUGGAUUGUAUGCUUCCAUAUUUUGACCUAAAAUGGUUCAGUGCAAUGGGUAAUGCAUUGUUAUCACCCAGCCAAUUUAACUGGAACGAAAAAAUCUUUUUGCAUUCAAGGGCAGAUGUGUUACUUUUUUUUAAUUUAGUUAAUGCAGUGGUUCCCAAACUUUUUAGGUUCAAGGUGCCCCGGAAUAUUUCAAUAUUUUUCCAAGGCACCCCAAGUCAAAACAAUUUUCUAGGUUGUAUAUAUGUACAGCGCUGUGCCAUAUACUGGGCCCCUAAUCUUGGGAGUGGCACUGGUAGAUUAUUUAAAGAAACAAUAAAGGCACAAUAACCACUGCGUUACGUUGAAGUGGUUACGGUGCCAGUAGUGCCCAGUAAUAACAGUUUGACAACUCACCUGGGGUCUGCUGGGCUGUAGUGUGUGUGUGGGGGGGGUAGGGGGUAGUGUGUGUGCAUGGGUGGCAGUGUGUGUGUGUGUAUGAAGGGGCAGUGCGAGUGUAUGUGGGAUAGUGUGUGUGUUUGGGGGCAGUGUGUGUGUAUGUAUGGGGGGAAGUGUGUGUGUAUGGGGGAGCUAUUUUGUCCUCUGGGGUCUGUGAGGAGAGGAGGGCAAAUUAAUAAAUAUAUACUUUAUUUUUUAAUUAAAAAUAAAAAUGAUGUCCCCCCUCCCUGCUUACAUUUGCCUGGGAGGGGGGACAUUUCCUGUAAUACCUGGUGGGGAAGCCCUGUUGGUGACAGUGAACUCUAGCAGCCUCAGUACCACAGCAACGCUCCGAGCUCGCGAGAGGAGAACCCAGCGGAGCUGCAGGUUAGAACUCCCCCAGGUCCUCUCUCCCUCCCUUCCCGACGGCUGUCACCAAAGUGCUAGCGGCCCGGAGAGGGAGUCCUGUAGAGCCGGCAGAGGAGAGCACAUGAUCAUAUGAUCAUAGCACCGGGGAAAAACUGGCGGCUCCCCUUUGUGCCCAUCGCGGCACACAGUUUGGGAACUUCUGAGUUAAUGUGUUCAGUCAUCUUUUUUAUUAUAUAUAUAUAUAUAUAUAUAAGAAAUACAGAUAAGGUGCACUCUCAGGUCUUAACAAGUGCUUAAUUUAUUUUAAAUGCAAAUUACAUGUGCAAACAAAUUCCAGUGAUCGACACGUCGAUCACUGGAAUUUUUUUGCACAUGUAAUUUGCAUUUAAAAUAAAUUAAGCACUUGUUAAGACCUGAGAGUGCACCUUAUCUGUAUUUCUUAUUAUUUACAUUAACGCUGAGGUUUGCACCCAGCCAAGAGUUUUAAUAUAUUUGCAUCAAAGGAUGAGUGCCAAGUUUACUUCUUUUAUUUAUAUAUAUAUAUAUAUAUAUAUAUAUAUAUAUAUAUACAUACACACACAACAGCUACUUUGUGUACUCUUGCAUAUUAUUAUGUUUAUUAUUCAAUUGUAAAAAUUCAGUGUAUAGUUGUGAAAUGUAACUGUCUGAGAUUAAUCCACAGGAUCAGUUAUUCAACGCAUAGAAGAUGAUUUCCUAAGCACUGAAUUGUAGUCAAUUGAAAAGUGAUUUGAAAAUCACUCGUAUUUCUAGUUGCAGCAUCCUUGAAUGCCUUGAAUGUUACUGAGUUCCGUUGCACAAGUAGUGGCCAGCAUUUGUGAUGUGCUUAAAGGUAUACUAUAGCCAGCUGUUUUAUCCCUGCAUCUGAAAAUAUUAUAGUUCUGCAGAUGCUCAUUGCACAUUUUAAAGGGAUUUUAUAGGCACCAAAACAACUUUAACUUAAUAAAGCAGUGGGGAAGUGUGACUAGGAUUGUUAAAACAAAGUGAUUUAACUCCUAAAUGGCAGAGAAAUGAGCAGUGAGACUGAUCAGUUUGAACAUCUGUGCACCAAAACUGCUGCAUUAAGCUAAUGUUGUUUUGGUGACUAUAGUGUCCCUUUAGGUGAAUCUAGUAGAUUUCGCUCAGAAAGGCACUAGAGGUGUAUCCGAGGAGAUAGCAGAAUAAAACCUGCUGGGUUUUGUCACGCAUUUAUACUAGCCUCCCAAUAAGCAUUGGAUUGACUAAUUAAUUUUGAUGAUCUCAGCCAAGGAAGGCAAAGACUGACACUGCGAGGGGAAAAAAAGGUAAUUAAAACGACUUAUUUUCUACCUGCGGGUGGGUGCCGGCCACCUGAACAGCCACCAGGAAACUAUAGCAUUAGGAAUACACAUUUAUAUUCCAAAUGCUAUAGUGUGCCUUUAAGGUGCAACAUGGACAUAACAGGCAGGGUAGACGAAGAUGAUGCAUCCCAGUGGUAUAAUUCUGAAAAACAAAAUCUUAAAUAAUUAUUCUCUUUUCAUAUGGUAUCUUCUUUCAGGAGAAUUAAAAUAUGUACAUUUACCUCUUCAUUAAAACAGUGAAAUAUGGUGCUUGUUACUAAGGUUUCAAAUUGGCUCAGGAAUGAUUCUUAUCCAGCCUUAAUCAGCCUUUAAAAUAUCAUUUUGAAAAGCCACAUUGAUUUAUUUUGCAUGGACAGACAAUUAACCAGGGCAGCAAGCCAAGUUAACCUUAAACUGGUGCAGAAUGAAUCCAGUGAGAAAAAAGCUUGUAUUCCAUAUGCUGAUUUUGUGGUUUCUGAAAGUUAUACACUUUGAUACUUGCCCAUAUUUUGAUAUUUUUAUUAGGUAUUAAUUCCAGUGUGGUUUAUAUGUUCGGAUAGCUACUGCAAAGCAGUCAAUUGCAAACCACAGAAAGCUUACAUAUGAAAUUAAUGUUAAAGCCUCAAGUAAACCACUGGCCCGAAAACAAAGCUUUCUUUAAUGUCUAGCUAUCAGAAAUGGAAAUGCCAUUGCUCCUUUAUGCCCUGAGAUUUCUGAUAGGCUUUCUUUAGGUUCAUGAUCGGAUACGAAAGGCCUCCUAGAUAAGAUCUGUUGUCUGCAUUCUGUUUGCUGAGUGGCUGAUCAGGAUGACCAUUGAGGUUCUUUCCUUUGAGAUUAUGGAAAGAUCAUCACUUGAUUAGAAUAGAGUGAAAUUAUUGACAGUAUAGGUGCCCAGACCAUUUCAGCUCAUUGAGUUGGUCUGCGUGCAGUGCAACUGUCGCUUUAGCCCUGCAGCGGAAAGCAUUUCAAUUUUAGGGAAUCUGCAAUGUUUACAUUGCUGGGUUAAGCCUGCCUCUUGUGUCUGUAUACCAGACAGCCACAAGAGGCGCUUCUUGGCCUUUCACAGAGUCAUGUUUUGCAUUAAGAUGUCUAGCAUCUUCUAAAUCCCCAGAGGAAAACAGUGAAUCAAUGCUUUCCUUUGGGUAGGUCUAAUGCGCGAGCUGUGCAUAUGCAUUAGGUUCCCCACAUCGAAGAGAAGGUGCCCAACCCAGCACAGAUGGACAGAGGAUGUGUAAAUCACAUGCUGGGAGGUGUGCUUAUGGCCUAUGGCUGCAUAAACAAAGUGAUUUGACUCCUAAUUGGAAGAUAAUUGAGCAGUUAGACUUUUGUUUGAUGGUACAGUUUUGGUGUAUAGAUAAUGCCACAUGAUCUAUACAUUAAAACUGCUUCAUCAAGCAAAAAUUGUUUUGGUGACUAAAGUGUCCCUUUAAUAUUAUUUGUCUCAAAACUCCCUUUGCUGAUUUGCAAAACUCAUAAUUCAUUGUGUUAAUUUGGAUGGGGAAGGCACAAUCUUCAGAUAUGUUUCAUGUUGAAUCUACAAAUUUGCUUAGAAGUACAAAUGUGAAUCCAGGAUUGUAAUUCACACUGACCCUUUAAUAUGUAUCAAGUCAAUCAAUUAGAUUCUGUACAUAAAUACAGAAUAAGACUUUGCGGUAUGAUCUGGCAAAACACAUUGCCAAAUGUACUGUCAGACGUGCUUAUACCAUCUGAGAUCCUAAGAAAGGCAAUUAUAUUUAUCAAAUCUGAAUGAAAAUAAUGUCUUCAUGCAGAAGGUGCAAAUUUAGAGAAAAUAUGCCAAAUUAUUUCAAACACCUAAUUUCAGUGCAGAGAAAUUCUUACUGCAUCCUAUCAGAUGCGUUUAGUUUACAAAUCCCCUUGAAGUGUACCUGUCAUAAAUAAAACAAUGUAUAGUGGCUCUGCAUAGAAAAAUAACAUUCAAUCUAUACAUUUCUAGCCAAUGCAAAAAAUAUAAAAGAUGUGUUACCAACAGUAACAUGUUCCUCAGCACCUACGUUUCAUAGAGUCUGGCAUACAGCCACUAGAGGCAGCCUUAGUUUCUCUAAAACUGUAAUGAUUUACAUUGCAGGACUAAUGGGGACAGGGACAAUACACCUAGACUACUUCAAUGCGAUGAAGUCGUCUGGGUCACUAUAGUCUCCCUUUAACCCCUUCCCGACCAAUGACGUACCAGGUACGUCCGCGAAAAAAACGGUCGGUAACAACUGCGGACCUGGUACGUCAUUUAGUAAAUAGCCACUUACCUGAUCGCUGGCGAUCCCCUGCCGGCAAUUUCGAUCCUGGGGUCUACCUGGGAGCUCAGGCAGACCCCCACUGCCUGAUCCUGCCCUCCCAGGCCAUGUGAUUGCGGGGUCCUCAUCUCAUGGCUGGAAUAGCCGGCUUGUGCAGUACCUGCAAAAAAAGUUUCACAAGUUAUUAAAAGUUUAUAAAGUACAUAAAAAACACUAACAUUAUAUAUAUAUAUAUAUAUAUAUAUAUAUAUAUAUACACACACAUGCAUACAUAUAUAAAAUACAGAAUCCAGCGCACUCGCUUAUUCACUAAACAAUGAUUAUAAAUCUUAGAGAUUGUAAUAUUUUUAUUUAAAAACACCUCACCUAGGCAAAAAAUAAUGGGGGUUUAGUUACAUUAUAUGAUCAUAUAUUGCAUAAGCCUGCCACAACGUCAAUGUACCCCAUUCUUGGCAGGUCCUACUCUAGCAGCCAAAUGCUUGCUCUUAUGAGAUUAAUCCACUUACUUGGGAAAUACUUCCUUACUGGGACUCUCUGCAAGUCAAGGCUAAAUAGGGUCCUGGAAUGAGGCACCUGUGACAGGAAGGGGUGCAAAACCAAGGAGUUGGCCCAUUAGGCUGCUAGAGUAAGACCUGCCAAGAAUGGGGUACAUUGACAUUGUGGCAGGCUUAUGCAACAUAUAAUCAUAUAAUGUAACUAAACUCCCAUUAUUUAUUGCCUAGGUGAGGUGUUUUUAAAUAAAACUAUUACAAUCUCUAAGAUUUAUAAUCAUUGUUUAGUGAAUAAGCAAGUGCGCUACACUUAGAUACACUUAGAAUGACUAUAUAUAUAUAUAUAUAUGUAUAUAUAUAUAUAUAUAUAUAAAAAUAAAUAAAUUAAUUGAAAAAAUGAAGAAAAAAAUGUGACACUCACAGCACCCUCACACACACACACACACACACACAGAACUUCUGACACUCUCAGCACCCUCACUCAAACACAGCACCCAUCACUAACACACAGCACACACACUGCACCCCUCGCACACACAGCACCCUUACCCACACAGCACCCUCACACACACACUCUGCACCCCUUUUACACACACAUUACACCCCUCACACACACACACACACACACACACACUGCACCCUCACACAUACACACUGCACAAUACUCUUUCCUGGCAUUUUUGGCUCUUGGCUCCUGGUAUUCCAUCUAUGGAGACACCAGAGGCAAAUUUCAAGCAAACACAGUCCAAGCAUGUUAUUAAAUUUGCUUGUGCUGUGCAGAACAAAUACAGGGCCUUUUUCUCUAGAGCUCUUAAGGAGAGGAGAGUUCUGUGCAUGGUCAGCCCUGGAAGAGCAUUGAACCAACAUGCUCACUUUGAGAUAGGGUGUGCUUGUCAUUGGUGAUGACAAAACACACCCUAUCUGGCCCUGACCCCUUUUCAGUGGGCCGCUGUAAUUUAAAUUUGUCCGGCCCUGCCUGUGUCACACACAUUAUUUGCUAUACAUGCCGACGUCCUGUCCUUUGCAGCUUCUAUCUUAAAGACGGAGGAAACAUACAUUUGCUGGCAGUUUUAAAAGCCCAAUGUAUAUUUUUAGUGUACAACUACAUGGAGAUGAUCUUAUAACCCAAAUACUGCCUGGAUGCAUUAACCAUUUAUUUUUAAAAGGCAAUAAUUUGCUUUUGUGCUGUUGGCAUAGAGAUACACGUAGAAUGUAUAGUGUCCUCUCAACCUUCUAUUUCCAUUCUGCUAAAUGAGGCAUUCCAAAAAUACCUAAGAAACAACAAAUGCAUUUACUGGUGUUUUUGCUAGUAUAAAGUGUAGUUUAGAUUUUAAUAUGUCACUGGAGUGUUCUUCUGUCAUGUAGUUAAUAGCAUCACAUAAAUGAAAUGCAAUUGUUGACCUAUAAUAAUCAAAUUAAUGUACAGUUGUGAGAAGACAUAUCCUCGGGUAGACAAAGUGAAGUGCAAGCUUUUAGGACUUUGUAUGUAUUUGAUUUUGUUUAUCGUACAAUAUUAUUGACACUCUGGAGUUAUAUUUGUAUCUGUUUAUUCUAUAAAUGUAUAUGCUGUAUGCAAGCAUAGAUAUUUUAGAUUUAAAUUAGUAACUCUGUAGCAACAUUACUGAUGGAUCAGCUAUUGCAAAACCAGUGAAAUGUUGUUGUUAAUAGUGCUACCUUUAGAAUUCUAGUUUCCUUAUUAUUUAUUUUAUUCUUAUUUUUCCCCAAUGAACUGCAGGAUGCUUUGUGUUAAUGUAGUCUAUUGCUUAGUAAGUUGGUCAUUAUUUUUAGUUGGUGUUUACUUAUUUACUUACUUUACUUAAAUGUGGUGCUAAAGGAUUUGACUUCAAAUAGAAUAUUGAAUUUUCAAUAAGUGUUGCAAAUGUUUUAAGCUGAUAAAUAUAAGUGACUUAUGUUAAUUGGAUACAAAGGAAUGUUAAAUAUAAGCAAAUAUCAAAAGGUUCUUCAUUAAAGUUGGAAUCCAAAGUGAAUUUCAAAUUUAAGGCCGAACUAGCUGAAAAAUUUUCGUAAUCAGUUCUGCUUUUAGUUCUGCUACUCGGACCUUAAAUUAGAAAAUUCCUUUGAAUUCUCAUUUUAAUAAAUAAACCAGUUAAUAUUUUCUCUUGAUUGAAAGUCAUUAACAUUUGCUAAACUGAAACAUUAAAUCAUGAUUACAUUGGAUUCAAACCAGUUUGCCAUUUUUAAUUAUUGAUUUAUUCAUCGCAAAAGAAAUAACAAAUGUUUUUGCUGAGUGGUAACCCCUAAAUCUUACUGUAAUGCAGUUUAUUGUAUUUUACAUUAAUCGUUAAAUUAGAAUAUGAUGUGAUGUGUAGUAUAUACUUUUUUUGUAUUUCAUACCACUAGUUACUCAUUCCUCUUCCAUACAACUCUGGCACUUUUAGAUGCGGCUGAAAAACAAUCUAGAUGAAGUUACAGCAGCAGGGACAUGCCAAGACCAUGC
rnacentral:lncRNA from 1 species